UGUACAAAAGUAUUUGUUGUGUUCACUAACCAGUUUGGGGUUGUUAAAGUGACAAAUGGAGUUGGUGAAGCCAAAUAUCCUGGUGGAGGCUAUGGCGGCGGCUAUCCUGGUAAUGGCGGCGGCUAUCCUGGUCAUGGCGGUGGCUAUCCUGGUCAUGGCGGUGGCUAUCCUGGUCAUGGUGGUGGCUAUCCUGGUCAUGGUGGUGGCGGUCAUGGUGGUGGCUACCCUGGACGUGGUGGGGGCUGUCGCUACGGCUGUUGCGGUGGCCGGUCAUACCACGGAGGUUGCAGAAGGUGCUGCUCUUACGCUGGUGAAGCUGUUGCUGCACAAACUCAGGAUGAGACUCAUAACUGAGUCAACUCACGUCAACAAUGUAGUACUUAAGAUAUUUCAUGAAUAAAACGUCGUGUCUAUAGUCAUGGAAUGUUCCAGUGACUUUUCUUAUGAGUUUAAGAGCAAAUUAAAGUGAUGAAUAUUAUCUAUAUUCUGCAAAUUCUAAUUUGUUCCAAAUAUCCUGAGUUUUACUUCUGUCAUUACUAUAUAAUAUCGUUAAUUCGAAUUCGAAGAAACACGUAGAACUCAACAACGUACCUGAAGCUUAAUUAGUUGGACAAGGGUCAAUCUUCAUUAAUUUCCCUAAUUAAAUCUGCCUAAUAAACUUUAAUAAUAUCCUUUAUUAAAAAAAAAAUUGAAUAGUAUUAAUAUGUAUGUUUUGAAGAUAUCUUCUAGUAUCUUUUAAUGAUAUAUUUUUAUAGGUACGAAUAUGUAUGUUCUUUGUAUAUAAACAAGAUAAACAGUUUUAAAGAUAUCUUCUAGUGGUUCAUGAUCUCUUUUAACAAGGACAACCUUCUUAUUAUGAAUAGUAAAAUUGUUUUUAUAGAUAAUUUCUCUAUUUUAAAAUAUUUUUAUAUUGAGGGGUGUUGUUUGACAUUACUGUUUAUUCAAAGCUUCUACUUUUAUUUUCUUACUAAAAAUAAUAAUUUUUAUUUAUUUAUAGGAUGAAGGUAAAAAACAAGAUUGAGUAUCAAAGAAUCGGUGCUCUUUUCACAUUGUCCACACGAUGGACUGCGAAAACGGUAUUAAGGAAAAUAAAAUUUUAAUACCAUUUUUUGACACCAUUUUGACACUGUACACGUGUCAAAAUGUGGUUGGACGAUUUCAAAUUAAAAAACAAAUUUUGGUUUUUCUCUUCCAAAUAUACCUCUGCCUCAACUUUUUUAAUUUGAAAUCGUCCAAUCACAUCUUGACAUGUAUGCAGUGUCAAAAUAGUGUCAAAAAAUGGUGUUAAAAUAUGAUUGUCCCGGUAUUAAUUGUACGUUGUGCAGUUAAUAAUGACAACAUAUUUUAUUUAAAAUUCAUUAUGCAAUGUUCUAUGAGAAGAGGUGCAGUUAUUUUGAAGAGAUAAUAUAGUUUAACUUUCAUCUUUAUUUUUCUUAUUAUAUCAUUUAUUUAUUUAAAGAAGUAUUGAGACUAAUCUAUGAAAUUGAGUCAUGGAUACGAGAAGCACUUCUCUUCCAUCAAUUUUGAAAAAUAUGAGUUCGUAAUGUAUAUUUUGACAGAAAAUAAUAAAAAUAAUUAUAUUGUUUUUACGUGUAUAAAAGAUUUUUAUAUAACAAUUAAAACACUUCAAUGGAAGAAAAAUUAAAAAAAAUGACUGAAUUCAGAGUAAAACAAUUACUUUUAAAUUUAUUUGUAGAUGUCAAAACUGAUUUUUCUUGUUACCAGAUACACCUUCUAUUGGGUAUUACAGAAUUUGGUAUUAAAAAUUUAUUCAGAAGUUUAAUAAUAACACUGUGGGAAACAUAUAAGUUUAGGGUGCCGUGUCAUUUUAAAAUUAAACCAAUAUCUUUCAGUAAAAGUUAGGUUUAAACCUCUUAGUUCCCGUUUUUAAAAAUGUAAAUAUUUGGUUCUUAAGUUAUAAAAAAUGUAUCAAAUAAGUCAUUUUUUGACUUAAAAUACUGUUUUUGGUUGUUUCUUAACAACUGCUACAUAUUUAGAUUGCUCUGAUUUGUUUCUUAAUAAUAACAACACUUUAGAUUGCUUUUUGUACUUUGACCAUGAACAUCAAAAAAGGACUCAUUUGAUACAUUUUUUAUAACUUAGGAAUCAAAUGUUUACAAUUUUAAAAGCAAUAACUAAACUGAACAUUCUCUCAUAACUUAAGAACAAAAAGAGGUUUAAACAUAAAAGUUAUUACCUUUAGCUUUUACCGGUGGAAAGACAUGUACGUGUUUGUUGGUCCAUUUUUUUUCUAAUUCUUCUAAAUAUAUUAUUAUAUUACAAAAAUAAAUUUGAUAAAAAAUAACUAAUUUGUACAAUAUUUAUUAUUAAUUUUUUUAUUAUAAAUAAUUAUUUGAAUUUGAAAAAGUAGUUAUUAAAAUAACGAAUAUUAAUUCACAACAUAACUAAAUUUAAAUUAACUAGUUAUUUAAAGGGUAAAAAUGAAAAUGUUGUUAUUUUAGUUUUAAAUAAUAGUUACUUAAAGAAUAAAUUUAGAAUAAAAUGUGUAUGGGUAAAAAUUGAAUUCCUUAAUAUAAUUUUUUAUUAACUACUUGUCUAAUAUAUAUUUGAAUUGAUGUUACUUAUAUUAAUAUAAACUAGUGAAGAUACGAAUGUGUGUUCAGUUUUUCUAUAAUAAUUAAAAAUAAUUUUUAUCUUUAUUGUAAAUACAAAUAAUUUUUAUAAUUUUAUUGUAAAUAGUUCUAAUUUAUUUUGUUGGUGGUUUAGAAUUAAAAAAAUGGUUAAAUUUUAAAAAUGACAAAUGAGAAAAAGAAAAUUAAAUUUUUUAAAAAAAAAAAUUGAGUUGAACUUGGGUUGGGAUGAGUCAAGUCCAACCAUUUUAAAUCAGGGAUAAAUCCAAAUUAAGUUAAAUUGAUCAAAUUAAAAAAAGUUUGAUUGAUCAUACUUUUUCAAUUAAGUUACAAAUAAUAAAAAUUAAUUAAGAACCAAUUUAUAAUUAAUUUAAACAUUUUAAAAUUAAUUUGCAAUUUAAAAUAUUAUAAAAACUUAUACAAUUUUAAAAAAAAAUUUAAGAGUUAAUUAAAAUCUUAUUAUAGAUGAAAUCUAUUUUGUCUAUAACCUAUGCUAUUUGAAUUAGAAUGAUUGUCUAAUUUUCAUAAUUCGGUAUGGAAUACAUGAUUGUGAUUUAAUGACUUCAACAAAUGAAUGUUAUAUGGUUAAACUUUUGAUAUUAGUAUAAUAAUUGGUAAAAGUAAAGGAGUUAACUUGUCUUAUUUGUAUAAUAUUGGUUUAAUACAUCAUUUGGCCCCUUUUUUUAGGAGUUUGGUUCAAAAUGAUCCCACAUUUGGAAAAAGUUCACUAAGAUCCCAUAUUUCAUUAAAAAUUGUUGAAUAUCGUCCUUUUGACAGACAACGUUAAAAUCGUAACGGUGCAGACACUAGCGUGGCGAAACAUUAGUAAGUUGUUUAAAACGAAGCUUACGUGGUUCUGUGGACUGAAGUGAGUUGGCAGAAAUGGCUUAAAGUUGAGGUUAUAAAAGGGGUGGGUUAGGGUUCGUUGAAGUUAGGGUUCUUUCAUGUUGUUAACUUUUUUUAACAGAGGUUGUGGGAUACAAAUGGCUUCUUCUCAAGGAUUUUCUUCUUGUUCCAAAACAGGGUGGGAAAGAAAUUCACAAUCCGCAAAUGAUGGUGGUUGGAGGGGAGGUGGGAUAAUCCCUCAUUACAAGUGUGGUGAUUAUGCUGUGACCAAAGUGGCGAGAACUCCUCAAAAUGCUAGGCGGAAAUUUUGGGGAUGUCGUCAUUACAAGGUUUUAUAUUUCCCUUUUCACUUUAUUUGGAAUAUAUUUGUUCAUAGAUUGAUGAGCAAAUUUCAAUUUUGGUGGCUUAUUUGGUGCAUAACAGGGUGGAUCUUCAAGAGGAAUUUAUUGUAACUUUUUCAAAUGGUGUACUGAAAAAAAUAAUGAGGAAAGAGAUGAUGGAAGUGUCAGACAAAGGAGGAGGAUUUGUGAUUUGGAAAUUUUAGUCCUAAACUUGCAUAGAAGGAUGAAAUUGUUACUUGGAGCUAUGUGUGUUGUUAUUGUAGUUAAUAUUUUCAUUCUAAAGGUCUGUUUAGGUUGAUCUUGGUAUGUGGCUCAAUGUUUUGGUUUGGUAUGUGGCUCAAUGUUUUGGUUUGGUAUGUGGCUCAAUGUUUUGGUUGAGGUGUAAGACAAUAUUUAUGUUGAUAUGAAUGUGAAGGUGAAGCUGAAUGUUGACAUUGAAGUGUAGCUGAAUGUUUUUGUUCAUGUAAUGUCAAGGUCUAUGUAAUGUGAAGGCGUUUAUGUGAAAUGUUAAAUAUAGUAUCUGCUUUCAUUUUAAAAUGUCCAAUGUGGUCCCAAAUUGUAUUUAAAUUUGUUUACUUUUGGUCCCAAAUGGAUAUGAAAAAUCUCUAAAUCUUUAAAUUACAUUUUCUUGCACCUGCAGUCCACCAUCCACCUCUACUUCAACCUCACUGUCCACUCCACCCUCACUCUCUACUUCAACUUCAACUUGACUCUUCAUUACAAUUUCUUCCUGCACUCUACCAUCCACCUCGUGCACAACAUUUUCUUGCACCUGCAAUCCACCAUCCACCUCGUUUCCACCACUUUCUUCCACUUGUAGUCCACCAUCCACCUCCUUUGCACCACUUUCUUCCACCUGUAGUCCACCAUUCACCUCCUUUGCACCACUUUCUUCCACCUGCAAUCCACCAUCCACCUCCUUUGCACCACUUUCUUCCACCUCCACUCCACUUUCUUCCCUAACCCCCAAAUAAAACAUCAACAACAGCAACUAAUUAGGCUUAGAUAAUGAUCCCUUACCUCACCUCCGUACGAUGUUCCAUUUUCACCUUCAAUGAAUCAACAGUAGAAUGACCACAAAUCACCACUUUCACAACAACCAAGAUCCCAAAAAUGGCGUUAUUAGAUAAGGGUAAAGGUUUUUUUAAUUUAACCUAAUUUUUCUCUUUUUAUUUUAAUCCUUAAUAUUUAAACAUUUAAAUGACUUCAGACAGCCACAUAAGCUUCGUUUUAAACAGCUCACUAAUGUUUCGCCACGCUAGCAUCUGCACCGUUACGAUUUUAACACUGUCUGCCAAAAGGACGAUAUUGAACAAUUUUUAAAGAAAAGCUCACAAGCACUUUUAUGAACUUAUAUUUGCUGUGACAAAGAUCUGGUUCAGUCGAAUACACUGGUAUUGGAUUCGGCUAAGCUAAAAUCUUAGUAUAGAUUUUGUGAACACGUGCUUGAUGAAAUUUUCAGUUGAAAAGAAUUUCAAAGUGUUUUUUCAAGUGUCAGUCGACAUGGUGGAACACCUAUUCGACUGUGUUGUUGUUAUUUUUGGAAUUCUGUUAUACCUACUUGCUCCAACGACUAGUUUUUCAAAAGUUAGUUAAGAUUGACUGACUAAGUCAACUGUCAUGAAUGUGCAUUGAAUUGGUUGACUGAGUAGCCUCUAUGUUGACUGUCAGUUAUAACUGUUUUAAUACAGUCGACUGGAUUAGUAGGGUAUUCGACUGAGAAUGACAGGAAACCUAUAAAUAGAACAGAGCACGAUCUGUUCUGUAAGAAGUAGAGAAAUUUGGUGAUCUAACAUUUUCAUUGUCUUGUUUCAGAGUUAUUUCUCAAUUUUGGAAGCUCCAAGAAUUCUCCAAGAAGACGGUGGUGAUCUUUCUUGAGAGAGAUUCAGAUUGAGGAGCCAAUUGCGCAUACUGUUUGAUCAACAUCUGCACAGAGAAGGUGCUUCUGUUUUGAUCUUGAAGGCUUGACAUCCUGUAAAGACUGUUGCAUUUGAUUGAAGGCUUGACAACGUGGGAAGUGUGAUGUGAUAGGCUUGGCAACCUGUGAAGCGUGCUGUUAUAGGCUUGACAUCCUGUGAAAAGUGCUGGUGACACGUUGAGGAUUGUUCAACGUGGGUGCAGAUUGCAGAAGAGGGGAUUAUUGCUGCAAUUCUGGUUUUGUGUGCAGCAAUAUUUGGUUUUGGGUUAGAGUGGAGAUUUAUAUUUUUGCGUGGUGCUUCUAUAAAUUCCUUGUUGUAAAAACCGCAACCAUUAUAGUGCAUUUGCUUCCAAGGUUGGAACAACACUGGAUGUAGACAUUGUUUGCCGAACCAGUAUAAAAACCAGUGUUUGAUUUUCUCUAUCCCUGCACUCGUUAUUUCAGUCGACUUUAUAUUUAGAGCAGUCAACUAUGUUUUUCCCCUGCAUUGAAAUUUUCAUUACUUGCAUUUCAAGGAAAGAUCAAAAGCUUUGAAUUUUCAUACCAAGAUUGCUUCCAAGGUCGGCCUUCUGUUUACGGAUUUGUCGAACCUCAGACCGUUCAACGUUGUGGUAACACAGCGAAACCAAACAAAGUUAUUUGCAAACAUGGAUGGCUGAGUCAAACAUAGACAUAUACCUUGUGCCAUACAUUGAUGGGUAUGCGUUGUUUUAUGUAAAAGGUAAUUAAAGUUUACUUAAUUAGUUUACUAACUAUUUAUGAUGUUCCAAACAAGGCUCACUGGCAGCUGGGGUCCUCAUUCCCAAAAAAAGUACAGUUGUCUUCUUUUGUUCGCUGCAAAGGAAGAUGAAAAAUGACUUGAAAACCAUCCUUCAAGGGUAAGUGUUUCGCUAAAAAUGACUUUUAAAUUCAUAUCAGCCUUAAUUUUUUAUGAUUUCAUACUUAUAUUCAUAUUACUUUAGGUUUUAAUGUAAAUAAAGUAAUGGGUAAAUCUCGAGGUCAGCUAAAUCAAGUCUUGUAUCCCAAGGUUUGGUGCAUUUAUAGUUUUAAUUCAUUUACUAUGUUAUUCAAUGAUCUUAAUUCUUGACUAUAUUUAGUUUGUCAUUUUAGUGUAACACACAGCUAGAUACAUGGGAAUGUGGGUACUAUGUGAUGUCUUGAAUUAAGACCAUAAUUCGAGCUGGCAUUACAGAUAACUUGAAUGAAGUAAUAAGGCUUACUUUGAAAACAUCAAAAAUCAAUUAAUACUUUUGAACAUAUAUCAAACGAUAAUCAAUAUUUCUUAAUUGUGCAGCGCUUCAACAAUUCAUCUGCUUUAUCCGGAGACAUGAUAAAGUAGCUAAGGCAGGAGUGGACAACUUAUCUUCUCGAAAAGUGGAACUAGAACAAGACUUAUUUUUGUUGUUUUCAAUUACUUAGGUUUAGUUUAAGAUUAUAAUUUCAUUUUUUUGAUCUUUGAUUGAAUUAUAUCUAUUUAUAGCUCAAACAAACAAUUAUUUAUUAUAAACAAUUGUUCUGAGAAUUUUUUUUUGAAUUUCAGGUGUGGUUAUAUUCGAAAAAUAAAAUAUUUAUUAAAAAAAAUACCCAAUAAACGUCGGUUAAUGCAAAACUGACGUCUACAGACGUCAGUCAAUGAACAAAGUGACGUCUAACAAGUAACAGUGGACAAAACAAUCCAGCGUGUACAAACGUCUCUUUUGUUGACCACUAACGUCUAUGUUAACGUCUAUAGUGACUCCACCUAACGUCUCUGUAGACGUCUGUCCUUACUUGACUGAUGUAAAGUUAACGUCACUGGAAUAGACGUCGAUUUUGUAAGUAACAUCAAAAAUUCAAAAUAACCGACGUUAAACAGCAAUUUUACACUAAGACAAUUUCAUCUUGAAUUUAUUAUCUUUUGUUUGAAUUGCUAUUUGAAAAGUUGGGUAAUGUAAAAUGUUUUCCCAAAUUUCUAACUGUGGGAUUUACAUUAGUACAUAAUCAAGGUAGAAAAACCUAAUUUAAUUUAUCUAUGCUCCAUAGGACAAGGAAAAAGGUUUCCCUUCAUUAAAAUAACAUAAAAAUAAUUCUUGAAAGUGUAAAACUUUGUCUUGACUUCAAGUGUUCAUGAGCUAACAAUUCCAUAUAAUCUACUUUAUGCAUAAAGUUAAAGUCCUUAAUUAUUAAAUAAUUAGGUACCAAAUUAAAGUACAAUUAUAUUUGUCUAGGGUAAUUUCUUAUAUCUAUAACAUUAUCAUUUUAUAUAUCAAUUAUGUCAAUGUUAGAAUUGUUUCAACAAAUGUCCCUAGCUAUAAUAUAGUAUUCUUUUUUUUUCUAAAACAAGUGUCAUGUCCUCAAAAGCUCAUGAUUUUUAAUAAUAUUAAUCAUCAUAAUUAGGCUUGCAAUCAAAAACCUUACAACUAAUUCAAAUACAAUGUUAUUAAUAUUAUUGAAUUAUACAAUUAAAUAAAAAACAAAUAUAAAUAAAACAAAAAUUUCUCAUUUGAUUUAGAUUUUCUCUCUAUUCGAGAUAUUAAGUUUGUAAUAAGAUUAAUAAGAAUAGUUAUUCUACAAUAAUGUAAAUCAGUAAAUAAAUCUAUUAAUUUAUAUCGUUACUGAAACAAUAAUUAAUAGUACAUUAAUGCAAAUCAUAUCAUCCUCCAAUUUUGUAAGUAAAUUCUUUUUUUCAACAUAACAUUUCGAGAUACUAUUAAAUACUGAAGUAUAUAAAUAUAUAUUUGCAUUUGUUUCUAUUCCUCAACUCACAAACUCCUUGUGGAUCCUCAAUAUAUUACUGACAUGAUCUUAUACUUUUAUAUAUCGGUAUAGAUAUACAUGUAGACACGUCUAAAAAAAUUAAAGGAUAAUCUAAUAGAACUAUAACAAUCACUAUCAUAAUUCAAAUAUUAUAUACAAAAGUGAAUUAUUCUUUCAUCAUACAAAAUUUUUAGUUAACCAAUCAUCAUAAUAUUAUAUUGUAACUCACCCAAAGAUUCCAUUCUGCUCACAUAUUAUCAUACCAUUCAAUUUCAUACAAUCAUUCACAACAACUUCAUUCAUAUUAUAUUAGCAAUCGUAAAUAUACCAAUCCAUAUACCAAAUAUUUAUAGACACAAUGUUAGACACAAAAUCCAUUGAAUACAAAAUCCAUUGAACGGAGUAUAUACUAGUGUAUAUACUAGUAUAUAUAUAUAUAUAUAUAUAUAUAUAUAUAUAUAUAUAUAUAUAUAUAUAUAUAUNNNNNNNNNNNNNNNNNNNNNNNNNNNNNNNNNNNNNNNNNNNNNNNNNNNNNNNNNNNNNNNNNNNNNNNNNNNNNNNNNNNNNNNNNNNNNNNNNNNNNNNNNNNNNNNNNNNNNNNNNNNNNNNNNNNNNNNNNNNNNNNNNNNNNNNNNNNNNNNNNNNNNNNNNNNNNNNNNNNNNNNNNNNNNNNNNNNNNNNNNNNNNNNNNNNNNNNNNNNNNNNNNNNNNNNNNNNNNNNNNNNNNNNNNNNNNNNNNNNNNNNNNNNNNNNNNNNNNNNNNNNNNNNNNNNNNNNNNNNNNNNNNNNNNNNNNNNNNNNNNNNNNNNNNNNNNNNNNNNNNNNNNNNNNNNNNNNNNNNNNNNNNNNNNNNNNNNNNNNNNNNNNNNNNNNNNNNNNNNNNNNNNNNNNNNNNNNNNNNNNNNNNNNNNNNNNNNNNNNNNNNNNNNNNNNNNNNNNNNNNNNNNNNNNNNNNNNNNNNNNNNNNNNNNNNNNNNNNNNNNNNNNNNNNNNNNNNNNNNNNNNNNNNNNNNNNNNNNNNNNNNNNNNNNNNNNNNNNNNNNNNNNNNNNNNNNNNNNNNNNNNNNNNNNNNNNNNNNNNNNNNNNNNNNNNNNNNNNNNNNNNNNNNNNNNNNNNNNNNNNNNNNNNNNNNNNNNNNNNNNNNNNNNNNNNNNNNNNNNNNNNNNNNNNNNNNNNNNNNNNNNNNNNNNNNNNNNNNNNNNNNNNNNNNNNNNNNNNNNNNNNNNNNNNNNNNNNNNNNNNNNNNNNNNNNNNNNNNNNNNNNNNNNNNNNNNNNNNNNNNNNNNNNNNNNNNNNNNNNNNNNNNNNNNNNNNNNNNNNNNNNNNNNNNNNNNNNNNNNNNNNNNNNNNNNNNNNNNNNNNNNNNNNNNNNNNNNNNNNNNNNNNNNNNNNNNNNNNNNNNNNNNNNNNNNNNNNNNNNNNNNNNNNNNNNNNNNNNNNNNNNNNNNNNNAUUAAAUUACUAUUUUUUUCUCAAAUAUAACAUUAACAAUUAUCAUUUUAUAUUAUUUUAAUAGCUAGGGGUAUUUUGGUAAUCUUUAAUUUCUAUUCAUUAAACAAAUUUUUUAAAUCUAUCAUAUCAAUCAAAUUCUACACUAAUUCUCACAAACUUUACCUUCAAAUCCACUCUCAAUUAUCCACAAAUCCAUUCAAAAAAACAACAAAAAAAUUACCCUCAAAUCUACUCAAAUCCAUUCAAAUCAUCUCUCACAAAUCAUCUCCCCCAAAUCUUACCAAGAGAACACAGCCUUAAGGUUCUGUCUUUAUAUUUGUUGGAUCUAAUCCCUUCCCAUUUAUUUACAAGAUCUACUAUAUCAUCUAAACCACUUAGAUUCUUCCUCUUUGACUUGGGGACACCAUAACUAUAAUGAUAUCUCAAUGACAAAUCAUCAGUCUUUUCUACAUCAUCUGACUUAGCAGGAUGGUUAUUAGUCUCAAAAGCUAACAAUUUAUCAUCUUUCUUCUUCGAUUUAUUGGGAGUACUAGUUAGAUCAUAACAUUUGGAAUAAUGUUUAGAGGAUUCAUUCAAUCCAACUCACUUCCUGCUAAAUUUUUUUAUAAAUUCUUACUAACUUAUCUGUUUUCAACUAUGCAAGUUGACAAAAAUAAUUGCAACUUACACUGGACUUUUUUUAGUUUAACUAAUUUCAAGAUUUUGUUUUUCAAAAUCUAAUGAACUAUAAGUUCUUUUAAUUAUUUUAGCCUGGUGAAAAACACAGUUAUAUAAUAAAAUACUAAUUAAAAUAAUAACAAGAAAAUAAUAACGCUCUUAAACUUGUUUAUUUGUGCGGGUUGCCGGACUUUUAUUUAAUUUUACUAUUCAUUUUAGUCAUAUGAAUAAGUCUCAUUUUAUUUAAAUUUAUUAAUUCUUCUUUAAAUUAAAAUCAAUAAAGAGGAUUGUUAGUAAGAAACUCAAUAAAACAUAAUUCUAAUAUAGUUUGCAUUAUAGGCUAAUCUUCAUUAAAAAUUGUAAAAUCAGGAGAGAAUCAUAUAACAAGAUACCAGACUUAAAAAAACUGUGAUUUUCAAUAAAUUACAAAGAGUGGGUUAAAAAUAAUGAGUUAUCAGUACUUUUAAUUUAAAUAAUAAUCUAACAAAACAUUUACUUGAAAUUCAAAGACCUAAUUCAUCCAAAAUACGAGUUAAAUGCAAUAUCAAAAUUAUCAAAAACCUAAUUCAUCAAAAACAGAUACUAGAUCAGGGCUAUCCUGAUUGAUUGAACAGAUCCAAAUCAACCGCGAAAAAGAAUGAAAAUACACCGAGUCUUUAUAAAGAUGAAUUUAUUGAGUCAACGCAAUUAUACAAAGAGAAGAAAAUUACAACCUAAAGAAUUAUACAAAGAACCCACUACAUGAGGAUUCAGACCUAAAAAAUUAUACAAAAACCUCUUAUUGUCCCGUCGAAUUGUCCCCCGGAUCAGUGAUGACCGGAUUACUUGUAGUCGGAUUAGUGAUGAUCGGAUUACUUGUAGCCGGUUUAGUGAUGACCGGAUUAGUAGGGCAAGGAGUAGUUGGACAACGCGGAGGCCCCUCAUCACUAAGUUUAAUUAAUUCUUUAUAAUACUUACCCGCUUCUUUGUAGAUCUUCAAUGACGCGUUGACCCUGUUUUCUUCCAGACGGAGGAUCGCGGAGUUUAAGUGAACCUUAACAAGAUUCUUAUGCAAUUCUAUUUCCUUAUGGUAGGACUCCAGAUCAGUCAUAUUCGCCAUGAAGAAAAUUGAUAUCAAAGUGUAAGGAUUGUAACUAUUGAUGUUGAAAGAGUAACCAGCGUACAAUAUAUAGAAUGUACAUAACCAGCGUACAAUAAUUAACGUACAAUAAUUAAGGAAAGAAUAUAUCAAUUAUUUAAGACAAAAUCAAUUAUGCAGAAACUAAAUAAGGUAAACUAUAAUCAAAUAUAUUAUUUCCUAUCAUCCCCCUCAAACAAAGCGUGAGAUUUGGUCCAAUGUGAAGUUUGGCUCUGAAGAACUGGAACAAUGGUCUAGGCAGACUUUUAGUGAAUAUGUCUGCUAGCUGGAGAUCAGAAGGAAUGAAUUGAGUGAUGAGUUUGUUAGAUAGAAUAAGCUCUCGAACAAAGUGAUAAUCAAUAUCAAUAUGUUUAGCGCAUUUGUGAGCCACCGGAUUUUGGGAGAGGAAUAUCGCACUCUUGUUGUCACAAAGAAGAGUUGGCGCUUGAUGGGAAAUAUGCAGAUCAUGUAGAAGAUGAGUAAGCCAUAUUAGUUCAGCUGCAGCAUUAGCCAUGACUCUGUAUUCUGAUUCACAACUUGAUCGAGCUACAGUUGGUUGAUUCUUAGCACUCCAUGAGACGAGAUUACCGCCUAAGAAGAUGGAAUAACCAUAGGUAGAUCGCCUAGUCUCAAUACAUCGAGCCCAAUCAACAUCCAAGUAUCCAAGAACAUUAAGGAAAGCUCCACGGGUAAAGGAUAGGCCAUAAGACAUGGUGCCCUUGACAUAUCGAAGGAUGCGUUUAACUGCUUGAAAGUGAUCAUUUGUUGGAGCUUGAAGAAACUGAUUAACCAAAUUUACCGCAUAGGACAAGUCAGGACGAGUUAUAGUGAGAUACUGGAGUGCACCAACGAGAGAGCAAUAUUGAGUGGGAUCAGAGAAUGGAUCUCCUGUGGUUGUCAGUUGAAUAUGAGGUUGGAGAGGUGUGGCUGUCGGUUUUGCAUCCAAUAUCUGGGCCUUAGAUAAAAUGUCUUGAGCGUAUUUGGUCUGGCUAAGAAAGACACCAUUGGUAAUGUAGUGGACCUCGAGACCAAGAAAGUAAUUUAGAUGGCCUAAAUCCUUGAUAGCAAACUCAGUUUUGAACCUUGCCAAAAGUUUUUGAAGUAAAGAAUUAUUAUUCCCUGUCAAAACUAUGUCAUCAACAUAAACAAGUAUAUAUAGAGUGGCAGCAGUGUUGUGGUAGACAAAUAAAGAUGGAUCUGCCUUGCUUCCGAGGAACCCAAGACUGAGCAAAAACGAGCUGAAAGACUAAGCAAAAACGAGCCGAAUCGUUGAAACCAUGCAAGAGGGGCCUGUUUGAGGCCAUAAAGAGCUUUCCAAAGUCGACAAACAUGAUUUGGGUAUCGAGGAUCAACGAACCCAGGAGGUUGUUCCAUAUAGACAGGAUGUGUCAGGUGCCCAUUCAAGAAUGCAUUGUUGACAUCCAAUUGAUGAAGAGGCCAAUUAUUCAUUACUGCUAGAGUGAGAAUGACACGAACAAUGGCAACUUUAACAACAGGACUGAAGGUGUGAUCAUAGUCAAGACCAGGUGUUUGAGUGAAGCCUUGUGCAACCAACCGUGCUUUUAAUUUGUCAAUUGACCCAUCUGAAAGAUAUUUGGUGCGAAACACCCAUUUGGAUCCUACAAUGUUGGUGUUGGAUGGGCGUGGGACAAGAUCCCAAGUAUUGUUGGAGUGUAGGGCCAGGAACGCUUUAUGCAUAACAUCCAACCAACCAGGAUGUUUUGUAGCGGAUUUGAAUCCUUUGGGUGUAGAAGUGGUGAGCAGAGCAUAAAGAAGAGAAGAUGGUUGGUAGGUGGUAAUGUCAACAAAAUGACGAGGCCUAAAAAUACCUGAUUUGGCGCGUAUGACCAUAGGAUGAGUAGACUAAACACUACGGUGUAUUUGUGGUUUAGUAUCAGGCAUGGAAACAGAAGUUGAAGGAGUAUCUUCAGUAGGACAUAGACCACAAGGUGUGGUUGGUGAGUGCACAGUUUCCUCGGAUAGUGGCAAAGAAGAAGUUGGUGCAGGAGCUGGAGUAGGAAUUUCAGGUGUUGAGGCUGGUUCAACAAAUGAAGAAAAACCCAAUCCGGAAAUUGGAGAUCUAGUUCCUGUUUUUGAAUACGAAAAAUAAAGUUCAUCAAACUUGGCGUGUCUUGUUACAUAUAACCGGGAGGUUGAAGGAUCCAAACAUUGAAAUCCUUUAUGGUUGCUGUUGUAUCCAAGAAAAAUACAAGGUGCACUGCGAUGAGACAAUUUGUUAGUGGCAUAGUCACGGAGACAAGGAUAAACCCGACAACCAAAAGGAUGAAAGUNNGCAUAAUUAGNAGGNGUAUUAUAUAAGGUCUCANAUGGAGAAACANCAUUUAGAAGAGUGGUCNGUAACCGAUUUAUGACAUAAACAGCACAACAAAAAGCAUGUAGCCAAUAAUGAGCAGGGAGAUGUGAAUGAAAAAGCAUUGCAAGGCCCGUUUCAGUGAUGUGACGAUGUUUGCGUUCAGCUCUACCAUUUUGGGCUGGUGUAUGAGGGCAAGACAUAAGAUGAAGAAUUCCAGCUUCAUUUAGCAAGGUCUUGACUUUGUUAUUGUUGAAUUAUGUGCCACCAUCACUUUGGAAAGUUUUUAUAGUUUUAUGAAACUGAUUUUCAACAAAUUUCUUGAACUGGACAAAUACAUCAUAAAAAUCAGAUUUCAGGUGCAUUGGAUAUAACCAAGUGAAUCUAGAAUAGUCAUCAAUGAAAAUCACAUAAUAUCGAAACCCAAAUUUUGAACAAAUGGGAGCAGGUCCCCAUAAAUCACAAUAAAUUAAAUCCAGCACAUGCGAUGUGCGUUUAUCAUUUAGGGAAUAAGGUAGUCUUUUGCUUUUAGCUAAUUCACAAGAGUCACAAAUGGAAGGAGUUGGUAAAAUAGAAGAUAAAGACAAAAGACCUCUUUUUCUUAAAUGGGAAAUAGUAUCAAAGUGAACAUUGACCGAAACGAUAAUGCCACAAUUCAAAUGAUCCUCGUAGCUUAUUUGAAUUUAAAACAGAAACAAAGGCAUUUUGACCAUGCUCCAAUACAUAUAAGUUGUGCUCACGCCUCCCUUUUGCUAGAAUUUCCUUUGUACCCCUUUGCUGAAGCAGAAAAGAUGUGUCAGUAAAGAUAACAUCCAUAGGAAAGUCACGUGUAAGUUUGCUAAUUGAAAUGAGAUUCUUUUGGAGUCCAGGCACAACAAGAAUAUCAAGAAGGUUUAAAGUAUUUGUCAAACGAUGAGAUCCAAUAUGGGAAAUGGGGAGAGCAUUACCAUUUCCAACAGUAAUUGUGUGAUUACUAGAAUAAGGCUCAAUUGAGUCUAAAUCAGAUGAAUUUGCUGUCAUGUGCUCCAGUAUCGAGGUACCAAUCAGAUUGGUUUGAAUUUGAUAGAGUGCAAGAAUUUGCAAAUGAUUUAGUAAGAUUGGCAGAUUGAGGUGGGCCACCUUCAUAACGUUGAUGGCAAGAUGUGGCAUAAUGACCUUCUAUUCGGCAGAUUUGGUAAUAGAUAGGACGACGUCCUCUACCGCGACCACCACGACCUGAGUAUUGGUAACCACGAACUGUUUUGCCAUUUGAGAAAGAACGCGACCCAGAUUGAAAACGUGUAUUGGAUGAUUGAGAGGAACGUUGAGUAGUGGUAUUAAAAGCAACUUGAGAGGGAGUAGAUUCAACGGCAUGUAAAUACAUUUCAAAAACUCUCGGCAGCAGAAAGAAGAUCACGAAAAACAGGCAGUGGUCGCAUGGCUAAUUGAGAUGCACCAAAGCUAGUGAAAGUUGGACCUAAACCCCCGUAAAAACCAGUGUAAUAUAUCUAAAUCAUCCACUGGUCUACCCAUAAGGCUGAGUUGAUCACAUAAGCCUCGAAACGUUUUAGAAAACUCCCUAACAGUGGAUGAACCUUUUGUAAGGUGCAACAGUUGAUCUCUGAUCCCAAUUUCUCUUUGCUUGGAGUCACCACCGUAGAGGGAUUCAAGGGUAGUCCAGAUCUGUUGUGCGGUGUCACAGUGCGAUAUUUUAGCUAGAGUCUCUUCAGUAAGGGAGGCCUGAGGAAGACUUACAAGUCUUUGAUCUUGUUGUUUCCACGUGAUAAAGGCUAGAUUAGGAACCGUCAAAGAUCCAUCAGCAGCAGGCAAUUUCAUAGGAGGAGUUAUGAUUGAGCCAUCAAUAUGACCAUAAAGGGCCUAUCCUUCGAGAAGAGGAAGGAGCUGACGACGCCAGAGAAUGAAAUUGGUUGAGGUGAGGCGUAUGUUUAACAUGUGGAUCAUGGUGUUAAAGGAAAAAACACCAUCAAUAUUAGCCAUAGGGAAGAAAAGAAAAGAAGAAUGGAUAAGGAAGGAUCGAAAUUAGGCUGAUACCAUGUAAGGAUUGUAACAAAUGUGUUUUUAUUGAUGUUUAAAUAGUAACCAGUGUACAAUAUAUAGAAUGUACAUAACCAGCGUACAAUAAUUAAGGAAAUAAUAUAUCAAUUAUUUAAGACAAAAUCAAUUAUACAGAAACUAAAUAAGGUAAACUAUAAUCAAAUAUAUUAUUUCCUAUCACAAAGAAACAAAGAAGACGAACUCUCCACAAUUAAUGUUUCAGCACGGAGGGCAGCAAGAAGAAUGAUGAAAUUGGUGGACAGUUGAUGCUUCAGCACGGAGGGUAGCCAAAAAAAAUGAUGAAAUUGGUGGACAGUUGAUGCUUCAGCACGGAGGACAGCCAAAAGAAUAAUGAAAUUGGUGAAGGUAAAGACUCAUAUAAAUGCAUUAUAUAACAAGGUUUAGACAGAAGCAAUAAUAAUUUCAAAAAAAAAAAUUCUAAUCAAAAUAAGGUUGAAACAAUAAAAUAUAACAGUUUCAAAGUCUACUCGGAGAACCUGCUGAAACAAUAAAAUAUAACAAUUAGAUAAAGUAAUAAUUACCUUUCUUCAUCAACUCGCAGUAAACAAUAUAAUAUUCAUAUUAAAAGGAUGGUCAAUGUCGGGAAAUAUUUGAGAUAAAUUUUUAGUUUUAUAUUUUUUCUUUUUAUAACUUUUUUUUUUGUAAAUUAAUAUUUUUAUUUGAACUUUUAAUAAAAUAAGAAUGUAAUUUUGUAUCAAUUAUAUAUUUUAGGAAGAAAAAAUUGGAGUGUUACACCAAAAUGCUCUUAUAACAUUUUGAAUUUUUUUCAUAAUUUUUAUUUUAAAUUAUAUAUAUAUAUAUAUAUAUAUAUAUAUAUAUAUAUAUAUAUAUAUAUAUAUAUNAAGAAGAGUUAAAAAUAAAUAACAUUCGAAACUGUUUCAUAAUACUAACAUAAAUAAUUUUUACUUAUUAAGAAGAGUUAAAAAUAAAUAACAUUUGAAACCGUUUCAUAAUACUAACAUAAAUAUUUUUGCUUAUUAAAAUAUAUUAAAAAAAAUUAAUAUCAACUUUAGUAACAUUAAAACUUAACCGAUGUUAAUUAUAUUUAAAACUAAUUUAAUAUUUUCUGAAAGAUAAUAUUUUUCCUGAAAAAGAAAAAAGAUUAGAAGUGAAGAGAGAGAGAGAGAGAGGAAUAGAGAAAGCACAUUCCACACUUUUAUGAAAAAAUAAAAAAACAACAUAAAAAGAUUAGAGAAUGGAAGAAAGAAUGGGUCUUCGACAGGUUGUCGCAUUAAAGAUAACGUAAUAAACAUAGACUAAUAACGUAAAUUUCUAAACAAAUACAAAUUUAGUCUAACUUGUACAAGCUUUUAAUUGUUUAUGGUAAAAGUUAAGAAAUAGAAUUUAAGUUUAAUUUAAUUUUAGACAUAAUAAUAAUUAAAAAAAUAGAAUUUAAAUUUAACUUAAUUUUAUGAAAAAAAUUUAAUAUAUAUUUUAGGUUAAGAUAUAUAUAUAUAUAUAUAUAUAUAUAUAUAUAUAUAUAUAUAUAUAUUUAAAAAUAGAAAACGAAUUUGAGAAUCUCGAAAUUUCAAAUUCUCAAACACCAAAUGAAUAUGGUUUUUAAUUUGUUUUCAUUUCAAAGCAACUACAAUAUUUUUAGCAAAAAUAUGAUUGAAAAAAAAAAAUCUGAAAACAUUAAGUUCACUUAUAAGAUUAACUACAAAAAAUUGAGUUAAAUUUUAAGGAGAAGAGUAUUUUAAAUAUCAAAAAUAUGUUUUAAUAUUUAAAUCUUAUAUUAUACAUUCCAUAAAUAAUAUUUGAAGAAUUUUGCAAAAUUAUUUUAUGACAACUAUUUUAGAAAAUAAAAUUUUAUUGUAGUUAAAUUUAAUCUGUUAACUUUUAUUAGUAAAUUUUAAUUAAGUGAAUUUUUGAAUUAUAAAUUUUAGAUUAAAUGAAAUAAAUUAUUAAUAUGUUUUUAAAAUUGUAAAUUAGUAGCAAGUCAAAACAACCAUCAUAUAAAAUUAUUUUGUUUAUUUAAUAAUUCUUAAUAAUUUAUAUUAUAUUUUAUUGAUAAAAAUAAAUAUUAAUUGUUGUCGGGGACCAUUCUGCUGCAACAAUUUAAAACUAUUCAUAAUCUUGAAAGCUAACUAAUGGUACCUAAAACAUAAAUAAAUAUUAAAAAAUUAUAAAUAAAUAAUUAUAAUUUCUAGUUUUGUUAAUUGAUUUUACUUGUAAAAUCAUUUGUUAUUGUGUAAAAUGAUGAUAGUAGUUUUACAUGAGACAAAUUAGGAAUAAGCUAAUUAUAAUAAUCAUCGCAAUGAGACUAUUAUUUUAGUUUUAAAAUAAUUCAAUUAUAUAAAUAGAAUUUUUUAAACUCAUUUCAUUAUCUAAAAAAUAAAUUAUCUCUUUAAAAACUUGUUCCUUGAGUUUUUCUACCUUCUCUCUAAGAAAUCUAAUUCCUUCAGCAUUUGUUUAACGAUUAAGAAGUGUCUAAGAGAUCACAACCGAGUAAUCUUCAUUCCUAUCUGAUCAGUUUCUGGUUUAGAGUAAGUAAGUUUUUACCUUUUUUUCCUUUUGUUCUCCAUCUAUGAUCAUGCUUAGGAACCCCUUCACAUGUCAUUCAUACUCUAUUCUUGGUUCUUUGUUAAUUUUUUGUCCUAAGGACUUCAAUCAUGAUUUUGUGAUUUAUAGACAUUUUUAGAGUUUUCUUGAGCUCGUAACAAAGGUAGUGUAUCGUGUAGAGCUUGAUACUGUCCUCUCUAAAGUAAGAGAAGCUAGUGUUUGUAUUUAAAUUGAAUUAUAAUGUAUGAAAUUGUAACUAAGGGUAUGUAUUUUGUUGUAUAAAUGGUUGGCUAUGUAUAAAAAUGCUUGUUUUAGUGUUAAUUGUCGUUUAUUGAGGAUAAUGAAUGGAUAAUGCUUGAUGCUUUGUUUGAUUUAUGUUUGAACUUGGAAUAACCUUGUGAAAUGCAAUUGGUAUGAUGAUAUCAAUGUUAAUUUUGGUUAAAAUAUUAAGAGGAAAGGUAUGAGUAGAAUUAUAGGUCAAUUUUGUGUGUAUUGAGAGGUGAUUUUCUGAAAUAUUGGUUUAAUGUGAGAAUUUGUGGUUUGGGACAAUUAAUUUAGCCUUUUGUGAUUUGUUUAGGAUGAGAAUAAACUUAUAUGUGUUUUAGAAUGGAGUGGUAGUCAUUGUUAGUGUGUUUGCCAUAUCGUUUAAAGUGUAUUUUUGGGGUUUUAAAAGGCGAGUUUUUGAGAUAAUGGUUGGAUGGGAAAACCAGAAGUUUAGGGUCAGUUUUUAAGUCAAUUAGGACUUGUUUAAAUAUUGAGUUAGGCAGUGGAUCUAAUACUUGGUUCAUAUGUUGAUCUUUUCUGUCGCGUUUUAGUCAAUUUUAGAGGUUCUAACUGGUGAAAAUCUAAAGUAUAGGGGUUGUGAUGAAAAUGAGGUGUUGGGGGUAUGUUAUCGAGUCUAUUAUGACUUGUUCAGACCUCUAAUUUGCAUAAUUUGGUGUUAGAAGGUGUAGAUUUGAGUUUGGAUACUUUUGGAGAUGUCAUAUGGCUUAAUGCACCUAGUUAUGGGUCUAAUGAUCAAAUGGGUACUUAGUUUUACACAUAAACGUGUUUUCAUAUAAACUUUAAUGUUUAAAGAACUAAUUUGAUCAUUCAAAUAAGUCUCAAGUGCAUCAAAACCAUAAAACAUAGUGUGUUGUCAACUAAUAACUGAAUUAAGUUGUAUAUAUAUAAUUCUAAAUUGAAAUUGAUAUAUAAUCGUAAUUUUAGUGUGUUAUUGUUAAAUUCUCGCUGAAGCGAGAAUAACAUUGUAACUUAGUCCAAUUUUUGUCAAAUUCUCACUUAAGCAAGAAUACCAUUGCAACUUAACCCAAUGUGUGUCAAAUUCUCACUCAAGUGAGACAAUUUCACCAAAGUGACAAUAUACUCGCUCAAGUGACACCCUAUUUUCUAUUUUGAGUUAUCUUGCAAAAAUUAGGAUUUCCGCUUCGUUAAUCAUCAGAUCAAGUUGAAAUUUUGACAAUUGGUUCUAGACAUAUUAUUCUUUAUUUUGACUUUUCAGAUCUUUGAUUAGAGGUAUAUAUUGAGUGCAAUUUUCACAUAAGAUUCUCUUAGUGUAGGUUGUUGGCAACUUUCACUUCUGUUGCUUAUUUAAUACAUAACAUUUUUCUUAAUAAUACAAUUAAGUUUAUUCUUUUUGCAUUGCAUUCCUUAUUGGAUUAUGUUUAAUUUGAAUGUAAGAAUACAAUUUUUUAUGUUUUGUGGUUGAGGAAAUAAAUUUUUUAGUUUUGUUGUAAUUAAUAAAAACAAAAUGGUGUACAACAUGCCUCUAUUGAGUUAAAUGAUAUGCAAUGAGUUUGGAUGCAAGUCAAGUAUCUUCUAUGGAGUGUUCUGACUUGGAAGAGUUUUCGUUUGAUAUAAAUAUACCUAUAUGUUUGUAGUUAAUAGUAUUAUUGUUGUGAAGAAUUCAUAAGUUUUACAAAUUGAGAUUUUAGGAUUGAUUAUUGAAUAUGUGAACGAAUGGAAUAUGAUUUUAAGUUUGUGAUUUAGUUCUGAAUUGUGAAAUUGUAUUUUACUAAGAAGAAAAACUAGUGUGUAGAAUUAUUGUGUGGUUUAUAAAUGAAAAUAUAUGUGCUUGAGAUUGUCCUGACUAGUGAGUCGAUGGUGAUUCAUAUCUAGAUAGUUGGUUGAGGAAUAUGAAUUUUUCCUACCAUUUCAUAUGAAUCGGAUGUUAUUCAUACAUAUUUUGAUUAUGACUUCUGGGUGCAAAAGAAAUUUCAUGUGGAUUGAGUGCGAUUCAUACAUAUUUUUGUUUUGACUUCUAAGUGCAGAAAAAAUCUCUUGUGGAUCGAGUCUGGUCUAUAUAUAUUUUAGUUAUGACUUUUUGGUACAGAAGAAAUUAACAUAUGAUAGGUGCAUGAUCUUUUAAUACUAGUAUAUACUCAGUUCAAUGGAUUUUGUGUCUAUAAAUAUUUGGUAUAUGGACGGGUAUAUGUACGAUUGCUAAUAUAAUAUGAAUGAAGUUGGUGUGAAUGAUUGAUUGUAUGAAAUUGAAUGGUAUGGUUAUAUGUGAGGACAAUGGAAUCUUUGGGUGAGUUACAAUAGUAUUAUGAUGAUUGGUUAACUAAAAAUUUUGUAUGAUGAAAGAAUAAUUCAUUUUUGUAUAUAAUAUUUGAAUUAUGACAGUGAUUGUUAUAGUUUUAUUAGAUUAUCCUUUAAUUUUUUUUAAAUGUGUCUACCUGUAAUGAUUACAAGAGUAUAAGAUUACGUGGAUAGUAUAUUGAGGAUCCACAACGAGUUUGUAAGUUGAAGAAUAGGAAUAAAUACAAACAUAUAUUUAUAUACUUCAAUAUUUAAUAGUCUCUUAUUUGUAUGAAAUAUUAUGUUGAAAAAAAGAAUUUACUUGCAAAAUUGGAGGAAGAUAAAUACUCAAUAUAUUAAUUUGCAUUAAUGUACUAUUAAUUAUUGUUUUAGUAACGAUAUAAAUUAAUAGAUUUAUUUACUGAUUUACAUCAUUGUAGAAUAACUAUUCUUAUUAAUUUUAUUACAAACUUAAUAUCUCGAAUAGUGAGAAAAUCUAAAUCAAAUGAGAAAUUUUUGUUUUAUUUUUAUUUAAUUGUAUAAUUCAAUAAUAUUAAUAACAUUGUAUUUGAAUUAGUUGUAAGUUUUUUGAUUGCAAGCCUAAUUAUGAUCAUUAAUAUUAUUAAAAAUCAUGAGCUUUUGAGGACAUGACACUUGUUUUAGAAAAAAAAUAAAAGAAUACUAUAUUAUAGCUAGGGACAUUUGUUGAAACAAUUCUAACAUUGACAUAAUUGAUAUAUAAAAUGAUAAUGUUAUAGAUAUAAGAAAUUACCCUAGACAAAUAUAAUUGUACUUUAAUUUGGUACCUAAUUAUUUAAUAAUUAAGGACUUUAACUUUAUGCAUAAAGUAGAUUAUAUGGAAUUGUUAGUUCAUGAACACUUGAAGUCAAGACAAAGUUUACACUUUCAAGAAUUAUUUUUAUGUUAUUUUAAUGAAGGGAAACCUUUUUCCUUGUCCUAUGGAGCAUAGAUAAAUUAAAUUAGGUUUUUCUACCUUGGUUAUAUACUAAUGUAAAUCCCACAGUUGAAAUUUGGGAAAACAUUUUACAUUACCCAACUUUUCAAAUAGCAAUUCAAACAAAAGAUAAAUAAAUUCAAAGAUGAAAUGUCUUAUACAUCAACAACUAUAGAGUGCCAAAAACAUAAUUGUGUUCCUCUAAUGUAAAUCCCAUGUAAUUUUCGUUUUUCCCUUUGAUUUUUUUUUUUGCUAAUUUGUGUUUACGAUUGGCUUGAAAAAAAAAAUCAUCAAAAGAUUUUUGUUUCAUGUUUUAAAAAGUCGUAGUAAAAUCUUACUCAUGUUUAAGAAACAUGUCAUAAAAGUUAAUGAUUAUUCAUUCUUUUAGUGAUAUAAAUAUUUAUUAACUGCUUUCACAAUAUUCUUUUUUUUUUCUUACAAAUUUAUUGCUUUUAUAUAUAAAUUUAAGCAUUUCAAGUGUUCUUUAUAUAUAUAUAUAUAUAUAUAUAUAUAUAUAUAUAUAUAUAUAUAUAUAUAUAUAUAUAUAUAUAUAUAUAUAUGAUUUCUUAUCAGUAAUAAGGAAUAUAUAAAUAAAAAGUAAAACGUUAAGAAUGUCUUAAUCCUUGUAAAAAACUAUUAAUAGAUAUUGGCAAAGAGGUUCUACAAUGAUAAAAAAAAAAUCACUUUAAAUCAAUUUGCAAUAUUUUCAACCAAUGAAAAUCACUACAUACGUGUUCUACAAUUGAUAAUAUCAAUAGUACUGUUGUUAACCCCCAGAUAUUGUUAACCCCCAGAUUUUUUAUAUAUAUUAUUAGAUUGAUUAAUAAAACAAAUUGUCUCAUCGUAUAAAUAUACUGUACUAAUACAGGUAUCUAAAAAAAUAAUUAUAAUAAUAAAAUAUAUCUAACACAAUUAAGGAAAACUAUAAGAAAGAAUACUCCAUAACAUCAUCGUCCUCCACAAGAGAUACUUCAACAUUAAUUCUUCGUCUGCUUAUACCAAUAAAGUGAUAAUUGCAAAGGAAUCAAACAAACAUAUAAAAAAAAUAUAAAAGAAAAGCAACAUUGUAAGUUAAUGUUUAGAAGAGUUUACAUAAAACAAGGAUAGAGAUAUUAUCUUAUAUAACUCAUCAAUAAAAAUAAUCAUAUCAUAUAUAAGGACUCAUACACGACUCAUACUAAACUCAAUUAUCCAAAUAUAUAUAUUGGUAUCAUACUUUGCAGAAUUAUGUGUUAAUUGGAGGAGUCAUUCAAUCCAAGUAACUAAAAAUGGUCAACAUGUUCUUGACUUGGUUUGAUGAUUGAACGAUUGAUUUUUAUGAUGUUGAAUAAUAUUUCAGGUUUCAUAAACAACUUGUUAAAUUAUGAUUAAUUGUAUAUGUUAUCAAUCUAUCUUAAUUAUAUGAUGAUAUAUUCUUAGGAGUAAAAUUGUCAAAAAUCAGUGCCUUACUCUCUAUUUUAUUCGAUUAAGAAAAUAAUCUAAUUGAUUAAAAUUUGAAAUUUCAAGGUAUCUAUAACUUAAAAUUAGUGUAAUUAGCUUUGCUUACUUGACCAACAGAUGACAAGAUCCUUACUAGCGAACUUCUCCUAACUUAUGGAAUGCUCUAUCUACACAAAACAUCACAAGAACAAUAAUAACAUAUCGUUCCGAUCACUCAUCAACAAAAAUUCAUAUAAAUGACUAAAAAAAUGCAUUCAUGUGAAAGAUGUCUCACAUGCAAUAGAUAAUAGAAAAAAACCAAAAAACAAAAGUUGAAAUUCAAUUUACAUAAGAAAAAAAGAAACUGAUUGGUUCAAAUGUAAGAACUCGUCACGAGGAUUAAUUCAAUAAUUUUGAUUCUUCAAUCAUACGAACAGAGAUGAAGAACUCUUAUAAAGAAAUUAAAGAACUCUAAAAAAGUGGUUUCUAUAGGGAUGAAGUAUUUUAAAAUAAUAAAUCUCGUUUAUAAUAAAGUAUUUACGUUUAAAUUUUUAAAUAUUAAAAUACUCUAAUCUCAUUAAUUUUAAAUCACUAUCAUUUACAAAUGUCAUUUUUUAAGUCUUUACAUGAUACUAAAAAAGAAUUUCUAUUACAAAGUCUCUAUCUCCAACAAAAUAAAAUAUGAAAAAAAAAAUUGAUAAAAAGUUGUAAUAAAUAAAUAUAUGUUAAGUAGAUAAGUAAUAAAUAAAUAUAUGUUAAGUAGAUAAGUCUGAAUAAAGGAAAUAUAGAAAAGUGAGUGGAUCAAAGAGAUGUGUGUGUGGUUGAAGGAGAUAUGUAUGGUUAAAAAAGAUAAAAUUGGAUAAAGAAAACCAAUGUGAAUAAACUUAGUGAGAGAGAAAAUUUCUUUGAAAUAAAAUUUUUAUCCUAUUUAAAUCUAAACUUUUUGAUUAAAAAUAAUAUACUUUCUUUGAUGUUAUUAUAAAGAUGUACAAAGUCAUAACAUACAAAUUAGCAUUUGACUUAAUCAACAUUAACUUAAGUAAAUAUAAAUAUUAAAGUUAAAUAAAAUUAAGAUUAAUUAGUUAAGUGUUAACAUUAUUUAUUUAUAACAUUUAUUAUAAUUAAUAACAGUAAAACCAACAUUAUUCUAUUACACUAACAUAAAUAAUUUUUACUUAUUAAGAAGAGUUAAAAAUAAAUAACAUUCGAAACUGUUUCAUAAUACUAACAUAAAUAAUUUUUACUUAUUNNNNNNNNNNNNNNNNNNNNNNNNNNNNNNNNNNNNNNNNNNNNNNNNNNNNNNNNNNNNNNNNNNNNNNNNNNNNNNNNNNNNNNNNNNNNNNNNNNNNNNNNNNNNNNNNNNNNNNNNNNNNNNNNNNNNNNNNNNNNNNNNNNNNNNNNNNNNNNNNNNNNNNNNNNNNNNNNNNNNNNNNNNNNNNNNNNNNNNNNNNNNNNNNNNNNNNNNNNNNNNNNNNNNNNNNNNNNNNNNNNNNNNNNNNNNNNNNNNNNNNNNNNNNNNNNNNNNNNNNNNNNNNNNNNNNNNNNNNNNNNNNNNNNNNNNNNNNNNNNNNNNNNNNNNNNNNNNNNNNNNNNNNNNNNNNNNNNNNNNNNNNNNNNNNNNNNNNNNNNNNNNNNNNNNNNNNNNNNNNNNNNNNNNNNNNNNNNNNNNNNNNNNNNNNNNNNNNNNNNNNNNNNNNNNNNNNNNNNNNNNNNNNNNNNNNNNNNNNNNNNNNNNNNNNNNNNNNNNNNNNNNNNNNNNNNNNNNNNNNNNNNNNNNNNNNNNNNNNNNNNNNNNNNNNNNNNNNNNNNNNNNNNNNNNNNNNNNNNNNNNNNNNNNNNNNNNNNNNNNNNNNNNNNNNNNNNNNNNNNNNNNNNNNNNNNNNNNNNNNNNNNNNNNNNNNNNNNNNNNNNNNNNNNNNNNNNNNNNNNNNNNNNNNNNNNNNNNNNNNNNNNNNNNNNNNNNNNNNNNNNNNNNNNNNNNNNNAAUAACUUAUUUUUAUAUAUAUUGUAAAGUAAUUUUGUUUUUUAAUCGGAUUUUGAAAAGUAAAUAUAAAUAAUAUUAUGAUGUGAAAAUAGGAGUAGGUGUCCACUUUGAUAACAUUGGAUGAAGUCAUGCACAAUAAUGGCUUGGUUUGAAUUCCACGGCCUACAAUUUUUACAUUGAAAAAUGAAGAAGUCGUUAGAAAAGAAUGAAUUGCUACGCUAUACGGCGCCAAUUAAGUGAAAGGUCCUAAGCUUCCCUUCUCCACUCCUAUAUAUAUAGACUAUACCUUCCACUAUUUUUUCACAUUCUUCAAUACAGAACAAAUAAUCUCAUUCUCAUCUACGAUGACUUCCAACAUAACAAUACCACUUGUCUUAGGUUUCCUGCUCAUCUUCUUUUUUAUCUCAUCUCAAGUGGCAGCAAACGAUUUCAAAGAGAGUGAGUUACAUAUCAUUUUAUAUCAUCAAAAUAUAAUAAACUUUCCUAAGAAUAUGUAUUUUUAUAAACAUGCUAUCAUUUUGUAUUAGCUUAAAUAUAUUUCAUUACUUGAAUCUCAUUGGCUAAGGUCCGUAUGAUUACACUCAGAUCUUUUACGUAAAAUUGUAAACUUAACUAUUAUGGGAAAAAGUUUAUUGGGACUAAUAAUUUUUCUCAGAGAAUAAUAACAAGAAAAUUCGUGAAUGAUUUAUAAAAGAAAUGUUUUUGUAGUUGUUUUACUAGUGGUCAUUGUGAUUAUUUAUUUUUAUUUUAACUAAUCUAAUAUCUCUGGUUUUUAGACUUGUGAUAUAUUACUGAUUUGUUAAGGUUUUUUUUAUAAAAAAAAUAGAUAUAAAAAAGGACAAAACGUGAAGAAAAAAUAUAGUUAAUAUCGUUUCGAACUAUAUAAUUGCAAUAAUAAGAGGCAUAAUUUCAGAAAAAAAGAGCCUUUUCUAUUCAUUAAUUCUUAUUUAGCACCCUUCAAACAUUUGUUAUCCAAAGCUUUAAAUAUAUAAAAUCUAUAUUGAGAAUACAAGGUUUAUUUAUUUUUAUUUUUUAUUUUUGUAAAGAAAAUCAUAUCCAUAUUGACAAUUUUUUUCAAUUUGUUAUUAUUUAAAGGUUUUUCCUAACAAAUUAUAUUAUACCUAAAUAUGGGUGUGCAAAGUUCACUUUUCUAUAUCAUGCAUGCGUUAAGAGCUAUAAUAAUGCGUUUGCAGACGAGGUUGCUAGAAAGACAAAUGGAGUGGAUAAUGCCAACUUAGUUGACGGCGGCGGCUAUGGCUAUGGUGGUGGUUACCGCGGUGGCUAUGGCUUUGGUGGUUUCCCUGGUGAUUACGGGUACGGCGGUUUUCCUAAUUAUGGCUACGGCGGUUUCCCACGUGGUGGGUUUCCUCGAUGGUUCUGUCGUUUAGGUUGUUGUUAUAGGAAUCCGUACACAGGACAAUGCUUGAGGUGUUGCCCAUGAUAUUGUGAAGACUCCCAAAAAUGAGACAGUGGAGUUCAACCUAAUCAGUGUUAUAUUUCAUCAAUAAAAUCUCAUGUUAUGAGAGGUAUGGGUGGAUAAAUCAAAAUCCUUCCAUUCUUAUGUUAUGUAUCGUACAAUGUAUAUCAUCAUCAUUUGUAAGUCAAGUGUUUGCUUAUGUAUAAUUAUAAUGUCAUUACAAAAUUAUCCUUAUUUAUUCACGAGUUCAGAUUCUAUAUUGAAUUAUUUUUUUGUUAUCUUUUGUUAUAUUUUCAAAAAAUACAUUAGUGUUAUUAUUUAAAAGUCUUUUUAAUAUAUUUUAAAAUAUCAAUGAAGACACAAUAAAAAAGCAGAAAAAAUAAUUCAAUAGAAAAUCUAAAUUCUUUUCACAAAGCAGCAGAGAAAUUUGAAAUUACGAUUAUAACUUCUCUAAUUAACGCGGCCAAAUCAAUAAACUAUCAACAGUAUUAACAAAAUCUUAAUACUUCCUAUAUAUAGUAUUCUUUUUUUUUUUCAUAGCUUCUUUUUAUAUAUAACACAAGUGACAUAACUUCUAUAAUAAUAUUAAAAUAAGACUUCUAUUAUAAUGUCAAUGUUAUAAGAUUUUAACUGUAGAUUUAAUAUAACGUUUAAUAAGAAUCAACUUCAAAAAAAAUAUAUAUAAAAAAAACUCGUAUACUUAUUAUUUUAAGAUUUUACACUAAAAUUAUUGUAUUAUUUGUUUUAUAAAAAGUAUUCAUAUCUAGGUGGUGUCAUUUUUUGUAAAAUUGAAAGUAAGAAUAAUUCUGAUAGACAUGUGAUAUUAUAGAAACAUGUUUGAGUGGCUCUAAUGCAAGUUUGGGAGGAUACUACGUACUGUCUUAUAGUCAAACUUAUUAGUUUUUUUUUAUAAAUUAAAUUAAAUUUAAAAUGUAUUUUUAAUAUAAUAUCUGAGUCAUGAAAUAAAACUUAUUUUAAUAAAAAAUAUAUUUUUAUUAAAUUUAUUGUUUCAACCUGCCGUUAAACCAUUAGUUAAUAUUUAAUUUCACAAACAAUAAAUAUAUAUAUAUAUAUAUAUAUAUAUAUAUAUAUAUAUAUAUAUAUAUAUAUUAUUAGGUUUGACAUAUAAAAUCACCUCGGUUCUCAAACAACGGAAAGGAAUAAUGAAUUACUCUUUGCUUUUUCGUUUUGCAGAGGAAGCUGCCUCCAACAUGUGUUUUGUCUUAUUUUCCAUUCAUAAUGAGAAAAUUAGAAGGGAAUUACUGCUUUUGUUUUAUACAUAAUUAUGAAAAUUUGUACAAUUAUGAUAGGGGAGAAAAAAAAAGGAUAAAUAAUUUAAUUUUAAAUGAAUUUUUUUAAUCUGAAGUUAACUAGUAAUUGUUUGCUUUCGUUUUAUUUUUAUUUUUUUAUAUAUUGUGUGUGUUACUUACAUCAUUAAGUUUUAAUUUUGGUUUUAGUAACAAUAUUUCUUUUUUAUUUUUUAAAAAUUGAUGUUUUUAAUUUGUUAAUUUCCAUUUUUUAAUAAAAUAAUUGGUUUUCAUUUAUUCAAAAUCUAAAACAUAUAUUUUGGUGUUUAAUGUUCAUUAAAAAUAAAUAAAUAAUAUUAAAUAAUAUUUAUUUUGACGAGUUCAUCAUCAUAUCACCGUAGAAUUAAUUGAAGUCGAAAAUUCUGAUUUUGAGAAUUAUGGGUAUAUAACUGGAAAUUUGUAUAUUUUUUAAUUUUAAUAUAUUUAAAACCACUAUCAAUGUGUUGGCUACAGUUCAUUUUUACUUCUAAAAUUUGUAGAAAAUUAAAAUUUCUAACAUAUGGUAAUAACGACAUAGAACACGUUGAACAUAUAUUUUAAAAAGCUCAUGCUAAUCUACUCAUACAAUUUUUUUUUUGUGAAUAAAAAAAUAGACAAUUAAUAUUAAAUUGAAUUUUCCUCAAUGAAAACUUGAAAAUUCUUUAAGAAGAUUUAUCCAUCAUGAUUUAAUGGAUUUGACAACUAAUUGGAGAAUAGGUUGACAAUGAGUAUAAUGACAAGUUGUUGAAUAGAAACUAAAUAACAUUAACAAUGAGUUGGCCAUUCAUCAAUUUUAGAACGAGAUUAGGAAAUAGUCAUAAGAUAUAUGUAUAUUAUUUUGUUAGAUAUAUUAAAAUUUUAAUUGGACGUAUGUGUAUUUAUCUUCAUAUAUGUGUAUUGUUUUUAUUUAUUUAUUUAUUUAUUUAUUAUUAUUAUUAUUAUUAUUAUUAUUAUUAUUAUUACUUAUUGGUUUAAAAAAUCCCACUAACUCCUAAUCUUAAAGUGACCACUAGAUCGUUACCUAACAUUCUAUUAAAUACAUAAUAAGCACUUGUACAUGCAAAUUAAAAAAAAAAAAUAGUUUCAUUUUAAGGAUACAAAAAAAAAGGAGACAAAUUGUUUUUUAAAAUCAAAACUAAUAGCAACUUAUUUUACAAUGACAAAAAAAGUACGAAACUCUUAUUUACAUUAUGACAAAACUUAAAAGCUUUUUUAAUUGCUCCGUCAAUAAGUUGUUGAUGAAAGUAGAAUUUUUUUAAAAAGAUAUUUCUAGUUGAAAUCUUGUGGAUGAAAAAGAGACACUUCAUUGAAAGUAGUAAGUUUGAAUCUUUUACUACCAACAGUAUAGUUUGGAAAAACAAAAAGUCAUUUGACCCUUUUUUCAUGUAGAAUUAAAAUUUAAGUUUUGCUAAUCCACUUUUUAAAGACUUGUGUUUAAGGUUACUAUGUAAAAUUGAUUAAAAGAAUUUUUAAUUUGAUUAGAAAAUAAAUCUGAAAAGGAUUAAGAGAAUGUAUAUCUAAUUUUACUUUGUUUUAAAUGAGUUUAUACUUUGGGUAAUACGAGAUAGUAUAGUAGCAAAGUGCAGUAGGUGUUUAGUCCUCCACUUGGAUGGCAUAUAUAGCAAGUUCAUGCACGUAAUCACCUACAAUAACUAAUUAAUAUACACGUAAUCACCUAUUGUAGUUAAUUAAUGUGCUUGAAUUUCUUAGCCUACAAACUUUUUACCAUUGAAAAUGAGAAGGAAGAUUAAUUAGGUGGUGAUGAAGAACAAAUCGGUUCUUAAGUUGAGAAUAUAAAGUCUGAAUGAGUACGCUACGGCGCCAUUAAAGAACAAGGUCCCAACUUCUCCCUCUUCCUUCCUAUAUAUACACUGCACAUUCUCACCAUUUCUCUCAUCCUUCCACACUAAAACCUAUUUCGUUUCAGUUAAUCUCUUUCUGCAAGAUGCCUUCCAAGAGAAACAUGUCAUCACUCAUCCUUUGCCUGUUCUCCAUUUUCCUUUUCGUCUUCUCAGCGGUCGCAGCAAGGGAACUCAAAGAUCGUGAGCUAUUUCUCCUUUUAUUACCUUCUUUUUUCAUUGCCACUUUAACGUAAGAGACAAAGUAUAAAAUAUUAUCAACACCCUUUUUUCUAUUCUAAUACAAAGUAACCAUUUUAAAAAGAUUACAGGAAAAAGCCAAACGUAAUUAGGUUGAUUAACGCAUAUUUAUGCCUUUCUGAGUGAGUUUUUAUUUAAGAUCAUUGAAACAGUCAAUAACCGAGCUUUUCAGUGUACAAUAUGUUUACAAUAUAAAGGGUUUCUUAAUCUUUUUCAUUUGGUCACAAUGAACUCUCAUUCUAGAACUUUUUAUGUUUUCCUAAUAUAUUCAUGGUGGCUUCCCAGUUUCUAAUCGUGAACGUCGUGCCUUCAAUGGCGAUUCUCGCCUCUUCUGGGGAGGAGGUCCUAACUACUUCGGUGGUUACGGCGGUGGUUACUUUGUUCCCAACGAUCCCCGUUUCGGUAGGUACCCUUUCUAUGGUGGAGGUGGGUUAAACAAUCCUUAUGGAGGGUUCAACAAUCCUAAUUUUGGAGGUGGUGGGUUCAACAACUAUCCUUUUGGAGGGUUCGGCAAUCCUAAUAUUGGAGGUGGGUUCGGCAAUCCUGGUGUUGGGUUCAAUAACCUUGGUGGAGGUGGAAGAUUGCCGUGAUAGGUAUUACUAAGAUGGGGAUGUUGUGAGAGGAUAAGAACCGUUGAGACAGUGCAAUUCUAUACGUACUUAAUAAUAUAGAUUUCAUCAAUAAAAUUUCUUGUUAUCAGAGGCAUGGAUGAAUAGACAGCAAAGAUGCAUGCAUGCAUGCAUGUUUUCUUGCUUUUCUUUUCUCCUCGUCUUUCUUACGACAAGAGAUAGGGUUGAGCAAGUUUUAAGGUUGUGUUUGUGAUGUGUGAUUAGUUUGAGAUGUCUGAUGUACACAUAAGUUGUCAUUAAUCAUGAUUUUUUUUUUCUUCUUCUGCUGUAAUCGUGUAUCACUUCUUUGCUGUUAAGUUUUGUCCUUAAUUCUGUGUUUUUCAUGUCUUUAAACUUUAUUACAACCAUGUGUAUCGAUUCAGAAAGCAGAUAAAUUAAAAAACAGAAGCUUAAUUUAACAGGGUCAAUGCUGCAAUAUUUAAUUCUCCCCUAAAUAUGCCUGAUGACUUAAAUGGAUAAGGACUACAAGAUGUUUGAUGUUAAUUUCAUGAUUACAUAAAUGUCAAAAAUAAAUUCUUAUGAAUUAAAAUUAUCCUCAAUGAGAAAAUAAAAUUACAGGUAAAUCUUAAUCCUUAAUUACCUUUAGUCAAUUCAAGAUAUGCGGAAAAAUAAUAAUCAAUAUAUGAUACACGUGUUAAGAAGAAGAAAAAAGGAAAUUUAAAUAGCCUUGAAGAUUUAAAUUAUGUUUCGCAUGACGUUUUUGUCGACUUUUUUCUUUUAGUUCUAAAGCAUUUUUUUUUAAUAAAACCUGUUUGAAGAAUUAUUUUAAUUUGAUUAAAACUAUUGCCUCGUUGAAUGAAAAAAAUAUUUCGACAACUAUAAACAAAAGUAUGUAAAUUGAUUUGUAUAAACGCAACUAUAUAUUUUUUCAAAUAAUGUUUUACAUAUAUUAGUUAUAUAUUGUAUUAUUGGUUAAGCAUAUCUAAUAAUUAAUUACAACUAAGUUGAUUAAAAUAGAUUUAGUUUUAUCCAAAAAAAAUAACUCAUCAAACAUGAUUUUUUUUAUAGAAAAAAACAACGUUUUAAUAAAAAAAGAAUUUUAUCUGCUGAAUACAUAUACUUAACUGUUUCCAUUCAUAUGAGAAAUAAUCAGAGAUACAAGAUAUACAAAGUACAUAAAAAUGAUAAUGUGCAAAUACGUUUGUGUAUAACACGAAAACAAGAAUAACAUACUUUUUAACAGUUCUUUGUGUUUAAAUAUGUCAAUUUUCCUUCUUCACAUAGUUUAGUUUUAAAUCACAUAAAUUAGGGUUAGAAAAACUUAAAAGAGUAAAAAAUUCUUUAUUAAAAAAAUCCAUAAAACCAAAAUAUUCACAAAAGUAGGAAUACGACCAGCUCAUGGACCAUCUUUUUUAAAAAAUAUUCUUUUUUAAUAUAAGAAAAGUACAAUUAACUCAUAAUAUAUCAUCUAAGUUCUUUUAAUUUCUUAAAGUACUAUAUACAAACAUUUUAAUUAGAUUAAUAAACUUUGUAAAAGUUUCAAUAAACUUUGUUGGUUGUAUAUAUAGGAAAAUUAACCACCAGCAUAAGAUGUUGAACUAAAUAUAUUUAAUUUUUUUAUUGACUAAAUAUAUUUUUAAAGUAUAUAAAAUAGUCAUUUAAUUUUAUUAGACGAAAAAUUCAUCUAGAUUUGAAUCAAAACUAAAUGAGACAUCUAAAUUUGAAAGUUUAAAAUAAUGAAUUAAUGAAUAAUAAAUUUAUGGAUUUUUUAUAUGAUAUUUAAUUUUUUUAUUUAAUUAUAUAUAUAUAUAUAUAUACUAAUUAAAAAAAGUCUUUAGAAUUAAUCUAAUAAUAUUCUCAGGCUAUUUCUGUUGUGUUUAAAACUUUAUUAAUAUGUUAUUCGUACCAUUUUAUUAAAUAUUAUUAUAAGUUUUCUUUUCUAAAAAAUUGAUAAAUAUAAUAAGGUUUAACCAUUUCAAAUUUCUUUGUUUUUUGUUAGAAGUCUCGUAACAAUGUUUUAUUAUUUUUUUUGUUUUAAUUGGGUUUAAUUUUGAAAAAUUAAAACAAUGUUAUUCUUAUCAUUAAAUUAAUAAAUGACGUAAGGAAAAUGAUAUUUAGACAACAUUUUUUUUGACAACAUUUGAACAUUGAUGAUAUGUGAAUCUGUGAUUGGUAAAAAAUUACUCCACAAUCAAUAAUAAUAAUCAUAAACAUUAAUGUAGAGUAAUUUUUUACCAAUCACAGAUUGACACAUAAUCAAUGUUCAAAUGUUGUCAAAAAAAUAUUGUCUAAAUAUCAUUAUCCUAAAAAAAAUGCCUAAACACUCUAAUAUUUUUGAUUGGAAGUCUCAUAAUAAACCUUUAAUUUUUUUUUUUAAUUGAGUCUUAAUUUUCAAAAAUUGAAACAAUAGAUUCUUAUCAUUAAAUUGACUGAAUAACAUAAAAAAAAAAAUAAUGACUCGACACUCUAACAUUUUUAAAUGACAUAGUAUUACGAAGAAGUUAAUGAUGUGGAAUUUCGUUUUUUUAAUAGAAAAUCGGAGAAAAGUGAUAACAGAAAUUAGGACUCAUGAAUUGGGGAAAUUGAGGGAGUUUAAUAAAAUAUGUUUCCUUUGAGAAUUAGGGUAUUUUCCGUAUUUCUCAAACCUACGAGGAGGAAAAGAGGUUCAUGGUUAUGCUAUAACAAGAGUUUUUAAUCUUUCAUCGAAUAGGACUUUGGUUAUGUGGUUAUUUCAUAUAUUUUAUUUUAAGAAUUAAUUUUGUAAGAUUAAUUUUUUUUUAUGUAAUACUAUCUUAUCUUAUAAUGUGUUAUUUGUAUUAAGGUAAACACCUUUUGGUGUCUUGCGUUUCGAAUGAUUGGACAAAAGUUACGAAAUAUUUAUAAUUUUAAUAGUCUAAAUAAUAUAUUUUUUCUGUAUAACUUUAUUGUAUAUAAGUGGAAAAAUUUAUUUCUUUAUAUAUCUUAUGUUUUUUUUAAAAAAAAAAUCUACAAAAAUUUUAAAAUAAAAUGAUAAAAUAAAAAAUAAAAGUAACUGCUUAUAAGAUGAAAUUAACUUCUAUAUAAAUUAAUUUCUAAAAAUUAUUUAAAAACAUAAUAUAAUCAUGUUACAUUAAAAAACUUCAAAGUAAUUGAAGAAAAUUACUCCACAAUCAAUAAUAAUAAUCAUAAAUAUUAUUGUGGAGUAAUUUUUGAUCAAUCACAUAUUGAUAUAUAAUUAUUGUUCAAAUAUUAUCAAAAAAAUGCUGUCUAAAUAUCAUUAUCCUAUCUGAAAUUGAUUGAUUUUGUAGUUUUUCUGUUUUAUAUGCCCACUCCACAUCAUUUAUCCAAUCCAACAGUGGAUGGUAAUUAAUAGCGUCCAACUGCUUUUGACUAUUAAUUAAGGGUGCUUUCCCGAAGGUGUAAUAUGUACACACAAAUAUAUAUUUUUUUCCAAUGUAUAGAAUAUUAUACAUAAAAUAUCUAAAAACAAUAUAACUUUAACAUUAUGUUCAGACCCUAACACCUGGAUAUGCAGGUCAGAAGGAGUUUAAUUUCAUUUAUCACUGACUGUUAAGUUUACCUAAUUCUUAGGACUAUGAUGGUGUUUGUGUUCGGUAAAAAAAACAAAAAAAGAAGUAAAAAUAGCAAAAAGUACAAUAGUAGUUUGAGUUUUAAAUAUUGAUACAUAAUAAGACUAAAAAUAUAAUAUAAUUACAAGUCAUCUUAUAGGGAGAUCUUGGAGACUUUAUAGAUUUUAUUAUAUUAUGAAUAUCAAUUUCAAUUAUAAAUAUAAAUUUAUAAAUUUUUUAUUUUUAUGUUUAUUAAUAUGUAUUAAGAAUUUUAUAUUAUUUUAUUUGUUCAAAGAGAAUUUUUUUUAUUAAAAAAAUAUACGUAUAUUAUAAUAAUAAUAAUAAAUAAAUAAAUAAAUAAAACUUGAUCUUAAUAUGUACUUAAAUUACUGUAAAAAGUAUUUUCGGUUUAAAGAAGUUUUAAUACUCAAGAGUAGGAAAAACAAUAGAGUGAAACGUACUUUCAAAUUAACUUAAUCUUUUGAAAGGGUUUUAUUUAUGUGAAUUUGUAUAACUGUGUCAUUUUAUUUUGAAAGUUUUCAAUUUGGUUUCUAUUUUAGUAAACUAUUUUGGUAAAAUUGAGUUAAUAAUGUUCUUGCUAUACGUUAACUUUAUUGUGAUGUGACAUACUUAAUUAUGACGUGACACACGUUAACCAAUCAAAACAUACCAUCUCAUGCCUUCUGUCACGUCAUUUAUGCCUUCUCUACAUAAACCUUAAUUUCCAAACCUUAGCUACUAUGCGUCGCCACCGCCAUCCUCACCAGCAACUGUCUCCUCAACCUUCGCCGUGAACCUCUAUGGUCGUCAUAAGUACUCUGUUACUCUUCUCCUUCGUCAAUAGCAAACAACCUACAAAAGAUCAAACUACAAAACUUAGAAUCGCGCAUCUACUUCUCACGCGAGAAUCUACUCCAUCAUCCUUUCCAUGACAAUCACGCGAAUCACACAUCAACUCCAUUAAAGGAUGAUUAGACAAUAUUCCCAACUAUUCCUCUCUAUUGUUCUAAAUAUAAAUUAAAUAAUUUUUUAUGAAAAAGAAUCACAAAAUUUUAAUAAAAAUUUAUAAUUAUAUAAAUAUAAAAUAAAAUUUUCAAAUAAUUGAAUAUAUUUUAAUAAUAUAAUAGCGAUAUAUAUAUAUAUAUAUAUAUAUAUAUAUAUAUAUAUAUAUAUAUAUAUAUAUAUAUAUAUAUAUAUUCCUAUCCUCAUAACCAAUUUAGCUUGGUGAAAUGGGUUGAUUUAAGAUCCCUACUUGUCCUAGGUUCCAUAUAGCUAAGAAUUUAUAACGGUUCGGAAACGAUCUACAUGACUAUCUUUUUACAAACAAAUGGUAUGGAAAAUUUAAAUGCACAGUGGAAAGAUGAAUUUAUAUGAAGCUUUUAGAAUUGAAAAGAAAGCUAAUGCAUAUCUCUAUGGAAAAGAUAACUGCUUCACAUAUAUCUCUGGUUGAAUGAAUCACCUGCAGCUGGUGCUUGAACAGCAUGGGAUGUAACUCUAAAUCCGGUGACUAAAUUUUAGAACAAAUAUCCAUAUGCUUAAUUAAGUUUAAAAUGAAAACAUUUUAAGAAGUUACGAUUUUGCAGACACAGAAAAAAAAGAGUCAUAAGCUAUUCUAAAAUUAAGUUCAACAUGCAAAUCAAGGUCUGAUAAAGAAAUAAAAAAGCUAAAAGAAGGAGGAAUAGUUCCAAUUCAGCUAGGGCUUCUUUGGCUUCUUGUUCAGCUUGGAAGAUGAGCCACAGCUUUUUCCCCGACUAACCCUCUUUCGCACUUCAUCUUUUUCCUCCCUCAUGUAGGGAUUCUCUGCUUCGAUUGGAGUAAAUUCAGCUGGGUUUCUGUUUGUCCCACAAAGCAUUUCAGAGGUUGCUGCUGCAUGUGAUUUUCCAUAGGUCUGAGAUGAACCAAUUGUAUCCAUUUUUGUCUUUGAAGAUUCAUCUGGAUUAAGUUUCUGGAGAAUUGGCUCACUGCCUCCUGUGGCAACAUUCAAGUCCAUAGAUAUUUCCUUCAACUGCUUAAUCUGUGACUCAGGUUCUUCAUUUACCAUAUUAAUUUGAGAUAUUUGCAACAACGCGACUAAAGCCUCCAGUUCAUUCUGCAAGAAGAUGGUAACAAGUUUCAUUUCCUUGGCACUGGUGUGCUCUGUAAUCAAAAUUUCACAUACCACAUGAUAAAAUAAAAGCAAUCCAUUCUUUUAUACUGUAUUAAAACAUUUAAUCAUCUAAACUUGUCAUAGAGAUUCAUUUGAGACUCUCCGUAAACUCAAUAGAAGCCUCGCACUAAACUUUAUAGAAUCAUGGAUGCAUGACAGAGUGACUUUUAAUAAACUUGUCAUUAAUAUAUAGUACUUAAAUAAAAUAUGUAAAAUAAUACUUUUUAUAAGAAAACAGAUAAUUAUAAUUUCUAUUUCACAUAAACAUGUUCCUUUAGCAUGAUUUCGAAUGAAUAACUAGGAUUAUUAAUGAUAGAACUAAUGAUUUCUCUUAAAACAUAUGUAUUGGAAGAUUUAAAAGAUGUAAGGAAGACUAUUAAAAAAAUGGACAUUAUCACGAAGGUGGAAGUUCAUGAUUCAUUAUUUAUUAGUCUCUUUUAUCAUUUUAUCCUUGUCCUAUCACAUCUUAUCCAAGUCAACCUAAAAGAAGCAAGAGUGGAGGCUGAAAUAUGAUAUGAAAAUCACUCGAAAUGAAGCAUAAAGUGAAAAAGAAAGUGAUUUGAAUGGGAGAAACCAAUGGUAUAAAUAAUAAAAGAGAUGUUACAAUGAAUUCAAAGAUGCACAUUACAUAAGGAUAAGGAAGAUGAAUUCUUUAUUACAUAAGGAUAAGGAUAAGGAAGAUGAAUGUGUUAUUACAUAAAGAUAAGGAAGAUGAAUGUGUUUGGAGAGGAGAUCACACACAAUAAUACACAAUGAAAUUGCAUGAAGAGAAUACAAAAUGGGAUUAUAGGAGAUGAAAAAACACUAUGUGGAACAUUUUGGUGUGUAAAAGCUCUACCUAGUAUCUUUUUGUACAAAGAGUCUUUACAUAACAAAUUAACAAGCAUAUGACAAUUUAAUAAAGGGUUAAAUAUGUUUUUGGUCCCUUAACUUUCAUUGAAAAUUAGAAUUAGUCCCUCUUUGAAACUUUGGACCAAUUUAGUCCCCAAACUUUAAAAUUUUGUGAAUUUAGUCCUUUUAACUAAAUUUUGUUAACUUUAUUUGAUGUUUCAAAUGUAUUUCUCAGUUAACAUUGAAGCAAAAAUGUGUUAAACGGUGUAAACAACUCAAAUGCUAUCAUUAAACACACUUCAAACAUUAAAUAAACCUAACAAAAUUUAGCUAAAAGGACUAAAUUCACAUAUUUCUAAAGUUUGGGGAAUAAAUUAGACCAAAGAUUUGAAGAGGGACUAUUUCAAAUUUUCACUGAAAGUUAAUAGAUCAAAAACAUAUUUAACCCUUUGAUAAAUAGAGGAACCAUAUUGGGUAGUAGAAAGUGUCAUGUGUGAAACUUGUGAUGAAUUAGUAAGCCACUCAUUUUUUACUUGGAGUAUUGUGAGUGCAUCAUAGUAUAGCAAAUGACCAUUUCCUAGGGUUACAAAUUUUAGGAGUCACUUUAAAAGAAAAUUUUGUCUAGAGGACAAUGUGGGUGGAUGUAUUAUGAGGUAUGUGUAGUAUUACCAUCCAAUUAGCCAAAGAACCAGGCGAUCAAUCAGCCUACGGUCCCAUGUGAGUGGAUCGGUAGAUCGAUCGAUUAGACUAAAAGUAGAGUUAACAUUAAGAAUAGUUUUAUCAACCUUAAGCUAGACCAUUACCAUUUGGGUCAUGAUUAGGUCAACACUAAUCAAAAGUUCAUCCCAAAAUUUUGCAACUCCAUGAUUGACGAGAGAGAUGAAGGAUGGUUCUACAGUUCAUGGUUAGAUAUUUAAGGGUUUGUUAUAAGGAAGUGCAUGGGUGUGGAAUGCUGGAAUGUAAACUGAUUUUGUAUUUUGAGCCUAUAAAAUAAAAGCCUAAGAUUAGAAAAAGGCCCAAACAGAUUUCUAGAAAAUCCUAUCUAGAAGGAUUCUAAAACAAUGUAAAAAUAUAUCCAGGGAUGUUUAUCUAUAAUAUGUCUCUAUAUAAGUUUAGAAUUAUAGGAAUAUUUUAGAAAUCUCUAGAGAAUGAAUAAUAUCCCUUAGAUUAAUAUUGGAGUGGCAAGAUCUUAACCAUUGGUUAAAGAGGUGCCACUAGUAUAAAUAGAAGAUGAUUGUAUCAUAUGUAAUCAAGCCAAAAGAAAUUAGAAACAUUGAAAUAUAAUAAGCCUCUAAAAUCUUCAAAUCUCUCCUAAUUUUUAAACACUUUCUUUAAGCCUCUAAAAUUUCCUCCUAACAAAGUAGUAUCAGAGCCAUAACAUCUACAUAGAAAUGACAUAUGUCGGAGUUCCCUUUCAAGUCUCGAUGCUCACCAAGAGCAACUAUGACAUCAGAGCUUAAGGAUGAUAGCCCUCCUUGGUGCACAUGACGUGUGAGAGGUGGUGAAGAAGGGCUACACCAAACCAGAGAAUGUGGACAAUCUUUCUCAAACUCAAAAGGAGAGUUUAAGAGACUCAAGGAAAAGAGGCGAAGAUACUUUCAAGAAUAUUUUCGAAGUCAUGUCAGCCAAGGAAGCAUGAGAGAAGCUUAAGAUCUUUUACUACGGAACAAAUGAAGUAAAAAAGGUACGUCUUCAAACUUUGAGAGAAGAGUUUGAAGCUUUGCAUAUGAAGGAAGGUGAACUAGUCUCUGAUUACUUUUCAAUAGUUUUAACAGUUACUAAUUAACUAAAGAGAAAUCAUGAGAAGUUAGAUGAUGUAAGAAUUAUGGAGAAAAUUCUUAGAUCAUUAGAUCCAAAGUUCGAACAUAUUGUCACCAUUACUAAAGAAACCAAAGACUUGAAGGCCAUGUCAAUAAAGCAACUUCUUGGUUCGUUGCAAGCUUAUAAAAAAGGAAAAAGAAAAAGGAAGAGAUCGUGGAACAAGUCCUCAAGGCACAUGUUGAUCAAGGAAAAAACAAAACGCACACAACCAAUCAAGAUGAAGUUAUAGUCAAGAACAAGGACGAGGGUAUGCAUAUGGACGUGGACGAAGACGAAGGCCUAACGACCAUAACCAAAGAGGAGAAAGCUCUAACAAAGGUCAUGGGAGAGGAAAUUCGAAUUCAAGGUAUGACAAGUCACGAAUCAAGUGUUACAAUUGUGAUAAAUUUGGACAUUUUGCUUCUAAAUAUAAAACCCCUAACAAAAAUAAAGUCGAAGAGAAAGUCAACUAUGCUGAAGAAAGGUGUCAAGAAGGUGGUACCUAACUACUGGCUUACAAUGGCCAAGAUAGAGGCAAGGAUAAUCAGUGGUACCUUAAUAGUGGAGCAAGUAACCAUAUUUGUGGAAAAAGAAACAAUUUCGUAGACCUUGAUGAAUAAGUAAAGGGAAACAUGGCUUUUGGAUAUGAAUCAAAGGUGGCGAUGAAAGAAAAAGGUAAUGUCCUCAUCCGACUAAAGAAUGAAGAACAUCAAUUAAUUUCUAACAUGUAUUAUGUGCCAAGCAUGAAGAAAAACUUCUUGAGCUUAGGACAACCCUCGGAGAAAGGUUAUGAUAUUCAACUUAAGAAUAAUAACCUUUCUAUAAGAGUUAUAUAAGUAAAUUCAUUGCAAAGGUGCCAAUGAUAAGAAAUAGAAUGUUUGUGAUCAACAUUCAAAGUGAUGGCCCAUAAUGUUUUAAGAUAUGCUACAAAGACCAAUCAUGGAUUUGGCAUCUUCGAUUUGGCCAUCUUAAAUUUUAAGGAUUAGAGUUGUUCUCCAAGAAGGCAAUGGUGAGAGGGUUGCUUUGUGUUAUUCACCCCAACUAAGUUUGUGAAGGAUGGUUAUUUGGAAAACAAUUUCGAUUGAGUUUUUCGAAUGAGUCAGACUCAAUAACUCAAAAGCCAUUAACACUCAUAAUCGUAGAUGAGUGUGGCCCAAUCAAGCCAAGAUCAUUCGGUAAGAGUAGUUAUUUCUUUCUCUUCAUUGAUGAUUUUUCAAGAAAAACAUGGGUAUAUUACUUAAAAGAAAAAUCAAAAGUAUUCGAGAACUUCAAGAAGUUUAAAGCCAUUGUUGAGAAGGAAAGCAACCUUGUGACCAAAGCUUUGAGAUCCAAUCAUGGAGGAGAGUUCACAUCAAAAGAGUUUCAAAAGUAUUGUGAAAAUAAUGGAAUUAGACAACAGCUGAAAGUGCCAAGAUCCCCUCAACAAAAUAAAGUGGCGAAAAAGAAGAUAGAACAACCCUAGAGAUGACAAGGAGCAUACUUAAAAGCAAGAGACUUCCAAAGGAGUUUUGGGCUGAAGCCAUUGCAUGUGCAAUUUAUCUUACCAAAUGCUCUCCAACAAGAAGCAUUAGUGGAAAAACACCACAAGAAGCAUGGAGUGGAAGAAAGGCAUGUAUUUCUCAUCUUAGAGUCUUUAGAAGCAUAACUCAUGUUCAUGUUCUAGAUGAGUGAUAACGGUCAUUCUUACCAUUAUCUAUGGUGCAAUUUUCUUGCCAAAUCAACACUCCUGAAGCUUGAAACACGCUUAAUCCUCUUUUUAAUCUAACUUUGUGAAUAAAUUCAGCUUAGGUUAUACCCACUAGUUUUCAUCAUUAAUUCCUCAAAUUUUGUAGGAACUUUGUUUGCUUUGGAAGGACAUUCAAGCUAUAAAGAGUGGAGAACCAAGGAAAAGCUUAGAAGAUGAAGUUUUGAAGAUGUUUCCCUGCACAAGUGGUGCCCAGACGCCCCUAAAGGGCGCCCAACGCCCUUCAAUUCGUAGUUUUGCCCAUUCGCCCACGCCCAGGCGCCCCUGAAAGGCGCCCAACGCCCUUUGUCUCGCUAUUUUUGGCAAUUCUUCACGCCUGGGCACCCCUGGAGGGCGCGGAACGCCCUUUGCCUCGCAUUUAUGAUGAUAUUGUAACGCCCGAGCGCCCUAGAAAAGGGCAUUGGGUGCGACUUUUUGCUGAGUUGGCACCCUAGACCUAUAAAAGGCACACAGUUUUCAAGGGUUAAACUGCUUGGUGGCUGAAGCUCUUAAACAUCAUUUUGGACACCUUGGAGCAAGUGUUGGGCUGUGGGAACUCUUCCUUCUUCCUCUUUGGGUCUCCUUCUACCCAUUUUUCUUCCAUUGUAAGCUCAAGCUCUCCAUGAUUAUGGAGAGCUAAGUUCUUUUUGUUGGGGAAUGAUGUAAACUAUACAAACCAUUUGUAAAUGCACUUGUUUUAAAUGAAUUUAUGCUUCUUUCAUUACUUGUUAGUGUUUAUUUCUUUGAUUAAAGCUUGUUAUGACUUGAUCAACCAUGGCAUGAUGUUAGGGUUUGCUUAGUAUUAGGAAAUAUUUUGUGAACCUUGAAAUGAACAUAAACACCUAAAGGAAAUAGUGUCUAGGGAUAGAGCUAGGACCUUUGGUUGUCUUAAACUUCUUUUCAUAAUGUGGGUGAACUUGUUGGGUUGCCAAGGGAUUGGGAUUUUAAGAAGUGAACCUAGGCUUUCUCACCAAGGGAUUGGGUUUAAGUAACUUAGCUAGUUGGCAAGAACACGUUAAUGAAGAAGAGUGGUUGAGUGCAUUUGCAUAGGAUUGUAUUAGUUGAAAUCAUUCUCCAACAUAUCCAUUCCAUAUUUUCAUCAAUCAUUUCAUUUUCAAGUGUUUUGACCCCAAGAAGUUCAACCCUUUACUUAUGCAUUACUUUUACUUUCAUUGCACACUUUCACACUAAAAUGGAAUCAUUCUUUAGCUUAAAUUAGUUAGUAACUAUACGAUAGUAAAGUAAUGACCGAGUCUCUUGGGAAACGAUAUCCGGUCUUACCGAUUUUACUACUUGAGCGAUUUGGUGCACUUGCUAAAGUCUCAACAAUGAGAAGUGAAGUAAGCUUGAAUACAAAAGUGAAAAAUACAUUUUCAUUGGUUACAACACCAACUCAAAAGGGUACAAACACUACAAUCCUUAUACAAGGAAAACAAUAAUCAAUCAAAAUGUAGUGUUUGAUGAAGAAGGAGAAUGAGAUUGGUCAACAAACUGUGAGGACCAUAUCUUCUUCCGUAGCGUUGAAGAUGACGUGGAACAACCAUAGGAACCGGAAGAGGCAUCUGCUACUCCACCUACUUAACCAAAUACAACUCCUCAAGAAGACGAAAGCUUAAGUGAAAUAACUCCACGUUUUCGAAGUCUCUAAGAAAUCUACGAGGUAAUCGAAAAUCUAGACAAUGUUACUUUAUUUUGUUUAUUUGUAGAUUGUGAGUCCAUGAACUUCCAAGAAGCAAUUGAAAAGAAAAGUUGGAGAAAUGCUAUGAAUGAAGAGAUCGAGGCGAUAAAGAAGAAUGAUACAUGGGAGCUAGUCUCGCUUCUGAAAAGGUACAAAACAAUUAGUGCCAAGUGGGUCUACAAAGCAAAGAAGAACUCCAAAGGAGAAGUUCAGAUAUAUAAAACAAGAUUAGUGAUGAAAGGCUAUAAUCAAAGAGUUGGCAUCGACUAUGACGAGAUAUUUUCUCCAGUUGCUCGACUAGAAACUGUUAGACUUAUUAUAUCAUUAGAAGUUCAGAAUAAUUGGAACAUACAUCAAAUGGAUGUCAAAUCUACCUUCUUAAAUGGUGUUCUUGAAGAAGAAGUCUACAUUGAUCAACCACAAGGAUGUGAAGUCAAAGGUGAAGAAGACAGAGUCUUGAAAUUAAAGAGGGUUCUUUAUGGGUUGAAACAAGCCCCUAUAGCUUGGAAUGUUUAGAUUAACAAGUACUUCAAAGAGGCGAAUUUCAUCAAGUGUUCAUAUGAGCAUGCACUAUAUGUUAAAGUUCAAGGCGGAGAUAUUUUGAUUAUAUGCUUGUAUGUCAAUGACUUGAUUUUCACAUGGAACAGUCCAAGCUUUUUUGAGGAAUCAAGAAGGAUAUGACCAUGGAAUUUGAAAUGACCGACAUGGGCCUUUUGGCAUAUUAUCUCGGAAUUGAAGUCAAGCAAGGAAAUGAAGGAAUUUUCAUUACUCAAGAAAGUUAUGCUAAAGACCUCCUCAAGAAGUUUAAGAUGGAUGAUGCUAAUCCAGUUGUACUCAUAUGGAAUGUGGCAUCAAGUUGAGUAAGAAUGAAGAGGGAGUAAAAAAUGGAUUCAAACCUCUAUAAAAGUCUUGUUGGAAGUUUACACUAUUUAACUUGUACAAGACCAAACAUUAUCUAUGUUGUUGGAGUUGUGAGUCAUUACAUGGAAGCUUCAAAAACUACUAACUUCAAGUCUGCAAAGAGGAUUCUUCAAUAUAUCAAAGGCACAACAAGCUUGGCCUAUACUACCCCAUUUCUAACAAUUACAAGCUUGUUGGAUAUAGUGAUAGCGAUUGGAGUGGAGAUAUGGAUGACCGAAAAAGCACAAGUGGAUUUGUAUUAUACAUGGGAGACACAACCUUUACUUGGAUGUCCAAGAAGCAGCCUAUUGUCACUCUUUCUACAUGUGAAGUAGAAUAUGUAGAUGCAACUUCAUGCAUUUGCCUUGUUGUUUGGUUACCAAACCUAUUAAAGGAGUUAAGCUUGCCAGAAGUGGAGCCAACAAAGAUUUUUAUGGAAAACGAGCCGACAAUAGCUUCAGUAAAAAAAUUAGUCUUCCACGAUCGAAGUAAGCACAUUAACACUCGUUACCAUUACAUUAAAGAAUGCAUCAGCAACAAGGAUGUGCAAAUGGAAUACGUGAAGACGCAUGAUCAGGUAGCAUAUAUCUUCACCAAACCACUAAAGAAGGAAGUCUCUAUGAAGUUGAGAAGUUUGCUUGGAGUACAAAAUCAAGUUUAAAAGGGGCUAUUGAAAUGUAAAUUGAUUUUUAUUUUGGGGUUAUAAAAUAAAAGACCAAGAUUAGAAAAAAGAUUCAAAUAGAAGCAUAGAAAAUUCUAUCUAGAAGGAUUCUAGAAUGAUAUAAAAAAGUAUCUAGGAAUGCUUAUCUAUAAAACGCCUCUAGAUAAGUUUAGAAUUAUAAAAAUAUUUUAGAAAUUUCUAAAAAAAAAAAUAAUAAUCCUUAGAUUAAUGUUGUGGUUACAAAAUCUUAAUAAUUGAUUGAAGAUGUUAUACUAACAUAAAUAAGAGAUGAUUAUAACAUUUGUAAUCAAGAAAAAAAAAAUCAUUCAAUAUAACAAGUUUUUCUUUCUCUCAACAUCCUCAAACUUCUUCCAAUUUUUAAACACUUUCUUCAUAGUUCUAAAAUUUCCUCCUCUCAAGAAAUCUAUUCUGGUGGUGUUAGAACUAAUUCUGUGAUUUUGUUGAGUUAGGAAAUCGAUCGUGGUGUUAGAACCCAUUAUGUAAUUUUGUGCAUGGGGAGCUAUUCUCUCCUAUUGUCAAGCUUUAUGAGGAAAUCAUCAACAUUAUCUGUGUUGCAAUAGGAAAGCAUUUCAUUAAAAUAAUAGUACCACAUAUAAUAACAAAUAUUAGAAAAAACUUAGUUAACCUGAAGUAGUAAAAACAAAAGGUAAAAGGGUUAUGUAUUCUCUAAACACAUGAAUGUAAUAAUGUUGAUGAACUAUAAUCAUAUUCAAAGCAUACCACAUUAUUGCAAGAUUAUAACAGUCAACUUAUAAAGUAUGUGAACAACUUUUCAUGAGACAAUUUUCAAGAAAAAGAUUAUAAGUGGAAAUUAAUUUAUAAAUAAAUAAAUUUUUCAUGUUCAGUUUAUGGAUUAUAUAGUCCCAUUUCACUUUGAAUUUAAGAGCAUUUCAAACAUUAGACCAAAAUGAACCAUGUAGAAUUUAUAUACUAAAUAUAAAGAUAAUUUUAUACUCUUUCUUUUCUAUCUACUAAAACAAUUUUUAUCUAUCAAUUAAUUAAUCACAAAUUUCACCUUAAAUCUUUUUAUCUUCAAAUCUCACUUGAAAUAAAUAACACAAACAUUAUUUUUAAUUUCAUUUAUUCACUCUUCCACAUAUUUAUUUUUGAAAGUGCAACACAAUGUUUUAUAACCUUGUUUAAGAGAUAAUACAUAUAUAUAUAUAUAUAUAUAUAUAUAUAUAUAUAUAUAUAUAUAUAUAUAUAUAUAUAUAUAUAUAUAUAUAUAUUUUGAUAAAAAAUACUAUCAUCCACUGUCGUUUAUAUUAUCUUACAAUUAUUUAUAUUCUAAAAAAGCCAACACGUACCUUAACAUAUUAACUAUCUUACCAUUUUCAGGUCAUGGAGGUUUCCAAUAUAAAAACUUGAGGAAAAAAAAAAAAAAGAAGAGGACUUUAUAUUGUUACUUACUUCAGAAUGAACUCCUUUUCCUUGUGUAGAAAAAGCACUUGUUAAAGGAAAUAUUCUUUCUCCAGUAGAAUCAGUUUCACCUCCUGAACCUUCUUGAACAGACCUUAGAAGAGUUUGAGGUGAACUAUUUGAAGAAAUAUGCUGUCUCUCUCCCAAUCCUUCUUCAUUUGAUACUUGAUUUCCAAUCCUUUGGAUCAAAUCAGUUAACGAUUCAUCUUCUUCAUCUUCAUCAACAACUAACUUCCUCUUUCUUCCUGGUUGACCCUUCUUUUCUAACUUUUUUGUUUCUCCUUCACCAACCACCUUCUCCAUGACAGUUUUUUGUUUCUGUGAGUCUGCAGACUUGUUGGAAAGAUUGUGAAGUGCUGGUCUUCCUCUUCUGGUAUGCUCAAGGACUGGUUCAUCAUCUUCUCUAAGUAUUUCCCUAAGUAAGCGCACCCUUUUAAGUUUCUUGGAAGACUUCUUUUGAUGAAGAUCCUGAAUUUCAUUCUCAGUUUCUUCAUUCUUCUCACUAUCCCCUGCUUGAACGUCAUCUCCGGUGACCGGAGGAAACUGUUCAGCAUUGUGUUCAGGCACAAUAUCUUUCUCGGUAACUUUCAGUGCUUUUCCUGCACGUUUACAUGAUUUUCUUAAUUCUUGCAGGCAUUGGUCAUCUUCACAAAUCUGCUUCCCUUUGUUAGCUACCUGUGAACAGCUUUUGUCUUCAGUUGUGACAUUGUUAACAACAAGCUCCGCCUCAGUCUCAUGAGCUACAAUUCCUUCAAAACCUGUCUCCAAGUAAAGAAGAAUUUUUUGUUCUAAGUGGGAAAUUUAAAAUUUCUAGCAUCAAAAUGUUAUUAUUAUUAUUGCUAUAAUUAGAUGCUCAAUUGCAAUUUAGUUGAAUAAAUUAACUCGCCUCUUUCAUUUUCCUGCGUUUCUUGGACGAGGCUUGGACACACAUCUGAAGAUCCAACAUUGUUUGAUACUUGAAGAUUGAGAUCAUUCUCCAUAAGGUCUGGUGAAAAUAGAGAAGAUCAAGCCAAAGAUUUGAAAUAUUAAGCAAAAUACUCUUGUUUUAUUUUGAAGUUACCUGUUAUUUCAUUGAUUGAAAUCUGAUCAGCGUCAUUGUUUUCCUCUUCAUUAAUUGGUGUAUGAUCACCGUUAUCUCUAUCAUUAAUACUACCAGUCAAGUCAAUGACUUUGAUAAUAUCAGUUUCUUUUCUAGCAGGAACAUUCUUAUUUGUCAGAGGUUCCUGAACUUCCUUACAGGAUGUCCUUUGGUCAGUUUCAUCACUGAUAUUUAACAAAUUUUCUCUUCGACAUACACUACAACUCCAUGAUGGGAAUUUUCGAACCACUAGUGGAGAAAGCGAUGGUUGUGUCUCAGACCCUCUUACCGGGAAAGAUAGACUUGGGUCUUUAUUACUCAUUUCAGCAACGUAACCCCUGCAAUAUUAACAAACAAAUGUUACAGUUAUGAAACUAGCAUAAAAAUAUUAUUUUUAUCAGACAAAAAUAAACAUGUUAAUGGGACAAUUGGGUGAUCCCCAUCCAUAUAUAACAAAAUCAAUAACAUAAAACAGAAAAAAAAAAACAUAGAAGAAAUUUGUUAGGAUCCUCCUUACGACAAGAAAAACCUAGUAUAUCACAAAUGUUUAUUUUUUAGUGAUUAUGUUCUUGACAAAGAUACUGAAUUUAUUAUUAAGCUCUUUAAGUACAAUAUAACAAAGGUCUUAGAUCCUUUGUUCCCAUUCCCAUCAAGCACAUAUAGCAGUUGUGAUAUACAUUGUCCUCAAGGGUUAGAUAUGCUGCAUUGUGUUUGUAAACAAUGAUAGUUGGUUUCUCUCAAAAUUUCAAUCCUUCAAAAGGUUUAGCUAUCCAAUCCUAAUAUUCUUACUUUUUAGACAACUUUCAAUUAUAUUAAGUCAUGUUAUUUUUAGAAAAACUCACUACCCUGCUCAACAAACAUUUUUAAUCUAAUAGCUAUGUAUAAUAGCUAAGUCAUAUUAAGUAAUAUUUUUGUGUAAUUUUUUCCACAAAUAGUAGUCUAUGUUUAAACAUUUUAAUUCAAAAUACUACAAAAAAAAAAUUAUCUCCUAAAGAUUGAAGAUACUUCUAAAAUAUCUACAUGCUGUAAAUAUUUAUAGAAAUCGUGUUUUUCAGGUUCAUAAUCAAAUUUAUAUUUGAACAAUAUCUAGUUGUUACCUCAAUCCCUGUGAACGUCAAAAUGCUAUAAUUUUACUUCUUUAUAUUCUCCAUUAUAUAUAGAUCAAUUACGCCCAAAAUAAUUUAAAGAAAAUAUCUCAUCAUACACUUUUUUUAAAUAUAAUGAUUGUAAUUAGUUAUUCUAUUAAACUGUUAAUUUUUUUAAAAAAUAAUGAAUAUAGAGCAUGGUUCUUAAAUUGUUUUAGAAGCAAUUUUAUUCCUUACAUCAACAAAAUAUAUUAAAUUCCUUACAUUAACAAAAUAUAAUUGACUAAUUAAAGCAUCUAUAAUUCAAUCAUCAUGUGCACUUCCUUUACCAACAAAAACUUAUUAAGAAAAUGAAAACAAGAAAACAAAUUCAUCUAUUCAACUGUAUUUUUAUCUUACAGAUAAACAAGAAUAUAGGGAAAAGAAUAGAGUUACCUUAAUGAGAAAUGAUUACAGGAUGGAGUGUCUCCUUUACUCAUCUCAGUAGUAUAGACUAAAUCAGUAUAUUUCUUAGGUUCCAUAAGCUUGAUGAUAAUUGUGAGUUCCCCACUGAAUACUACAAACAAGUACAGUUAUAAAUCAAAUUGAAUUUUCAUAGAAGUGAAAUAGGAAGGCUAAAAAGCAAUACAGAAUUUUAAUAAACACGUUACAUUUCCCUAACCAAACAAUCAAUAUAAAGUUUACAAAAUUUAAGUACACUAUAUUUGUGUUUUUUUUUUUCAACAAACAAUAAAUAUAUUUAUACUAGAAUGUUGCCCAUACUUUACUAUGUUUGUAUAUAUAUUAUUCCUUCUUCUGUAUCAGAUGUACAUACAUGUACAUAUUUGUAGUUAUAUAAAUUUUAUUAACUGGUUGAUAGAUGUUUUAACAAAGGAAGCUUUGUGAUUUUGAAAGAAGAGUACAAGAAACUUUUGAUACUAUUGUGAGAAUAAAAUUUUAAAUACUCUCUGUGUGGAGGCAUUCCUUCCAAAGAAUACUCCAAGUUCUCAGUUUUUUUUUUUAUAUAUCUAAGUCAAAAAUAAGUCAACUUAAAAAAAAGGGUAAAUGUUAUUAUAAUUUGAAAUAAAUAAAAAAAUGUCUAUAAUACUGUUUGAUUUUUCCUAAAUAAGGUCUAAAUAAUAAGUGUAGAAAAUUAUAUAGGGGAGCUUUAAUUAGAGAAGCUCCUAGAAGAGAGUCUAAAUCUCUCCAUUAACAUCUAUAAAUACUCCAUUGUAACAUUUUCAAACAAAGAAAUUUGAGUUCUCUAUUAAUUCUCAUCUCUUUUUCUAACAAAUUAGUAUCAGAGUUAGGUUUGAUCUAGAGAUUUGAGAGAGAGAAAAAAAAAAGAGUUUAGAAAUAUUAAACAAUGAAUAUACUACUUUCUAAUUUUCUCGUCUUACAAAUGAGAAUUAUGAAAAAUUGUGUCCUUGUGUGAAAGAAUUGUUAGGCUUUUAAGGUGCUUUGGAUAUUGUACAAAAAGGUUAUAAGGAGCUUCAAGAUGAAGGAAGCUUAUCUCAAGAGGAGAUGGAGAGUUUGUUGAAGCAAAGAAGAAAGAGCAACAAGCCUUACUCUCAUCCAUCAAUGGUUGAAUGAUGACAUGUUUGCCUUCGGAGAUCUUAUAAAAAUUUAUCCAAGGUGACGACAAAGUGAAGAAGAUAAGGCUUCAAUAACUAAGAAGAGACGUUGAAGCUUUGAAAAUGAAGGAAUCCAAAUCAAUUUCAAAUUAUUGUUUAAGAGUAAAGACAACCACCAACUGAAUAAAGAGAUAUGAAGAUAAAAUAGAAUAUGCUCGUGUGAUAGAAAACAUUCUCAAUUUCUUGACCCUAAAGUUCGACUACAUAGUAUGUGCAAUUGAAGAAUCAAAAGAUCUUGACUCCAUGAGUCUUGAAGAGUUGGAAGGUUCUCUAUAAGCUCAUGAAGAAAGAUAGAAAAGAAGACAAGAAGAGCCAUUAUAGCAAGCCCUUAAAGCUCAUGCUUCUUUGAAGAAUAAUGGAGGAUUUAAGAGUCAACUAAGAUGUGGACGAAGAAGAGGACAUGGUCGUGGACAAGGAAGGAGAGGACAUGCUCAUGAACAUGAAGGAAGAUGAAAUGGUAAUAAUGCUUCAAACAAUGAAGAAAGAAGUUAUUCAUCAUUAAGAACCCGUGAAAGAGCAAGAGGAAGAAGUCAUGGUUCUUUUCAAAAUGAAAGAAAGUAUGAAAAAUCUAAAGUUGAAUGUUACAAUUACCAUAAGCUUGGUCAUUUCUCUAGGGAAUGUUGGUUUAAUGACGUGGAGAAAAAAAAAUUAAUCUUAUUAAUAAAGAAGAAGACCAAACCUUGUUGCUAACCCUAAAAGGUGAAAAAAAAGGACGCUAAUUGUUUAUGGUACUUAGACAAUGAUGCUAACAAUCACAUGUGUGGAUACAAGGAGAAGUUUAUGGAACUUAAAAGAGAAUGAGAAUGGAAAUGUGUCUUUUGUAUUUUAAAUUGAAACAAUAUUUUAUUAUGUGUCUAAAUUAAAAAGCAAUAUUUUAAGUUUAGGUCAACUUCUUGAAAAAAGAUGAGAUUUUCAUGAAAGAUAAAUAUUUUUGGCUUAAAGAUCAAAAUGAAAAUUUCAUUGUUAUGGUGUUUAUGUCAAAAAAUAGAAUGUUUAUCUUGAAUAUAAAACCUAUUGAACCGGAGUGUUUAAUGGUGAGCAUGUAAGAUAAAACAUGGUGUUGGCCAAUGAGGUUUGUACACUUAAACUUUAGUUUUCUUAAAAAUUUGGGAGGAAAGGAGAUGGUGAAAGGGAUGCAUACAAUCAAUAGUCAAAAUCAAUUGUGUGAAGAAUGUAUUCUUGGAAAGCAUGCAAGGAAAAACUUUCCAAAAGUAGCUACCUCAAGAGAAACAACUUUUUCAACUUGUACAUACCAACAUAUGUGGUCUAAUUAAUCACCAUCAGUUGGAAAGAAUAAAUAUUUAUUACUCUUUAGUGAUGAUUUCAGUAGAAAAAUGUAAGUGUUUUUGAAACAAAAGUUAGAAGUUUUUUCUGCUUUCAAGAAUUUCAAGGUUCUUGUUGAAAAAAGAAAAUGGUUUUAAAAUCAAAUCUUAGAUUUGCUCUGAGGGACAGAAUUCACUUAAAGGGAUUUCAAUGAAUUUUGUGCAACUCAUGAAAUUCGUUGUCCAUUAAGUGUUCCUAGAUCGUUGCAACAAAAUGAAGUAAUCAAAAGAAAGAACAAAUCCAUUCUUAAGAUGGCCAUAAGCAUGUUAAAAGCUAAACAUAUGCCCAAGGAGUUUUGGACUAAAGUUGUUUCUUAUGUAGUCUAUUUGUCUGAUCGAUCUCCAACUUUCAAUGUCAAAGAUCAAACUCCUCAAGAAGUUUGAUUUAGAGUGAAAGGAAGCCUAGUGUUAAUCAUUUGUAUGUCUUUAGGAGUAUAGCUUACACUUAUGUACAAUGAUUUAUGAAUUCAAUACAUCCUGUUUAGUAGAAAGACGUAUAUUCCAUGCUAAUUAUCAGACAAUUACUUAUUCACAAAUCUUGUGGGGGGCUAAUAGUUUUCAUUUCCCAUCUCAUGGAAAACCCUUUUCGCUCCGCUUAGCCCUACCUCCCCCUAGUAGGNGUAUUUUAGUGNUAGGUUCUAUAGGAACUGGACGAUCCUAUUUGGUCAAAUACUUGGCAACAUUCCUUCUAUCGUAUAUCCUCGAUUAAUGAAGUCUUAUAUGCUUGAAUUUUAGGAUUCUAGUAUUAAGCGAAAGGUUAUACUUAUAAUUAUGGGGUUAGGACAACCCCAGAUUACUAGUACUGAUAGACAACAUUGGAAAAGAAACACUACACUUGAAAAUCAAGGACACAAAAACUUUGUAUUUAUCUAUAUCUAUGGCUUAUCGAGAUUGGGAUUAACAGGAAUGGUUGGGACAAUAAAUAUCUAUCUCGUUCAUAUUUUGGAUACCCAUAGAGGUGACUAAUUCCAGGAAAUUAAAUAUGUUUCUGUUGGCCAAACAUGUUUCCCAGCUCAAUGACUGAAGUGCCAAAUAUGUUGCUGUUGGCUAUGAUGCUCAUUCUAAAGGCUACAAAUUAUACAAUCCAAGGUAAGUCAUGAUGUUGAAUUUAUGAAGAAGCUACAUGGUCUUGAGAUGCUCAAGAAGAAAAUAUUUAUGAUUUUCUUUCUACUCUUGAAGAAGAGGGAGCAGAUCAAGAAAUUGCAAUUCAAAAUGUCACUCCUCCUCAUUCGCCCCCUCCAUUAGCUACAUCUCAUGCGAAAAAAGAAAGUACAAGUGAAAGGCCAAAGAAGACAAGAGACAUAUGUAACAUUUAUGAAAGGUCUGAUGAAAUCGCUCAUAAUCUUAAAGAAUUAUAAUGCCUUCAAAUAAACUGUGAGCAACUACAUUUUAAGGAAGUUGUGAAGAAUAAAAGGUGGAAACUUGUCACAGAAGAAGAGAUUCAUUUAAUAUAAAAGAAUGAUACUUUGGAACUAACAACUCUUUCCAAAAGACAUAAAGCUAUUGCUGUAAAACACGUGUACAAAGGUAAGAAUAGUAGUAGUGUAAAGGUCGAAAAAUACAAGUCAUGACUUGUAAAAUGCUAUAUAUCUGCACAAGUACUAACAAAGAGUUAGUAUUUCAUGAUUGAAGUAAACAUAUAGACAAGAGAUAUUAUUUCAUAAGAGAAUGUAUUUUUAGAAAGGAAGUGAAUCUCAAGUAUGUCAAGACUCAAGAUCAAGUCAAAUAUAUUCGUCAAGUUAUAAAAAUUUGAAGAGUUUAUAAAGCUAAGAACAAAUAUUGAUGAAAAUUUCAAAUUGAAAAAGAGAAAUAUUAUUGUAAUUUGAAAAAAAAAAGUCUAUGAUACUUUUUAAAUUUCGUUAAGAAAAGUCUAAAUAUUCUAGAAAAUUUAUAAUUAUGAAAAUUGUAAAAAAUUCUAUAGUGAAACUUUAAUCAGAGAAACUCUGGUAAGAGAGUCUAGUCUAUAUCUCUCCGUUAAUACCUAUAAAUACUCUAUUGUACAAUUCUCAGUUUUUUCUUUAAGGAUGUAUUAUCUAUGUUCAUUCUUGAUGAAAAGACCAUAGAUAUUCCAAUUAAGAAUAAAAUUUAUAAAUUUACCUGAAAGUGAGAAGAACACUUAAUUAGGUAAAAAAAAAAAUAGUUUAUUUUUUAAAUGACUCUAAAAUAUAAACAUGAGUUAUCUGUUUACGUAUCUCUCAACGAAUCUCUCACUACACUAUAAUUAUCCAUCUCUAUGUAUAUUAUUCUUCAAAAUACCACUUUGAAGAGAAGAGAAAAAAUUCAUGAAAUGUAAAAAAUUAAAUUAACUUUCUUUAUGUAUAUAUAUAUAUAUAAUAAAAUUGAUAGGAAAUCUAAAAAAGAAAAAAAGUAAAACCAUUAAGAUUACAUAUCUCCUCAGAUUUCUUGGAAUAUCAAUUGCAUAAAUUCAAUUUCAAUUUAUAGCUAGGUUUUCAUUUCGUUUAACAUAAAGAGACACAAAUAGUUACGAUUUUGUAUACACAAUCAUAUUCUUCGUAAUCUCUGUCCAACUAUAUCUAAAUAAAUUUAACUACUCGAAAAUCUAAUUUUAAUUUUGAAAUGAUAUAAGAUAGAAUUUAAAUAAAUACUUCUAAUUGUACCUCAGAAAAAUUAAAUUCCAAGAUUAUUGCUGCUGAUUACUUCCUAUUUCAAAGAGACACUAAGAUUUCCGACAAUUUGCGUAGAGGUAGAUGUAGUUGAUGAGAGAGGAGUUCACGAAGAAAGACGUCGAAGAUUCUGAUGAUUCCUUUUAGUUUGUUAGGGUUUUGGUCCAGUGAAAUCAACUCACUAAAAUAAAACAAGGAAAAAGAAUAUUUAAUGAUAUGUUUACUCACACUACAUUUUUUUUAAUUUCAAUAUUUAUUCUUUCUUAAUUAUUAUUAUUAUUUUGAGAUGUAAUUGUAAUAAAUACUAUUUUUUAUCAGAAAAAUAAAUAUAUUAAUAAAUACUACUAAUUAUACUUCAUAAAAUUAAAUUAUAGAAGUUAUCUCUAUUUUAAUUAAACUUUGAAUAACUCUAAUAUUUAUAAUUGUCUUUUUAUAAUGAUUGAAUAAGAUAUAAAAUUAUUAAGUUUAUUAAUUUUUAUAAAAAAGAAUUUAAAAAUAAUAUAUAAAACCAUUUUUAAUUUAUUAAAAGUAUAAAAAAUAUUUUAUAUUAAUUCAUAAUGUCAUUAUUUAUAUUUUGAAAAAUUGAUAAUUUAUAUUUUAAAUAAUAUUAGCUUUAAAGAAUUUUAAUCAUAAUAAAAUUAUAAAUGUUCAAAAUAUUUAUUAUUAAUUUUAUUUAUAGACAUUUACCUACAUUUCAUAUACUAAAAACUAAAUUGUAAAGUUGUUGCAAUUAAGAUUUUUUUUCAUACACAAAUAUAUAUAUUAAUUUAAAAUAUAAUUUGUACAAAUUUGUUCCCAAUUCAACAAUUAAGAACACUGAACAACCACAUACUCAAUCAAACUCACAACUUUAUACAACAUUAGAACUUGUAAGGUCUGAUUUUAUAUUACUCAAUACCUCUCAUAUUCUUUAAGUGAGCUUCUGGUGUCCACAUUAUUGUUGUUAGAGUCUUGUUUUGAUAAACAUUUGCAUUUUAUGUGAAUAAUUUUGUAGAUUAAAUAUGCUCCAACCCUAUUGUGUUAUAUAUGAUGAGUAACAUUCAUUCUCAUACAACUAACCUCUUAUAUGUAAGUAUUAGUAUAUCGACACUGCUUGUCAUCUCUUCCCUCCAACUUCUUAGCUAUUUCAGUCCAUUUUUUAUCAUCAAUCUUAUCAGUUUUCUGCAGUUAUAAAAAUAAGAUUCAACACAAAAUUUUAUUCACAAGAAUUUAUCAAACUAAAAAUUAGAUAAGAAUUCAAGUAGUGUAAAUCUGAGUCUUAUAGGGAACAUAAAUGAAAAACUCUACCACAAUAAAGAAGGAAAAAAUUCAUAAAUAUAUUUUGAAGAUAACUGAAAUAAACAUUACAAUGUGCUCAAAAGUUUCAAAGCUAUAUUUAAAUUCAAUCUGUACUUACAAAACUAUCACGGAAUUGGAAAUCUGGGAUGACUUUGGUCGUAAUGAAAUGUGGAGGCACAAGGAAUUUGUACCAAUGAGAAACCUAGGAUCUUGAACAGAUGAUGCAGGAAACUGAAUUGGUAGUGCUAAGCAGAACAGUAUGGGUUGAGAGUAGUAGCAGCAAAUGCUUUUAGUAUCAUGUGGAAAAUUAAAGCAUCGGAUGAAGAAUUUGCAAGUCAUAUGUUUUUUAUCUAUCAUUCUGUCUGCUCUGUGUAGAAUCAAUGUCUGGAGGUGGGUAGAUAUGAACUUGUCCUUCACAAUCAGUUGGAGAAUAAUCUUAUACAAUUUUUCACAUGCCAGGAGAUGCUAACAAAAUGAAGUAUGUGUGCUGUUAAAGGAGAACAAUUCACAACAAAUAAAUACACAUCCGUUUUCAUGUCCUAUAUUUUGUAUGUGUAAAAGUAGUAUCCAUGCUACACCAUGAUAGAAGAUAUUUUCAACAUAAAUGGUUACAUAGAAAGAUCAACGACAGGUGGUGAAAAGAGUGUUGAUCAACAUAAAUAUAUUCAUCUCGUACAUGAAAAUAGAUAUUAAUAAAUGAUUCAUGAAGAUCCGAUCAGAAUGAAACCAUAUAUCCAAUAAACUUGAAUCUUUAUAACGGAUACAGGAACAUGGAAUACAUUGAGGUAUGCAUAUAAGAAAUUACACACACCGUUGGGUGUAAUUUCAUUGAGAUAAGAUUAUAUAUGAAGAGGGUUAUGGAAACCAUGAAGAUAGAACCUCAAUUGCAGAUGCAGUUUCACUAGGCCAGAAACACAAUGCCAUGAAGCAAUUGGUUUCAUGGGUGGAGGACCAGUUAAUGUCAUUUUACAUAAAUUUCAGUUAAUUCUCAAUUAUGUGUCAUUUAUUGUAUAACUUUUUACAUUUUUCUUUCUUGUUUUAGAAUAUUUUAACAGCCAUACUAUAUUAUGAAUAAGAGGAUAACUCUAUAUAUGGUUAGAAACAACCUUUCACAAACUAUGAUUAAGAAGGGAUAAAUAGGUCUCUAUUUCUCUAAACCUAUUGGAUUGUCUUUCUUCUUAGCUAUAAGGUUACCAAGGAUGCAUUACAACCAUUAGGAAUACUCCCAGACUGUUGAAAAUAGUUUAAUGCUUCUAUUACAUCAUAUUUUACCAGUGUUUUUUUUAUGAAAUUAAAAUUGAACCCAUCAGAUUUAGGAUUCUUUCUGCCACCUUGCAUCUUUAAUUUCUAUUUUCUCAAUAUAACUAAAGCUAUUAGUGAAGGGAAUUCAACAAUAGGAGAUAUCAAGAGGACCAAACAAUUAAAGUCUAAUUAUCUUUGCUUUGAAGUGAAUUUUUUCAAUAGUUCUAUUUGCAUAAAUUAUGGAAAGAGGAGGUGGUAAACAUAUUUAUGAUAAUAUUUAAUUCUGUUAGAUUAGGACACCUUUAAUUGCUAUAAAAAGAGAAUAUCAACUUUUACUUUAUCUAUUGAGAUGUUCUAUUGGAAACAAAUUUGAAUUAACUUGUCACAAAUUCUGUUUAUAUAUAAUUAAAAAAAAAACAAGUAAGAAGAGUGAUUUUAUAGCAUGUAUGGUAGAAGGUGCGGGAUAUAUUGAAGUAUAAUGGAAACAGAGGCGACUAUAAUUUUGUUCGAUUUAACUUGUUAUUUUUAGGUUUAAUCAUUCAAAGGUCUCUAUUUUUGGAAAGAAUCUCAAUUUGGUUCUUUUCUUUUUUAGCAUCUCAAUUGAGUCUUAUUUUUGUAAAAAUUACAACAAUUAGGUCCAUGCCGUUAAAUUCAGUCCAACGGUGUUAGUAUGUGGUUGACGUGUCACGCUUAACUUUUAUCACCCUUGCCACAUCAGCAUCUCCUUCAACACUUCUCCAACCAGAAACCCUAAUUCCCAAAGCCUAGUUACCAUGCGCCGCCAUCGCCAUUCUCGCCAACAGUCAUCCCCUCAACCUUCGCUGUGAAGCCUUCUGUCACUCUCGUCCUUCCUCAAACGUAAGCUUCUUCAUCCAGCAACCAUGGCAACCCCACCAUCCAUCACUCUCGCCAUGACAGAGUUGUCGCACUCAAACUGCAAGUCGUCGUCAUGACUUGUCCUCCAUUAUCAUCAUCUUUGCAAGCUCUGCAACCAAACAGAAUCGCAACGAACAUCAACAAAAUCGAAACCAGAGAAUUGCGACUCAGGAAAUCUCGCAAGCGCCACCCAAAUGCCAUAGCGCCAUCAACAACGACGAGCUCCUCCUCCAUUCGCGAAACCCUUCGUGUCACCAUCGACCUCGCACCAUACCAGUCAGGUCGACGUCACCUCGCAAGCUUCCUUGUCGUUGCCAUCCAAGCUUCAUUCAUCAUCAAUGCGGACCUGUAAUUACCAAAUUCCAGAAACCCAACAAAAACCCAAAAUCAGAGGAAACGCUUUGCGCCACCACAUUCUCGAAAGCCUCCUCCUUUAAGAAUUAGGGUUUCUGGAGAAGGGUUGAAGGAGAUGCUGACGAGGCAAGGGUGAUAAAAGUUCAGCGUGCCACGUCAACCACAAACUAAUAUCGUUGGGUUCGGUUUAGCGAUAAGAGCCCGAAUUGUUGCAAUUUUCACAAGGGUGUUGCUCCCUACACCUCCCCAAGCGGGACCUGUACCUCCCCAUUAAUUUAAUUUAUUUCAAAAAUAUUCUACACCUCCCCAUUAUUUUCUUUUAUUCCAAAAACACCCUACACCUCCCCAUUAUCCUUAACAAUCUUUCUCUUUCUCUCUCUACAUUAAUGGAGCAUUUACAUGANNNNNNNNNNNNNNNNNNNNNNNNNNNNNNNNNNNNNNNNNNNNNNNNNNNNNNNNNNNNNNNNNNNNNNNNNNNNNNNNNNNNNNNNNNNNNNNNNNNNNNNNNNNNNNNNNNNNNNNNNNNNNNNNNNNNNNNNNNNNNNNNNNNNNNNNNNNNNNNNNNNNNNNNNNNNNNNNNNNNNNNNNNNNNNNNNNNNNNNNNNNNNNNNNNNNNNNNNNNNNNNNNNNNNNNNNNNNNNNNNNNNNNNNNNNNNNNNNNNNNNNNNNNNNNNNNNNNNNNNNNNNNNNNNNNNNNNNNNNNNNNNNNNNNNNNNNNNNNNNNNNNNNNNNNNNNNNNUUAUAAAGUUAGUAUAUAAUAAUAAUAAUAAUAAUAAUAAUAUAUCAUUAUUUACUAUUAAUAUUAUUAUGUUUAUUAUUUUGUAUUUGCAUCUAACUUUUAAUUUUAUAAAAUGGAAAUGGUAGAAGUAUUAAUAUUGAAGUUUCCUCUUAAUAUUAUAUUUUGUAGUAUGUUGCAAAUUCAAAUCUGAACCAAGUGAAUGCUCCAUUAAUGUAGGGAGAGACAGAGAAAGAUGGUUAAGGAUGGAGAGGUGUAGGAUAUUUUUGGAAUAAAGAAAAUAGUAGGGAGGUAUAGAAUAUUUUUGAAAUAAAUUAAAUUAAUGGGGAGAUACAAGUCCCACUUGGAGAGGUGUAGGGAGCAACACCCUUUUCACAAAAAUAGGACCCAAUUGAGAUGCCAAAAAAGAAAAAAUCCCAAUUGAGAUUUUCCCCGAAAAUAUGAACCUCAUGAAUCAUUAAACCUUAUUUUUAUGGAAAUAUUUGAUUCUGGUACAAUAUAAACAAUGUUUUGACUAAUAUAUAUAAAACCAAAUUCAAUUGCUAUAUUUUUAUUUUUAAGGUUAACUAUUGAUAGAAUGUCUUACUCUAAUUUAUUUAAUUAUGAAUAAGUUUUCAUACUCUUAUAAAUAUGUUUCUAAUGAUAUAUUUGGACAGGAAAUUAAAAUUUAUUUUCAUUUUAAAUUUUGAUAUAUUUUAAUUUUUAAACUUUAAAAUGAAUAAAUAUAGUUUUUUAAUAUAAUGGUGUUAAAUUUAUUUUAAAUAUUGAAUGACACUCUUGACUCACGUUUAAGUUGAAAUGUGUUGGUAUAAAUUGUUCAAACACUAAUAUAAAACAUAGUUUACAAAAAUUACAAUACAAUUAUAUUAGAAAAAUUAUAUUUAUUUAUUUUUAAAAUUUAAAGCUUAAACCAUAUCAAAUUUGUGAUAGAAAUAAAUUAUAUAUUAAAUGUGUGCGGUGUGGUGAGAACUGUUAAGAGUACUUAAUUCGAGAUUAUUGUGAUUUUUUUCCUACUUAAAACUACAAAUGUACACAUAUGUUAUUAAUUAAUUUCAAAUCUAAACGUAACACAUCGAAUCAUUACAUAAUUCUUAAAAGAUCUUGUGGAACUUUCAUAAUCAUCAUCAACCUAACAUAAAAAAAAAUCAAUUAUUACUUAGUUAUGAUAGAGGAAUAUAACUUUUUUCAAAUCAUUACAUAAUUUUUUAAGAAUCAAUCAUUACAUAAUUUUUUUUCAAAUCACAAUACUUUGAUUAAGCGAUUAUAAUGUUUUACUUACAUUAAAACAAUUAUAAAUCACAGUCUAAAAAAUUUAUAUAAAAUUUAGUGAUACGAAAAUGAGUUGAAAGUACUGAACCAAUUUGGUCUAUUAUGAAUUUGAAUCGAGUUUGCUUAAAAAGAAAUUGAAAUUUCAAUAAAAGUCAAUUUUGAAUCCGACGAUUAAGAAUCCAGUUGAACUCAUGGUGAGUAAAUUGGUUCAUCAACCCACUUAAUUAUUAAUUAACACUAUUUUUUAUUGUAUUAUAAAAGGAAAAAAAUAAGAAAAUGUUUUAAGAAAGCAAAAUAUUGUGUAUUUAUUCCUUCAAGACUCUAAUCUUAUAGAUGGAUACAAAAAUUAUCAAUGUAAAAUACUUAUUUAUUUUGUUUUCUGAACUUGAUUUUGGAUUCUAUUUAAAGUUUAAAAUGAUUUUAAAUUGUAUUGUAUUUUUUACUCAUUUUGAUUUGUCUAAGUUUAACAUUUUGGACUUAAUUUUUUUUUAAUUGAAAAAAAAAACGUAUAAUUCAAUAAAUUGAUAUGUUUAACCCACCAAAAUAUAGUUACUAGACUAAGUUUCUAGUUCCUUGUAGACCGGACUAGAUAACCCAUUUUAAAAGCAUGUAAAUAUAAGUAAUUUUAACAAUAUACAUCAUAUCACUUAAAAUUAGCUCCCGUACCGAAACCAUGAUCUAAUUAAUUACAUAUAUUUUAGCUGUUGUUGCUUGAAUUUAAAUCUAAUUCCACCUGUGAUUAAAUAUUAAAACAAACGUUCAUGCUUGAAUUUAAAAAGAAUAUAUUUUGAGAAGUUAUGAUUUAUGCAGACAUAAUUUAGAACACAAUUUGAAAUGGUAUGUCGUUAACAAUUAUUUGAAAAUUUUGAAAACACGGGGUAGUAUUUAAGGGAGGAUUGACAUAGAAAAAAAAUUUCUGUAUGGUACUGUAAUAAGAAGUCAUUAGUUAUUCUACCAGAACUAGGAAUGGUUCCAAUUCAGCUAGGGCUUCUUGUUCUGUUUGGAAUAUGAACGGCUGCGAUUUUCCCCAGUAUCCUCUUUUGGCACCUUAUCUUUUUUCUCCAUCAUGUAGGGAUUCCAUGCUGCAAUGGGAGUGAAAUCAGCUUGGUUUCUGUUCGUCCCACAGAACCUUUCAGAGAUAUUGUUGUUCAGGGACACUAGAUUUGCACGAAUACCACCACAGUGUUGUGUUGGAGUUUCUUCUUCUUGAUCAAGCCAGCCACAUGCAGAAGGGCCAUUGAAGUUCCCAUCAAAGAUUGCUGCGGCAUGUGAUUUUUCCAUCUCAGUCUUUGAACAUUCAUCAGGAUCAAUGCCUUCUGCGGCAACAUUCAAGUCAAUGGAUAUUCCAAGACCAAUGUUUCCAUUUAGCAUAUAUUCGUCAGUAUGGUGACCGUAAUGUGGAAGGUUCAGAUCAAAAUCAAUUCCCUUCAACUGCUUAAUCUGUGGGUUAGGCUCAGGUUCUACAUUUACCAUAUUAAUCUGAGAUAUUUGCAACAAGGCGUCUAAAGCCUCCAGUUCAUUGUGCUCCCUCGUGGCCUCAUCAGUUUCCUGCAAGAAGAUGGUCACAACUUUCAUUUCUUUGGCACUGGUGUGCUCUGUAAUGAAAAUCUCAUAACUAACAAUAGCAGUUUGCAUCUGAUGAAAUAAACUUCUAAACUUGUCAGAGAUUAAACUAUUUUCUAUACUGAUAAGGUUUCUAUUAACAGAGUAAAUGAAUUAAUACUUAAAUAGAAGUAACAGCAAACAUAUAAUAGGAGCCUCUUUGAGAAGAUUGAUUACACAUCAAAAUAUAAUUUUAUUUGAAAAAUAUGACAUAAUAGUGUCAAAAGAAAAAUGUUAUAUAUGAUAAAGAAAGACAAGAGAAUUGUCUAAUGUCUCACUCAUUUUGAAUCUUAAAUAAAAUCUCUUCUUUAUUAACAAAUGAUGUAGAAAAAAUAUUAUCUACGUUUCAAAGAAACAAAUGCAUCUGAUAAUAUAAUUUGCAGUUGAGUUAUUUAAAAUUUUGUUUUACAUUUAAAUUGUUUUAGUUUUUUAUUCGAUAAAUGUAGGUUAUGUGGAUUGUAAUUGUAACUGUAGGGACAAUAGAUGUUAAAGUUUAGCUAAGGUAAUCAUUCAAGUUUCACGCAUGAUGUGGGGAGUGUUUUUGCUUCUACAAAUUUAUUUGAAUUGAUGUAGUUCAUCUUUACAAUUUGUGAAUAAGAAGCAUCAUUUCAGUUUCAAGAAAAUCUUAUUUACUUGUUUGAGUUAACAAGUUGGUAUCAGAUCUUCAUAACAGGGGUUGAAUCAGAAAAUUGAGUGCGUUGAGUGAUACAUCGAAGUUCUUAAAUUAAACACUAGGUAGAAAGUGAGUGAAACAAUAUGUGUUUUUCUUUUUGAAAAAUCAUUCAGAUAAAUAGUUGCUCAACAAAGUAUGGGCAACCUGUAAUUUCUAAAUUUGAUGGACAUUGUGAUCAAUAAGCAAAGCUUAUGGAGAAUUUCCUUCAAUUGAAGGAAUAUUAGCAUUUAGUGAAACAUAGAGUGAAUGUCAUCCUAGAUAAAGCUACUACAUAUUAGAGGUGAAAAUCAAAGUAAUGGAGGAGUAGAAACUUAAGGAUUUAAAGAUAAAAAACUAUCUCUAUCAAGUAAUAGAUAGAGAAACUCUAGACACCAUUCUUAAUUAUGAAACAUCCAAAAAUAUAUGGGAUUCUAUGAAGCAGAAGUUCCAAGGUUCAACAUGAGUCAAACGUGCUCAUUUACAAGCCUUGCUUAAGGAGUUCAAAAGAUUGAAGAUGAAGGGAGAAUAUGUGAAUUCUUAUUUUGCCAGAACUUGAAUAUUGCUAAAAGUAUGAAAGCUAUUGGAGAAAAAAUACAAGAAAAUGACAUAACUACAAAAAUCUUGCAAUCUAUGACAGUCCAAUUCCAUUUUGUGGUGUUCUCAAUUGAAGAUCAAAUAACUUAAAUACUAUGACAAUAGACGAAUUACAAAGUAGUCUAUUAGUUCAUGAAAAAAGAAUGAUACUUCCAACAACUGGAGGUUAUGCAAACCCUAAUAGAUGAUAAAGGUGGAAGAGGAAGAGGGAGAGAAAGAAGUAGAGGUGGAUUUUGAGGUAGAGAAAGAGGAAGACAAACAUUCAAUGAGGUUGAAGCUAAAUGCUUCAAGUGUCACAAAUUUGGACAUUUUCAAUAUUCCCUUGUGGGAAAAGAAGGCACACUAUGUUGAAACAGAGGAUAAAGAGGAACAAGAGGAAAAUGUUUUGCUAAUGACCUCAAUAGAAUGUCAAGAAGGAAAGAAAGAUGAAUGAUUCUUAGACUUAGGAUGUAGUAACCACACAACUGGUAACAAAGUGUGGUUCUCAACACUAAGAACAAAGUAAAAAUGGGAAACGAUAGUCACAUAGCUAUGAUGGAGAAAGGAAGUGUUCAGAUGAUGGUGAAUGGAAUUAUACAUGUCAUUAUACAUGUAUACUAUGUUCCAAAAUUAAAGAACAACCUAUGGAGUAUAUGAAAACUACAAGAAAAGGUUUAAGCAUCACAAUUCAAAAUAAUAAAUCCAAUAUUGUUCACUCAGAGAAAAGGCUAAUUAUGGAGGUACACAUGAUUGCAAACAGGAUGCUAUGAUGGCUUAAAAAAUCUUGUCACUAAGCAAAUAGUGACAGGACUGUCCACGAUCAAAACCCCUAAGGAACUUUGUGCACAUUGUUUGGUUGGAAAACAACACAGAAAUUCAAUAUAAAAAAAAAAUGCAUGUGAAGAGCAUUUAAACGGCUAUAAGUGGUUCAUACAAAUUUGUGUUGAUCCAUUCAGCCAACAUCUAGCAGUAAUAAGAGAUAUAUCUUAAGUUUUAUUGAUGAUUUGUCAUGAAAAACCUGGGUGUAUUUCUUAAGAGAAAAAUAUGGAACUCUUUCUCUUUUAAAGAUUUGAAAACUUUUUUGGAAAAGGAAGAAUGGGAAAGCAUCAUCUGCUUAAGAACUGAUAGGAAAGAUGAAUUCUCCUCAAAAAUAUUUGAAAAAUUUUGUGAAAGUGAAGGGAUAAGGAGACAACCGACUGUUGUCUAUACUCCUCCAAUAGAAUGGGGUUGUUGAAAGAAAUAAUUAUACCAUCAUGAACACGGUUUGUUCAAUGCUGAUUAGAAGGUAAGUUCCAAAGAUUUUACAGCCAUAAGAAACCAAGUGGUGUGUCCAUAUUCUGAAUAGAAGUCCUACGACAAUAGCGCAUGAUCAAACCCCUAAAGAAGCACCUAUAAGCUAUUUUUGGGUCUUUAGUUGUUUAUCUCAUGUUCACGCACCAAAUCAAUAAAGAAUCAAGUUAGAUGACAAAAAUAAGCCAUGUGUUUUAUUUGGAGUCAGUGAUAAGUAUAAGGCAUAAAGACUAUUUGAUCCUAUCAAUAACAAAAUUAUCAGUAAAGAUGUCAUUUUUAAGGAAUAUAAGAGUUGGAACUGGGAGCAUAAUAAAGCAAUGGACCAACGUAACAAUUUUGAAAAAGAUGAGUACGAAGAAAGCACUGAAAAUAAAUUUAAAGAUGAAUCAGAAAAUGAGGAGCAUCAAGAGACAUAUUCACACAAUGCCGGAAUAGAUAGCUUAAAUGAAUCUCAAACUAUAGUACCUGACAUUCAAAUUAAAGGGAGGGCAAGAAGGCAUAGAAGAAAACAUAUUUGAAUGGCAGAUUAUGAAACAGGAGAAAGUGUUGUGAUUAUAACUAAAAUUGGUCCAGUAACACUUGAUGAAGCCCUUAAAAGUAAGAUGUGGAGAGAUGUAGUGGUGAAAGAGAUGGAAGCGAUAGAAAGAAAUCAAACAUGGGAGUUUAUUUAUGCACCAAUAGGAGUAAAACCUAUUAGAGUAAAAAGGGAACUCAAGAAAACUUAGAGAAAAUGGAUAAAUUGAUAAAUGUAAAGCAAGAUUAGUAACAAAAGGUUAUGAGUAACACUAUGGAGUGGAUUACACAUAAGUGUUUGCACAAAUUGCCAAACUAGACACCAUUUAACCAUACUCUCAGUGGUUGCUCAUAAUGGCUAGAUCAUAUUUCAAUUAAAUGUGAAAAGUGAAUUGCUACAUGGAGAACUCAAGGAAGAAAUUUAUAACAACAACUAGUUGCAUUUUGUCAAGAAAGGGGAAGAAGAGAAAGCAUAUAAACUGAAAAAGGCACUAUAUGGGCUCAAACAAGCACCAAGGGCAUAGUACAACAAAAUAAAAGCUUACUUUAUAAAAAAUGGUUUUGAAAUAUGUUUUUAUGAACAUACAUUGUUUACAAAAUUAGCAAAAGGGAGGUAAAAUUUUAAUUGUAAAUCUAUAUGUGGAUGAUUUAAUUUACAUGGAAAUGAUAGAGAUAUGUGUAAUGAUUUUAAAAAUUUCAUGAUGUCAAAAUUUGAUAUGACUGACUUAGGGAAGAUGAGGUAUUUCCAUUGAAAAUUUGUAAAAUGAACAUGGAAUUUUCAUGUGUUAGAGGAAGUAUGCUAAUGAAGUCUGACCUAGGUUUGGCAUGUUUGAAUGUAAUGCAGUUAAAAAUCCAAUUGUUCCAAGAAUCAAAUUGUCUAGAAAUGAUGUAAGUACUAAAGUAUAUGUCACUUUGUUCAAGCAAGUAGUUGGAAGUCUCAUGUAUUUAACCGCAACCUGACCAGAUUUGAUGUAUGGAGUUAGCUUAAUUAACAUAUUUAUGGCCCAACCUACGGAGACACACUAGUCUAUAGUCAAAUGAAUCCUAAGAUAUUUGAAAAAUUGGGAAUUUUUUACAAGAAGGAAGAAGAUGCAAUUGAUGGCUUAUACAGAUAGUGAUUUUGUUCGAGACAUAGAUGACAAGAAGAGUACAUCAGAUUUUGUAUUCUCUCUAAGAACUGAAGUAGUUUCAUGGUCUUCCAAGAAGAUACCAAUAUUAAUUCUUUCUACAACUGAAUCAAAGUAUAUAGUUGUUACAUCAUGUGCAUGCCAAUGCAUAUGGAUUAAGAGAAUAUUGAAGACUAUUGGUUUUAACAAAUAGAAACAUAUUCAGGUUUUAUGUGAUAGUAGUUCAAUCAUUAAACCAUUUUGAAAAUACAAUAUUUCAUGGUAGAAGUAAACAUAUUGAUGUUAAAUUCCAUUUCUUAAGAAAUCUUGUUAGAGAAGGAAGAAUCAAGUUUGACUAUUACGACACUCAGAAUCAAGUCGCUAAUAUAAUGACUAAGUCAUUAGAACAAUUUUUGAAGUUUAGAAUCAUGUUAAAUAUGAUUGAAGCACCAUAAACAAACUAGAUUUUUUUAAAGCAUUUAGUUUAAUGAAGAUAUUGUUAAUAGUUAAAUUAUUUAUAAUUUUGUUAACUCCUGAUUUUUAGGUAACCAUUCACACAUAGGGGUGAAUAGUGUUUUUGUUUUUACAUAUUUCUUUAAAUUGCUCUAGUUUAUUUUUACAACUUGUGAAUAAAAAGUAUGAGUUCACUUUCAAGAAAAUCUUAUUUACCUGCUGAGUCAAGAAAUAUAAGAAAACUGCUGAGUUAACAAAUAUAAGGUAAGAGACUUAAGAUAUAAUAGAGAAAAAAAAAAGUUUGUUUGUAUAGGAUUUAAUUAUAGUACUGACAUUAUCAUGAACGUGGAAUUAAUCUCAUAUAUUAUACUUUGAGAAAAAAAGGACUUUUAUAUUACUUACUUCAAUAGCAACUCCUUUUCCUUCUGUAGAAAGAGCACUUGUUAAAGGAGAUCUUCGUUCUCCGGAAGAAUCAGUUUCACCUCCUGAGCCUUCUUGAACAGGCCUUUGCAAAGUUUGUGGUGAACUAUUUGAAGAAAGAUGAAGUCUCUCUUCCAUUCCUUCUUCAUUUGAUACUUGAUUUCCAACCCUUUGGAUGAAAUCAGUUAAUGGUGCAUCUUCUUCUUCAUCUACAACUAGCUUCCUCUUUCUUCCUUUCCGACCAUUUUUUUCCAACUUCUUUGUGUCUCCUUCACCAACCACCUUAUCCAUGACAGUUUUUUGUCUCUGUGAGUCUGCAGACUUGUUGGAAGGAUUUUGAAAUGCUGGUCUUCUUUCAGCUACUGCUUCAUCAUCUUCUCUAAGUAUUUCCCUAAGUAAGCGCACCCUUUUAAAUUUCUUGGAAGAUUUCUUUUGAUGAAGAUCCUGAAUUACAUCUUCAUUUUCUCCAUUCUUGUCACUAUUCCCUGCAUGAAAAUUAUCUGCAGGAGCUUUCUCUUAAAAUAUAAAAAGAAUCACUCUUAUUCAAGUGAUGAUUUUGAAAUUACCUGUUAUUUCAUUGAUUGAAACCUGAUCACAGUUCCUUUCUUCUUCUUUUAUUGACAUACCAUCACUUUCACUGUCACCACUAUCGCCAGUCAAGUCAAUGAGUUCGUUAAUAUCAAUAUUUUUUCUUGCAGGAACACUUUUACGUGUCACAGUUUCUUGAGUUUCCUCACAGCAUGUCCUUUGGUCACUUUGAUCAUCCAUGAUAAACUCAUUUUCUCCGAGACAUACAUUACAACUCCAUGAUCGAAAUCUUCGAACAACUAAUGGAGAAAGUGAUGGUCGUGUCUCAGAUCCAUUUACUGGAAACAAUAGACAUAAAUUCAAAUCUUUUUGACGCAUUUCAGCAACGUAGCCCCUGCAUUUGUAAUAAAGAAGUGUUACAAAUAUGAACCUGGCAUGAGAAUCAUAGUUGUUCUUGUACAAAAAAUCAUAACCCUGUCCAAGGCAUUCUUAAUCUAAUAACUACAAAUGUUUUGGUGGAACUUUUUCCACAAAUUCUACCCCGUUUAAACAUUUUGGAAAUUGAAAAUACUGCAUGAAAUUAUCUCUAAAGGUUUAUUCUGUGCUUUAAAUAUUUAUAUAAAUAUUGUUUUUCAGGUCCAAAAUAAAUUUAUAUUUCAACUAUCUACUCAUUUCUUCAUGAACUUCAAAAUGCUAUAAUUUUGUGUCUUCAAAUUCUCCAAUAUAUGUAUAUAUAGAUCAAUUACGCCUAAAAUAAUGUAAAGAGAAAUUCUUAUUUAUUUUUUUUGAGAUAUAAUGAUUGAAAUGAGUUACUUAUUUAAUCUAUUAAAUUUGAAGGAUACUAAUCUUAGAGAAAGAAUUAACAUACUUUGUUUAAAUUGUUUUAGAAGCAAUUUUAUUCCUUAGAUUUAUAAAAUAUAGUAUGAAAAUAAAAACAGUAAGAGUUAUGAGUUCAAUUCUUCUAAUAACAUUUGAUAUAUACAAGAUUGAUUUGAAAGAUUUAAAAGAAAGAGAGAUUGAUAAAAAAUAAAUAAAAAUACAUUUAUCUAAUAAAUUUUGAUCUUCCACAACUAAACGUAUAUGAAAAAAAGCAAGGAGUUACCGUAAAGAGAAAUGGUUACACGAUGGACUUGCUUCUUUAUUCAUUUUAGAGGUAUAGAGUUUCUUAGGUUCCAUGAGGUUGAUGAUAAUUAUGUGUUCCUCCUGAAAACUACAAGCAAACCACAGUUAAUUAUAAAUCAAAUUGAAAUUGUGAAAUAGAAAUAUUAAAAAGGAAUAAAGAGUUCUAAAAAACAAGUUAAGUUACCCUAACUAAAUAAUUGAUACAAAGUUUAUUUAUGUAUAAGAAAGACACAAUAAUUUAAACCUAAUAUAAUUAAAAUGGAUAUUUCAGUCAAAAUCAAGUCAAAUUUAAGCUAUUAUGUAUAUCACCUAUAUUCAUCAUUGAGUGGGGAAAACAAUAGAUAUCGAAUUGAAGAUGAAAUUUCUAGAUUUAUCUCGAAAUUGAUGAGAAAUCACUUAAUUACGUAGCUGAUGAGGCAGUUGUAGAUGAAUAGAGAAGAGUUCACCGAAGAAGAUAUGAUGAUGAUUCUCUCUGGAUUGUUAGGGUUUUCUUUGAAUAGAAUCAGCUCAUUGAAAAAGAGUAAGAAGGAGAAGCUGUUAUGGCAUGGUUGCGUGCUAGUGUUAAAUAAGGUCUUCUUAAAUUUUAUAUUUUCUCCUUUAUAAUUAUUAUGUCUUCUUCUUCAUAUCAUGUAAUUAAAAUUAUAAUACUACUAAUUAUACUUCGUGAAAAUUAAAUUAUUGAAAUUAAUUUUAUAUAUGAAUUAUUAUCAUUAUGUUUUUUACUAUUGUCGUAAUAGAAUUGUGGCUGGACAAAAAUAACAUUAAAAGAUUUAUAAAGUUGUCACUAAUAUGCUUUACGAAAAAAUAUUGUGAAAACCGUAUAUAAAUAUUAAUCUAUAAAAUUAGAAUUUUGUAGUUCAGAAAUUGAUUAUAGACAAGGAAUAUAUUAACAUCUUACAUUCAUAAAAAAUAAGACCAUCUAUAAUUAAUUGAAUAUAUUAUUAUUCAUACUUUUAAAACAUUCGUCUUCUUAUGCUAAAAGUGGUAAAGAGUAUUUUAAAAUGAAAUAAUUUGUAUUGUUAUUAUAAAAUUAUGAUAUAAGAUAAAUGUUAAUGUUAUAUAUUUUUUAUUUAACUCAAAAAGAAUUGUCUGUGCUCUUGGGUAUCUUCAUGUUUAAUGAAAAAUUAUUCAUAAAUUUUUAAGUCGUUGUUAUUUCAUUAAAUUACAAGUAGUUAUAGUAGACAAAAAUGCUCUCAUUUAUCAUGGAUUCUAAGUUUUAAGGUCAAGGACAUUUAAAUAAUUUUCAUUCUCAAAACUAAAAAAAGAAAAAGAAACCCCCAAACCCUUACUCACCUCCCUCGUUUCUCUCAACCCUUUCUCUUUCAUCUCUCUCACUCCAACAUUUUCUCUGUCAUCUCUAUUGUUGUCCCAAUUGAAAAAAAAAUCAGAAACCCUUGCCUAACCCUAAUCCACCUUCCUCACUUAUCCAAUUUUUUCUCUCUCGUCUCCAUACUCUCCCUCAGCCAUACACAACAACCCGUGACAUUGUAAUUGUUGCUUUGUUCGUUCAUUAGGAGGAUGUGUUAUAUAUUUUCCCUUNUUAUUAUUAUUAAAUUUCAUUUUUAAAUUAAAUCACGUAAAUAAAACCUUCAUAAAUCAAUUAAAUUUUCACACAUUAUUUACAUAUCUACACCACAUUUCAUUAUAUUUUUUAAAGAACAAGAUAUUUCCCUCUAUUAUCCUUUUCCCUUUACACAAAGUGUUUCUUUUUCCUUUCUCUAUUGGUAUGGGAUACAUGAUGUAAUAUUACAACCUAGAAUUGAAAGAAUUGUACUCCUAGGGAGCUCUUCUAUACCUAUUUCUUUAAUUUCCUUAUGUCCUUUUUUUAUCACCGAAUCAAUUUCUACAUGCGUUUAGAAUAAACUUUAACCACUGUGCAAGAUAAAAAACAGUAAAAUCAUUUUUUACCUUUGAGAUUUGGAAAGAGUAACAUAAAGUGACAAAGUUUAUAUUCAUUUUACACAUACUAAUAAAUAUAAAAUGAUUAUAAAAGAGUAAACUUUUUCAAUUUUUAAAAAAUAUCUCUGAUUCAAAUUACCACCACCAUCUUCAAUUGGGUUAAGAUGAGAGAAAAAAUGUUGGAGUNNNNNNNNNNNNNNNNNNNNNNNNNNNNNNNNNNNNNNNNNNNNNNNNNNNNNNNNNNNNNNNNNNNNNNNNNNNNNNNNNNNNNNNNNNNNNNNNNNNNNNNNNNNNNNNNNNNNNNNNNNNNNNNNNNNNNNNNNNNNNNNNNNNNNNNNNNNNNNNNNNNNNNNNNNNNNNNNNNNNNNNNNNNNNNNNNNNNNNNNNNNNNNNNNNNNNNNNNNNNNNAUAUAUAUAUAUAUAUAUAUAUAAGUAAAAUUAUUCUUUUAAUUUUAAUAUAUUUCAUAUAUUUAAUACUUUAAAAAAAAUUGUCUAUUAAAAAAAUUCCUAAAAUAUUUUUUUAAGAUCUAUUACUUCACAGCACUUUCAACUCUUAAAAAUGUAUAUAUCUCAGAAAAAAAAUUAAUAAAGGUAUGCACCUAAGUCUAUUUAGUAUAUUUAUGCUUUUUAAUUAUCACUGUCACUAUUAUUAUUUAUUUAUUUAUUUAUUUAUUUAUUUAUUUAUUAUUAUUAUUAUUAUUAUUAUUAUUAUUUAAGAGAGACACAAACUUAGAUUUGAAGACUGUAUUUUGCUUCAACGUGUGUAAUGGCCUCAGAAGUCUGAAUAAGCCAUUGGGCCUAAUUGGGUAGUCUGACCCAUUUUACUUAGAGCAUGGCCUUAGGGGGAAAAGGAAAACUCCUUUGCUCAUUUUUUAUUUCAUUCCACAGAAAACUCUUUUCUCUCUAAGUGUCAAACCCUAACUCUACUCCACCUUCUCUCUUCUUUUUCAGAAAUUUGAACCGUACAAAAUUUCAUUUAGUGCCUUCAAAUUGUUCCUGGCGUCGAGGGCUUCCGUUUGAACCCACCAUCCCACUGUUUCAUCGAGUAAGUAAAUUUUUCCCCUUUCUUAUCACUGUUUUUGACCUAAGUCGCACCAUUUUCUGAUUCCAUGAGCUCUAUGUGAUCUUGUCUUCCAUUCUUCGUUAUUUCAACUCAAAAAGCUAAAGUCUAUCACCUAAUUGGUGAUUUGUAGGUCUCUCUGUGCCCUUAGGAGCACUUUAGAAGCGUUGAGUGAGCUUGUUGUUGCUUGUUUCCAGGUAAGGGGAGCUAACUAUAUAAGUAUUUUGUGGUUCUGAUUAAUUCCUGAAUUUAUGAGAAAAUAUGUUGAAUUGCAUUUGUACACUGGUUAACUCUGUUUUAAUGCUCUAUGCAUGUUAAAUUUAAUUGUGAUAUAUUAUUUGAUAUUUAAUUGUCUCUGUUUUAAGUAUUUGGUCUUGGAAUGUUCUGAACCUUUGGUUCAUUCUCUAUGGUUGAUUGUGAUUGUUAUAAUCUGCAUGGAAUUGUGUUGCUGAACUGAAUUUCAUUGAAUUGAUGAUCCUGUUUGUAUAUUGGUUAUGAUGUGCUCUGAAGGAAAUGGAUGAAUCUAGUUGCUGGAAUAAGUUGGGGGUGAUACUGAUUUGAUGGAAAAUUAUGGGUUGAGUGUAGCCUCAGGUUUUGUGAGAGGGAUGUAUAACUUUGGGAAUUAGAAAAAAAUAAUAAUAGGAUAGUUGAUUAAAUCAAAUAAAAAUAUGUUGGGAACCUUCUCUGUUGGUAGGAUAGAGAGAACCUAAAAACCAGAUAGAGCAGCCCUGGCCCGGUCCAAUCAGUUGUGACUAGUCAUAUGUGUUGGUGUCGAAGGAGAAUCUGAUGCGUUAGACAUUUGUUCUCUCUCCGGUGACCAAUUGGGGUACGAGAAGGAUUGGGAAAAAUAUAGAGUUCUUAAGCUAGUUAUAUAAUCAGCAAGGAAAUUGGGUAGUGAGGUGAGGUUAGGAGCAAAGCAUUCUAUAAAAAUGAAUAAUUUAACAAGGAAUUUCAUAAUUAAGGAAACAUUGUAAUUAUUUUGAGAUAAUAUGUAUCAUAAUAUAUUAUAUUAUUGAUAUAUAGAUUAUAUAUAUAUAAUAUAUAACAUGAUGAUGGUUUAGGUACUGUAACAUUAAUAUUAAUAUAUAUAUGUAUUACAUGUACGUAACAUAUAUAUUUUAGUUAAUGUACGUAUAAUAUAUAUAUAUAUAUAUAUAUAUAUAUAUAUAUAUAUAUAUAUAUAUAUAUAUAUAUAUAUAUAUAUAUAUAUAUAAUAACCGGUAGUAUAAUAAAAUCUUAUAAUAUUAUAAUAUGAAUGUGGUUUUAUAUAAAUUAAAAAUGUUUCUGUAAUGGUUUAAUAGAAAAUUUAUAAUAGAAGUAUAGUUUAAUAUAACUAUUAUAAUAUAGUUAAAGGAAACAUGGUUUUAUAUCUGUACAGGGUCUAGGUAUUGGAAAUAAAUUGUAAAAGAUUAUGGAAUUGAUUAACUUAGAUUAAUUUAGGGAAUGAUUAUUUUAAAAUUUGUGAUUGGUAAGUAAGGUAUUGUUGAGAUUAUGUAUAUAUAUAAUUACAAAGUGAUGAAAGUAAGAUCCAAGUGGUAAACUAAGUUCUACCUGUGUGGGAUCUCUCAGUGAGAUUCUUAGUGUUUUAAAAUGAAAGUAGGGGCUCAGCCUUGGGAGUCAUUCUGAUGCUUCAAUGGUCAAUCAUGCUCACUUAGAGAGGUUGAACCAUGUGGUAAGAAGUAGUAAGAGGUCCUUAGUCUUGGGGGCUCCCAGUAUGCCUCAAGGCCCGGAACGGACUAACCUCGUGAGUGUGGCAAGGUGGGAAACCCAAGUUUCAUAAGUCACCAUGGGUGCAAGACUCGCCAUAGCCUGACUAUCAUUUUAAAGUCCGGACGAGUCAAGUCUAGAAAUUAACAUGCUUAGGUUGUGUUUCUUAAACGGUUUUGUUUCGGAUAUGGACCCGAGACAAGACUCAAGCCGAUCGACCUCUCCUCCUUGAACACCUGAACGGGUGGCGACCUGCAAGUUAGCACUCCAACGCCCAAGUCAGCAAGGUCACCGUGAAAUUCAGAGUAAAAAGUAGAAAAGUCCAAAAGUCCCUUACCUCCCUCCUAACGCCUGUAUUUAUAGGCCUAAACCUUACCUUUGGGGCGACCCAUUACCUGUAACCACUGAUUCGUGACCCCGAGUAUCUCGCUGCUCCGCGUAACUGUCGCGCCUCACUUCCGAGAUUUUCGCUCCCAUCAUCCUAUCCGUUACAAUAUGCACAUUAACUCCCUGAAUCCUCGCCUCUUGCCACGUGCCUNCCCUUGUGUAUUUCUCUUUCACAUCCUUUCCGAUCCAUUUCUCUCUCCACCCGAUCNGUUUCUCUCUCNAGCCGAUCCACCAUGCACCCCAUCACCUCACGUAUCACGUGUCUUCCCCACUUCCAUUGACCACCUUCUUUCCUCAAGCCAUCCGUCAUUCACCCCGGCUGACCCAUACCGAUCCAUUUCUCUCUCCACCCGAAUCCGUUUCUCCCUCUACCUGAUCCACCUCUUACCCCCGCUAACCCCACACCCUGCAGACGCACUUUAAGUGAUCGCUUUCUCCCUCCAACCAACCUGCCCUCUUCCCCGGUUGAUCCCUACCGAUCACUUUCUCCCUCCCCCCGAUCCGUUUCUCCCUCUACCCGAUCCACCUCUUACCCCCGCUACCCCAUACACUACAUAAGCCCCCCAAGCCCCGAGGCAUGAAGAUGCCGAAGGGGUUUAAGCAAAGAAAUCAUGAAAACGUGGCGAAAUGAGAACCCCAUGAUUAAUCAUGGAAUCGACGGUGCUGAUACCAUACUCUGACAGUUAGCAGAGAAUUUGAAAAGACAGCUCCUCCUAGACCUCCGAUCUUACUAUCAUCAACGGUGGAGAUUAGAGAGUGGAACCGUUUUUGUCGGCUAUAAAUAGAGGGUCACUUUCCACCUCAUUUCCUCCUAACAAGCGUAUAGGACCUCGCCCUGCCUGAUCCUGUUCCCGUGUACACCGAUCAAUACUUUCCAGGUAAUGUCUUCCUCUCCUAACUCUUCCCGUGAGUCCGUAGACGAGGGUAGGGGGUACAAUGACGAGGGUGCGGCAUCCCCUGCCUCGUCUUCGUCCCAUUCGUCCCCUUCCAGUUCGUCCUCCUCGUCCGGCCUAGAGUUUCAUUAUGACAACUCGCGAGCCUGGACCUCCAUUGUUGUCCCUCCUAUCGUCCAAGGGUACGACUGGGCCCCCCAUGAAGUUAAACAUUAUAUUCCUUAUUUUGCUUCCACCGCUAGUAUUAGGCAUUUAUUAGAAAAGGUAAAUAUUUUAGCUGAUCUGAACGACGUAGAUGACUAUACUUUUGUAGUUUGUCGUUCAAACGAACGGGCUUGUCAUGGCCGCGAAGGAUAUGAUCUAGAUUUUUUCUAUGUAUAUACCACCUUGUUUUGUGACCUAGGUUUUAAGCUUCCAUUCUCUGACUUCGAAAUGGGCGUUCUGCGAGAGUUGAACAUCUGCCCCACACAAUUACACCCGAACGGUUGGGCCUAUAUACAGGCCUUUAACGUACUUUGCCAAGGACUGGAUCUGACCCCAACCCCUAAAUCGUUUUUAUACUUCUUUCGUGUCUUCCCCAAUUUUAACCGGUCCUGGGUUUCCUUGCUACCUGCUAGGGAUAAACAAUUAUUUACCACCUUUAACUCCUCGUACAAAGAAUUUAAAGCCUACUUCUGCAAGAUUGCUCUUAGACCCUCCGGCCGGCCCAAAUAUUUUUUCAAUGAUGGUCGUCCGAAAUUCCCUCUAUACUGAACCGAGUUCCCCAAUCGAAUAGACUCAUGGCCAGAAAGUGACAUGACCAAUGACGAGCUUGAUGCUAUAACCCAGAUCGAUCAACUCCCUCGGAAGACCCCUUGUCGUCAUUUGAUCGAACUACUUAAACUGAUAACCUUAAAGAAAAAGUGUUGGGUAAGUAUCUUUCUCCCGAUCGUUAAUGUAAGACAAUAUUGACUUAUCUUAAAUUUUCUUUUAUGAUGCAGAGUACUUUGGAGGAAUGGAAAGACAUCAAGCCUUCCUGAGGAUGAUGGCUCGCAAGAAAGGACUUAGUACUAUAGAGGAGGGAAGUUCAUCUCCCUCCACCCCGAUCGAAGGAAACAGCACUAAGAGUCCUCUUCGAGUAAAUCCUCUCCAGACAGUAACUGAUUCUACUGUUCCCCUUCCUGACCCCAAGCCCAAGGGAACUACCUCCUCGAAAGGUAAAACAAAGAGGAAAGCGGGCCAAGAUAAAUCACCCUCUCCUACCAAGAAAAGGAAAAUCAGCUCUUAUGUAAUGACCAGCGUGUUAGAUCCGAAUGUGCACGUAUCCGACUGAUUGCAAUUUAAUCUCAGUGCCGAAGAAAAGAAGUCGUUCAAAGGAAUGACGCCGAUCGAAUCCUUAAAUAUGGCAUAUGAAUUGAUCUCCCGAGCCAGCGUAUGCUUGAACUAUACUGCUGGAACAACCAAACCCAUGUUGGUUGUGGAGCUGGAAAAUGCAGCUGAUGAGUUAAGCAAAGUUAAGAAAAAUAAUAUUGCGUUGACCAUUCGCGUCGAGGAACUACAAAAGACGCUAGAAGAUGAGUGUGCUGCUGCCGAAGAUAAGCUAAAGAAAAGUCAAGGUAAGGUAUCUUCUCUCCAACGUUCGGUGGAUGACUUGAAACUUAGCCUACAAAAAAUGACUUCUCAACAUGAUGAAGUGGUUAAGCAGAGAGACUUGAUUACCACCGAACGGGACAAACUGGCUGCUGAGAACAUCACGAUGGGAGAUGAGAUUUGUCAAGAGCGACAAUUGGGCUUCGAACAAGGGAUCGCUCAAUGCCAUUACCUCUUCCAGACUCCACUCACUCAUCCAGAAUUUGACAUUAUGAAGGUAUUGGUAGAUGGCAAAUUGGUGGACCUUACCACCCAGAUGGGCGCCGCCACCGAUCCUACCCUUACUUCAACAGAUCCCCCUACCGAUCCUGCUGCCACUACCAUCGACCCCGUCAUUGCCGAAGUUUAAUACUAACUUUUAACACUAGGAUAUUAAAUUGACUGCUUUGGUUGACUGAACAAUUAUUUUGAUGGUUGUGUAAUUCUUAACUUUGUUUGCUGUCUUAUCAUUUAUCCGCUUUCACGUUCAACAAAUACUUUUAUGUUUUGCCAUGAUGUUGAAUAUAUGAUCCUUCCGGCGUUAAUCAACGAUCAAAAAUAAUGUCAACCUUUAGCGCCGCUCGGUAACAUAGCGUAACCCGCCAACCUUAUGCGCCAUUCAGUAACAGAUAAUAUAAUUUCCUUAGAGGAAAAGUUAACGAUAUAAAUCUCCCCCCUUUAUACACCAAUCGAAAACAUAUGUAAUGCAGUAUACCAACCCCAUGCCUUGAUCAAUAACAUGAAUAUAAGAUACCAACCUUGUGCACCGGUUGACAACAUGAAUAUAAGGUUCCAUCCUUAUGCACCGAUCGACCACAUAAAUGUAAGAUACCAUCCUUAUGCACCGAUCAACAAUAUAAGAUACCACCCUUAUGCACCGAUCAACAACAUAAAUAUAAGAUACCAUCCUUAUGCACCGAUCAACGACAUAAAUAUAAGAUACCAUCCUUAUGCACCGAUCNNNNNNNNNNNNNNNNNNNNNNNNNNNNNNNNNNNNNNNNNNNNNNNNNNNNNNNNNNNNNNNNNNNNNNNNNNNNNNNNNNNNNNNNNNNNNNNNNNNNNNNNNNNNNNNNNNNNNNNNNNNNNNNNNNNNNNNNNNNNNNNNNNNNNNNNNNNNNNNNNNNNNNNNNNNNNNNNNNNNNNNNNNNNNNNNNNNNNNNNNNNNNNNNNNNNNNNNNNNNNNNNNNNNNNNNNNNNNNNNNNNNNNNNNNNNNNNNNNNNNNNNNNNNNNNNNNNNNNNNNNNNNNNNNNNNNNNNNNNNNNNNNNNNNNNNNNNNNNNNNNNNNNNNNNNNNNNNNNNNNNNNNNNNNNNNNNNNNNNNNNNNNNNNNNNNNNNNNNNNNNNNNNNNNNNNNNNNNNNNNNNNNNNNNNNNNNNNNNNNNNNNNNNNNNNNNNNNNNNNNNNNNNNNNNNNNNNNNNNNNNNNNNNNNNNNNNNNNNNNNNNNNNNNNNNNNNNUAAGAUACCAUCCUUAUGCACCGAUCAACAACAUAAAUAUAAGAAUCAGGGGGAUAUGAUAAAAAUUAAAGUGUUAUUCAUUUCAUAUCGUUUGCCAAAAUAAGAAAUUCACACAAUGUUUAACUGAAAUAAAAUUUUAAAUGUGAGAUAUUCCAUGUGUUAGGAACAUCCUUCCCGUCCAACGCCUCAAGGCGAUAAGCUUCGUUAUUAAGAUUUUCUUUAACACGAAACGGUCCCUCCCACGUAGCAGCAAGCUUGCCAUGAGCAGUGUUCUUGCGUGCUUCAGCGGUUCUGCGCCACACCAGGUCUCCUUCUUGGAACUGCCUCGGUUUUACCUUAGUAUUGUGUCGGCGGGCAAGUAGCCUCUUCUGUGCCUCGACCCGAACGGCCGCCAUCUCGCGUCUCUCGGGCAGGACGUCCAGGUUGCUACGCAAAGAUUCCUCAUUUUCACACAUGUUAGUCACCUGUCUUCGUAACGCCUCACCCCCAAUCUCGACCGGCAACAUUGCAUUUGUUCCAUACGUAAGGUUAAACGGAGAUUCUCCAGUUGCACUAUGAGGAGAACACCGAUACCCUUAUAGUACCUGAGGGAGCUCGUCGACCCACGCCCCUUUAGCUUCACCCAACUUCUUCUUUAACUCUUGGACGAUGAUCUUAUUCAUGGCUUCCGCUUGCCCGUUCGUCUAGGGAUGCUCCACCGAACUGGUCAAUGGGGUAAUUCCCAUCUCUUUGUAAAAGGCCACCAAGUUUUUAUCAAUAAACUGCCUUCCAUUAUCCGUGAUCAUAAACUUAGGAACACCGAACCGNCAAAUUAACUUCCAUACAAACUUCUGCACCUGUGCCGCCGUUAUCCGAGCCAAAGGUUCGGCCUCAACCCACUUAGUAAAAUAAUCAAUGACCACUAAAAGGAAUUUCAGCUGACCUCGCCCGAUUGGGAAAGGGCCUAAAAUGUCCAUUCCCCAUUGAGCGAAUGGCCAUGGCGAGACCAACCCGAUCAGCUGUGUUGCUGGCUGGUGAAUAAUGUGACCAAACUUCUGACAUGCUUCGCAUUUCCGAACAAAGGCCUGGCAAUCUUUAUCCAUGAUCAUCCAAUAAAAUCCAGCUCUCAAAGCACGCGCUCUAAGAGACCGACCACCGCCAUGUCUCCCACAUAUCCCCUCAUGCAACUCUCUCAUUAUAUACUCAGAUUCCUCCACCGACACACACUUGAGCAUUGGCGUCACGUACCCCCUUCGAUAUAAUUCCUCUCCAACCAGCACGUACCGGGCGAUCUGUUUAGCUUCAUCAGGGCGAAGACUAUUACCACUCUCCUGUUUCUUUAUUAACAACAGAAUGCCCCUUCUCCAAUCAUCCCGUUCGGCCAUGUGAAUGAUGUGCAAACACUCAAUAGCUGGCUUGAACAAUACUUGCCUGAUGAUAGAAGUUAGUUGCCCCUUCUCCCCACCAGUCGCUAACUUUGACAACCUGUCCGCCUUAACGUUUUCUUCUCUUGGAAUAUAUACAAUUUCCACUGCCUUGAACCGAGCCACUGACUGAGUCGCUUUGUGAUAAUAUUGUAACAGUUGUUCGUCCUUGACCUGAAAGGUCCCGUUCAUAUGCCCCUCUACUAACUGAGAGUCUGUUCUGCAUUUCAGGGUUUCUAUCCCCAUAUCCUGUGUCAACUCCAGACCGGCUAUCAAAGCCUCAUAUUCGGCUUGAUUGUUGCUAACUUUGAAUCGAAAAACUAAGGCUUGUUCUACCACUAUAUUGUUGGGUCCCUCCAGGACCACUUCGGCCCCUCCGCCUUGCCGUCCGGACGAUCCAUCUACAAAAAACAUCCACUGAUGAUAUUCCCGGUCUACCUGAGGUAGAUCGGCCACAAAUUCAGCCAGGUGCUGGCCUUUGACCGACCCACGAGGUUCAUACUUCAACCCAAACUCGGAGAGCUCUACUGACCACCCAAUCAUUCUCCCUGCCAAGUCGGGUUUCCUCAAUAUUUUAGAUAUGGGAUAAUCCGUCCUGACAGUUACCUGAUGUCCUUGUAAAUAAGGUCGCAGUCUCCUUGUCGCAUGCACCAAGGCCAAUACUACCUUUUCCAACCGUUGAUACCUAGUCUCGGCAUCUUUGAGGCCUCGGCUAAUGAAAUAUAUGGGUCGGAAUUCGGGAUCCUCUUGCACUAAGGCUGCACUAAUAGCUUCCUCCCCGACCGCUAGAAACAGGUAUAACUCAUACCCAUAGUCCGGACGUCGCAUCACCGGGGGAUUCGAUAAGAUGAGUUUAACUUCUGCGAAAGCCGCUUCGCACUGUUCGUUCCACCCCCUCUGUGUCCCCUUCUUCAUAAUCAUCAGGAUCGGUUUAAUACGUUCGGCCAACUUAGGAAGAAAUCGAGACAAGGAAGUUAAACGCCCUACUAAUCUCUGCACCUCCUUCAAACUGUUCGGACUGCGCAUCUCCAAAAUCGCCUUGCACUUCUCAGGAUUAGCCUCAAUCCCUCGGGAGGUUAACAUGAAUCCCAAGAACUUCCCUGCUGAAACCCCAAAAGUACACUUUAAAGGAUUAAGCCUCAUACCAAAUUUUCUUACCUGACCGAGCACCUCUCCCAAAUCUUUGACAUGCUCUUCCACUGUUCGGCUUCGUACGAUCAUAUCAUCUACAUAUACUUCCAUGCACUUUCCAAUUUGCUCUUGGAAAACCUUGUCCAUCAACCGUUGGUAUGUUGCUCCUGCAUUCUUCAAACCGAACGGCAUUACAUUGUAACAAUAAUUAGACCGUUCGGUGAUAAAGGCUGUCUUAUCUCUAUCUGCUGGAUGCAUGGGAAUUUGAUUAUACCCAGAGUAGGCAUCAAGGAAACUCAACACCUCGUAUCCCGAUGCUCCAUCUACCAAACCAUCUAUACUCAGGAGUGGAUAAGUAUCCUUCGGGCAGGCUUUAUUUAAAUCAGUAAAGUCAGUACACAUCCUCCAUUUCCCGUUCGACUUUUUCACCAUAACCACAUUAGAUAACCAUGUGGUGUACUUUGCUUCUUGAAUGAAUCCUGCUUCUAACAACUUACCACCUCAUCAUCCACCGCUCUUUUCUUCUCCUCCCCCAAUCUUCUUUUCUUUUGGGACACCGGCCGGGCGUCCUUAAAUAGUGAAAGUUUAUGAGAUAUGACGUCCGGAUGGAUGCCCGGCAUAUCAGCUGCCGUCCAUGCGAACAGGUCCUUAUUCCUUAGCAGUACUUCCCCAACAACCCUCACCUGCUCAGCGCUCAGGCUACCCCCCAUCAUAGUUGACUGCCCCUCCUUCUCCCCAAUCUUAAACGCUAAGACCUCCCCUAGUGGCUCGACUCGAUCCUCCACCGGAGAACGCGGGUCAAGUUCCAUCAUGGCCACCUCGGACCCGUUUCGUGUUGCUUCACUGGCUCUUGGUCUUACCUUUAGUCCUGCUGCGUAACAUUCCCGAGCCAUCCGUUGAUCCGUCCGAACAGUACAUAUCUCUCCCUUAUCACCAGGAUAUUUCAGUGUUAAAUGGGGUGUUGAGACGAUAGCGCCGAAGGCGUUUAAACAUGGCCUUCCCAAGAGGACAUUGUAGGAGGUCUCGGCAUCCACUAACAGAAAACGGAUUUUGAGUUCUUUGGCUCUAUCAUCUACACCCAAGCUGGUCCUCAGAUCCACAUACCCCCUUGUAUCUACCCUUUCUCCCGCAAAUCCCACAAUCUGCUCACCGAACGGCAUGAUUACAUCUUCAGAAAUCUCCAUGCGUUUGAAUGUCUUCUAGUACAAUAUAUUCGCCGAACUCCCUUGAUCCACCAGAACUUUCCCAACCUGGUAUCGUGCAAUCAUAGUGGUUAUGACCAUAGGGUCAUCUUGAUCGAGGUCCGGUGCAUGGAAAUCCAUAUCAGAAAAAGUAAUUGAGGGCAUGGAUCUUCUGUUGCUUCUCGUUCUGCCUACGCUCUGCAGAUUUCUCAAAUGUCUCUUCCUAGCUGAAGAGGUUGGGCCUCCUCCUGCAAAUCCCCCUGAAAUAGUAUUGAUAACUCCUCUCACCGUUCGGUUGGGGCUCUGACUCCGGCUUCGAUUGUUAUCUGAACGGUGCUGCUCCCUUGAGGACCUUUUCGGUCCUCCUCGCCUAUUAUCCCCCGAAGGGUACCUAUUCGUUCUCUGCACAAAGCUCUUCAACUGCCCUGCUUGCACCAGUGUCUCCAAUUUGUCCUUCAAAGCCACGCAAUCUUCGGUAGUGUGUCCCCUGUUCUGGUGAUAUCGACAGUAUUUGCUUUCAUCCGCACCAAGGGGAGUUGGAGCCUGAAUCGUAGUCAUCAAAUCUGCUCUCAAAGCUUUUUCCAGUACACGUGCUCGAGGGAGGUUCAGAGGUGUAUGAUGCACAUACUGUGGCGUCCUCUGAGAAUUUCCCCACUUGCGCUCAUUUCCCCUAUCCACUCUCCCGAUCGUCUGUUUCAUCACCCUCUCCCUGUUUCCUCUAUGUUGCAUAUCACCUUCUUCCCUCCCACGUUGAUGCGCCCGCCCCUCCUCUAUCCUGAUAAAACUUGCCAACCUGUCUUGCAACUCUUCCAUACUCUGUGGCUCCUCCGCGUGCAGAUAAUCAAAAAAUGGUCCAGGUCGUAAUGCUGCCGUCAGUGCCCCCACAAUCAACCUUUGAUCAGCAUUUCUGACCUGCCUGGCCGUUCGAUUGAACCGAUCCAUGAAUGUCCUCAGCGACUCAUCCCGCCCUUGUCUCAUCCUUACCAAAGCCGUAAACGUUACUCCCAGCGUUUUACUCGAGGCGUAUUGCUGGCUGAAUAUUUGUCGCAAAGUGGCAAAACUGUCAAUGGUAGCUGGUGGUAACGAAUGGAACCAGUCUAAGGCUUCUUCCUUCAGGGACAAGGAGAAAACCCUGCACCACACCAGGUCAUCAGUAGAGUACACUGCCAUAGCAUCCACAAAUGACCGAAGAUGCUUGAUGGGAUCGGAUGAGCCUCCAUACUUGUCCAGAGGGGGUAACAUUUUGUUUUCCGGUAUGACUGCUCUUAUCACCCGUGGCGUGAACGGAUGGAGUCCUUCAGCUUGAUCAAGAGUUGGAUCCCCCUGUUCAUGAGCUCUCUCCCUCGUCUCGUGUAUCCGAUCUAUCGGCUCGUAGGGCCGAUCUCCUCUCUCAUUCUGCCUUUCCUCCACUUCCUCGAAAUUUUCCAUUUCCCAACGCCUCCCUCGUCCCCUUCCCCGACCUCUUCCUCUCUCCGCUCACCCUCUCCCUCUACCUACUCCUCUACCACCCCGUCCACCAUUCACUGGAUUCGGGUCCCCCCUGACCUCCACCCCCUGCACCAGAGGGUUAUCCCCUUCAUCACUCUCCGAAUGGACCGUUUCGACAUUCACCGACUGAAUGGAUGGUCCACCCUCUUCGUUUCCUCGGUUAGCUCGUUCAGCCCUCAUCGCUGCAAUCUCUGCCCGCAUCUCUUGCAUUUGCCUCUACAACUCUUGCAAAAGCUGCAACGGUGCGUCUUCUGCCAUUGUGAUCGUGCUUGGGUUUUUGCUAAAUCUUCGGGCCCCACGGUGGGCGCCAAAAUGUUUCGGAUAUGGACCCGAGACAAGACUCAAGCCGAUCGACCUCUCCUCCUUGAACACCUGAACGNNNNNNNNNNNNNNNNNNNNNNNNNNNNNNNNNNNNNNNNNNNNNNNNNNNNNNNNNNNNNNNNNNNNNNNNNNNNNNNNNNNNNNNNNNNNNNNNNNNNNNNNNNNNNNNNNNNNNNNNNNNNNNNNNNNNNNNNNNNNNNNNNNNNNNNNNNNNNNNNNNNNNNNNNNNNNNNNNNNNNNNNNNNNNNNNNNNNNNNNNNNNNNNNNNNNNNNNNNNNNNNNNNNNNNNNNNNNNNNNNNNNNNNNNNNNNNNNNNNNNNNNNNNNNNNNNNNNNNNNNNNNNNNNNNNNNNNNNNNNNNNNNNNNNNNNNNNNNNNNNNNNNNNNNNNNNNNNNNNNNNNNNNNNNNNNNNNNNNNNNNNNNNNNNNNNNNNNNNNNNNNNNNNNNNNNNNNNNNNNNNNNNNNNNNNNNNNNNNNNNNNNNNNNNNNNNNNNNNNNNNNNNNNNNNNNNNNNNNNNNNNNNNNNNNNNNNNNNNNNNNNNNNNNNNNNNNNNNNNNNNNNNNNNNNNNNNNNNNNNNNNNNNNNNNNNNNNNNNNNNNNNNNNNNNNNNNNNNNNNNNNNNNNNNNNNNNNCCAUGCACCCCAUCACCUCACGUAUCACGUGUCUUCCCCACUUCCAUUGACCACCUUCUUUCCUCAAGCCAUCCGUCAUUCACCCCGGCUGACCCCUACCGAUCCAUUUCUCUCUCCACCCGAUCCGUUUCUCCCUCUACCUGAUCCACCUCUUACCCCCGCUAACCCCACACCCUGCAGACGCACUUUAAGUGAUCGCUUUCUCCCUUCAACCAGCCUGCCCUCUUCCCCGGUUGAUCCCUACCGAUCACUUUCUCCCUCCCCCCGAUCUGUUUCUCCCUCUACCCGAUCCACCUCUUACCCCCGCUACCCCACACACUACAGGUUUGAUGUGAAGUUGUCUCUUGUAUGUUACACGCUUAAAUUGAGUUGUAUGAUGUUAUAUAAUUAGCUCACCCUUGCAUUGCUUGUGUCUGUGUAUGUUGUAUGUGUUCCUGUUGCGAUGAUCAUCCAUUUUUGGAUGUGAGCAAAGGAGAAUGAGGUCUCUGUGGAGGACGCUCGGGAGGAUAAUGAAGACGCAGCUGCUUAGUUCCCCUAGGAAUUCCAUAGCUCCUAAUGUUAUUCAGAUAUUAUUUUUUUAGCUCCUGUAUUUUGAGAAACUUUAGUAUUUCCACGUUUCUAAUUUUUCCGCAUGUGGAUGACUGUAAUCGUAAACUAAACUCCUUAAUUAUUCUUGACUGCUUUCCAUUAUCAUAUUUGAUGACGUCUUUAAUUUAUAUGCAUAACGCAAAUAUUAUUGGGAUGUCACAACGUGCAUUCUUAAAUCCAAAAUUAAAGGAUCUGACACCUAAUUAAAAAUUUAAUAUAUUAUUUUUUAUUAAGAGAGAUAUCUUAAUUAUGAGAAUAUUAUUAUUAUUCAUUAAAAAGAUAAAUAUGAGUUUGGUCUUGAAGUAUUACGAAAAAUUAAAAAUAAUGUUUGCUCAAAACUUUGAUAUUGGUACGUGACAAACAGAAUUUUUAAGAAUUAGUUAAAAAUAUAUAAAAGUCAUUUUUUUCACUUACAAGACAAUCCAAAAAAAAAAAUCUUCAUUUUUUUUCACUUCCAUACACUGAUUUAGACAAUGUAUCCAUUCCUUAUCCAAUCAUAAUAUCACUAUUCUAUUUUUUUCCUAUGUGAAGGAAUACAGUGGCCAUGUUUUCAAUUUCAUGUUGAAAGAAAAAGAACAAAUGAAUAUGAGUUAGUCCUAUAAUAGAAGUACUAAUAGCAAUAACACAGAGAAAAGGAAAUGGGGGCAUCCAAAUGGUUAUAUGACAGCAAUUAUUUAUACUUAUAACUUUAUUAUUUUUAUGGGGAAUUAAUCAAAACAUAAAAAAUAACAAAAUAUAUACAUUUUGUGAAAAUAGUAUUAAAAAUUCUGAAACCAUUAUUUUUUCAAAGAGAAAUUAUCACAUUUUUUAAAUAAAAAAUUAUUCAAAUAUUUAUUUUAUUAAAUAAAUAAAUAAAUUAUUUAUUAAAGAGUAAAGUUACCCAAUUAAAAGACGAGACAAAGAAAAUUACUUUGUAUAGAGUAUAAAACACUAAAUAUAUACAAGGAAAAUCUCCUUUAUAUAUAUAAUUACAAUAAUAACUACAUACAGAUAGCCUAUGUGUAUUUAAUUAUUUUAAGAUAAUAAAAAUAAUUAAAUUAUUACUAUGUAUUUUAAUUAUAAAAUUAAAAAUAUUUUAUAUAACUUUAAUGUAAAUAUUUUUUUAUUUAUUCUGUAGAUAGUUUUAUAUUUAAAAUGAUUAAAUUUAAAAAAAAAAUCUUAAAUUAAAAAAAAAAGUUAGUUAAAGAGUAAAAUUAAUAAAAUAAUUAUUUUGAAUUAAUUUUUUAAAACAAUAUAAUUAAAAAAUGAAUAUGGAACUAAAAAGGAGAAUUUAUAUAUAUAUGUGUGUGUGUGUAUCCUUUAUAUAAUUGUAUAGUUUAUCAUUAUUAUUAUUUAUUUUAAAAUAUAUUUUUAAGUAUUUAAUUAAGGUUUUGAAUCCGUCAAGAUAACCAUUUAACGUUCCAUUAAAUUUACAUAAAAAAGCAGUUAAAGGUUGGCACAAAACGAAGGAAGUUUUAUAACAAUUAAAAUCAUUACUUUUUGUGAGAAUAAAAUUUAAAAUUUACAUAUUUGCCAAAGCAUAAAUAUAUUUAACUCUAGUUUAAAUAUUUAGGAAAAUAUAUUUAAGUUAUUUAUUAUUUAUAAUUAAAAUUUAAAUUUAGCAACUACCUUUUAUACACUUGUAUUAAAAAAAAUCCCAUUAUACAUAUAUAGAUUAUUGAAAAAUAUUUUCAUGAAAAGCAAAAAAUAAAAAAAAAUAAAAAUCCACCUAACUCUUUCCAAGUUAUUUUCUACUUGUGAUAUUCAAAAUUGAUAAUAUAAUAGCAAACUACAGGUGUCUACCUAGAAAGAUUAUACAAGUAAUAAUCAUCUUAAUUUCUUAGCCUACUAAUUGAAAAUGAAGGAAACUUAACUUAAAGGACUAGAACAAUUAGGUUUUUGAUUAACUCUGCAAAAGCUUGAAUUAAUUUACUCUACGUGUCAAUUAAUAGAGAGAUCCUACUUCUCCUAUAUAUAUAAUCUGCAUUUUCAUUCAUUUUUAAUAAUUUUCUAUUGAAGAUGAAGACACCAUUAAUAAUUCCAGCCAUGUUGGCCAUGUUUCUUUUCAUAUCCUUAGAGGUCACAGCAACUUAUUUGAAAGAAGGUCAGUUAUACUAUUCUCAUAUCAUGAGUUUUUUAAAGCAAGUGAAUAUUAAUAAAUAAGUUAAAUAAUUAAUUAAUAUAAUAAAUUUAUUUUGUUUAUAAACUUUGUAUAAUUUCUAUAUAAUUUGUUUUAGUAUAUAUAAUUCUUCUUUAAAUUUCAUGUCUUUAUCUUUUUUUUAUCCUCAUAUGCUGUCAAUCACAUUAAUAUUUUUCUUUCAACCAAGCUCCGAAUUUACCCCUUAAACUUGUAAACAUUUCUCAAUUUGAUAAUUGAAAUUAAUUAAACGAAAAAAUAAUUCCUGAAGUUGCAUAUCAUUAAAAAGUUUAGUCAUUAAAAUGACAAACUGAUCACUGAAAUGGAUAAAAUAACGAGAUUAUUCGAAAAAGUGUAAACUAUCCAUCAAUUUAGUUCUUAGAUUGAAAGUAAUAAGUUAAAUUUUCUCCAAUAUUAAAAGUUCAGAAGGACAUGAAUCCUUUCUAAUUCACUAAUUAAAUAUAUAUUUUUUUUAUUACUACACUUUGAAAAGACAAAUUAAUCAAUAAGCUAUCAUUUCCUAAACAUUAUCAAUCAUUUUAUUUAUUUCAGAAUAAAUUUAAAUAUAAUAAAAAAAUAAAAUUGAUUGAUGGUGAAUAACACCAAAAAUAGUCAACAAUUUAUUAAUUUCAAACACCUACAAUUUUUAUUACUAAUUCCAUUCAAUGAUUUAUUCUUUUAUUUGUCUCUCUUUCGAAAAGUGAAAUGAUCAUUUUCUUUGCAGAAAUCUCUGUUUUAGAUUAUCAAAUCUAUAUUUUUAUUCGAAAUUUCAGUUAGACAAAUAUAGAAUUGUGAAAUCUAAUUUUACGAGGUUAAGUGAGAUUUAAAGUUGACCUCUUAAUAUGUUCUAUAAUAAUUUAGAGUCUAUUAUAAAAAGGUUUAUGGUUUGUAGAUUUAUUGUACUAUCGAACUAUUUACCAAUAUUAUAGAUAUAUAAUUUCACUAAAAAUGUAUAUGAAUUUUUUUUUAUAAUUACAAAAUAUUAUUAUUUUAAUGAUUAUAUCAAUGUAAAUUUUAUCACAAAAAAGUACACUGUAAAAAUAUCAUUUGCUUAAUCCAAAUAUAUAUGCUUCAUGUAUUUAUUGUAAAUAUGUUUGCAGAUAAGGUUAUUGGAGCCGCAAAUAAAGUGGAUGAUGCCAAAUUAGCCAUUGUUGGUCGUGGUAGUGGUGGUGGAACUGCAUUACAAGGCUCUAGUUUACUUAAUCGUGAUUUACCUAGUUUUGAUUUCCUUGAUCGUCAUGGUGCUAGUGGGUCUGCAUUACAAGGCUCUAGUUUACCUAGUCGUGGUUUACCUAGUUUUGAUUUCCUUGGUCGCCAUGGUGUUAGUGGAUCUGCAUUACAAAGCUCUGGUAAUAAUUUACCUAAUCGUGACUAUUUUAUUCAUAGUUUUACUAGUUGUGACUUACUUCGUCCUGACUAUCUUGGUCGUGACUUACCUAGUCUUGGUUUUCUUAGUCGUCGUGGGAGUAGUGGAAUUGUAUUACAAAGCUCUGGUAAUAAUUUAUCUCGUGACUAUUUUAGUCCUAGUUUCCCUAGUCGCGACUUAUCUCAUCUUGGUCGUGACUUAUCUAGUCCAACCUUUCCUAAUCAUGAUUUUUCUGAUCAUGACUUACCUAAUAUUGGUUUUUCUAGUCAUGACUACUCCCGUGAAUUUCCUAAUUCACGUUUUCCUAACCCAAGCUUUCCUAAAAGUGAUUAUCCUAAUAAGAACUUUCCUGGUCAAGGCUUAUAAGCCCAAAAGUCUUGUCGCUAUAGAUGUUGUUAUGAGAAUAAAAAAAAAAAGUUUAUUAUUAUAGGAAUAAUCACACUUUUAAGUAAUGUACUUCUAUCACCUUAAUAAACAAAUAUUUUAUGAAAAAAUAUUUUGAAAGAGGCUUGUGUUUUUCCCACCUUUCUUACUACUACAGAUAUUUCACAAGUAGAAUUGCCGGUGUUCAAAUAUUGGUGCUUCAUGAUAAUGGCAAUCAUUGUGUUAUUAUGGAACUCUCGAAUAUUUUUACACUCAAAUAUGACUAAUUGUGUCCUACCACGGGGAAAAUAGAGGAAAAGCUGCAGUUGGGCUUGGGCAUGUGGGUCAAUGGUGUUCGGCCCAUUAUAUAACUUUUGUAAUGGAUUGUAAUAUUGAGAGGGACGUUAAUGCCUCCACCUCCCCAAACCCAACCUCCACCCCCCACUUUUUUUUAACUUUUUAUUAAUUACAAAACUAACCUUUUUUUAUUUUUCUUUUUUACUUUUUUAACCCUCCUAAUAAAACCCUAAUUUUACUUUACUUUGUUUCACUUUUACUUUCUUCAUCUUUCACUUUCACGACCCGCAGAGCCCCACCUCUCCUUCCCUACAUUCUCAACCCCACCCCACCUCCCCUUCCCUUUGCAUUCUCAACCCCACCUCAUUUCCCCUUCCCUUUGUAUUCUCAACCCCAUGCUCCACCUUCUCUGAAAUUUUUCAACUUUUGCAGUCAUCUCUUCCUCUGCGGCGGUGCGGUGGUACAGCGCGGUGGUUCGGCACGGUUGUUUCAUUUUAUUUCUGUCGUCUACGAGGUUAAUUUUCGUUGCCCAUCUGUGUUAAUUUCUUGCUUUGUAAAUGUAUGUGAUUUAGUGUUUAAGAUUGCAUUGAUUUAUGCUCUGGUUGUGCACCAUUGUUAGUUUUGUUUGGUUUCAUUUUGGUGCUGUGAUAUUUCUGGUAGAGGUGUCUACGUAGGAGGAAGAAGACAGAACUUAACAGAUGUAUCCGUCGACGGAUAACCAGAUUCGUUUAGGCUAUUUUUAAACCGUGAAUUACGUACUUGUUUGGCGCUUACGUAUCUCUGCUACGCCUGCCUUCAACCAAGAUGCUGCAAACACGAUCACGAAGAAGAGAUGAAGAAUUCUUUACAGUCGCAACUUUCCUUCCACAGGCCAAAUAUUCUCACACCAACAAUUUUUAGAGUGAAAGAAAAGAGAGCACAAAAAGAAUUAGAAAAACUGAAACAGAAACUACAGAGAGCAGAACGUGAGAAAAAAAAUAGGUUUUUUCCUAUAGGAGAUUAGAAUUAAAAUUAUUUCAUAAAUUAAAUUUUAUAUAAGGAUAUAAUAGGAAUAUAAAUAAAAAAUAAAAAUAUAAAUUAAAAAAUAAGGGAUAAAAAUGGGAUGGGGAGGUGGAGAUCCAAGAAGGUGGAGGUGCAGGGAUCAACGCCCUAUUGAGAGGUGGUAUCAAUUACUAAGAUGCAUGUUUAUAAUAUUUUAUUGGAUGAUUAAAGAAAAAAGUGUUCAAUAAUCAAGUCUUAAUGUGUUUGUGUGAUAAAUUUAACAGUAAAUUCAUGUGUACAAAUAGUUUGUCAGAAAUAGUGUGCUUUACUCUUUCUUAAAUCCGUUAUUUUAGCCCAAUUGGUGGAGCUUGAUUUUGCCCGCAAAGUUUGGGCCAUAAAAAUUUACAUGACAAAAAUUGGGCAUUGAUGCCUCCAUCUCCCCAUUUCAAACCUACACCUCCCCAUUUUUUUUAACUUUUCAUUAAUUACAAAAUUAACCUUUUAAAUUUAUUAUUUUUACUUUUUUAACCUUCUUAAUUAACUAAUUCUAAUUUUCACUUUACCCUUUCACUUUCACACUCACUCACAGACUUUUCACUUUCACACUCACACACUUUCGAAACUUUUCGAAAACAUCUCCACCUCCCCUUCCCUUCCCAUUCACACAUCCCCCAAGCUCCACUUUGAUUUUUUAAAAGUUUCAACUUUUCCGGUCUAUAUGUACUUGCGUCAUUGCCUGCGUGUGUGCAGCGGUGCAGUGGCGGCGGUGCAGCGUGGUGUGACGGUGGUGCGGCGCUUCGUUUCGUUUCUGUCGAGAGGUUAGCUUUCGUUUCGCAUUGUGUUCAUUUCUUGGUUUGUAAAUGUAUGUGAUUUAGGGUUUUAGAUUGUAUUCAUUUUGCUUUGUUUGUGCGCCCUUCGUUUCGUUUUGUGCUGUGUUUCUGGUAGAGGUUUGUUUGCGCGCAACAGGAAGAAGACAGUCAUUAACCGAGGUCGGACAUCCGUCGACGGAUAUGAACAUCCGUUUCAGGGCCAGACGGAUGUCGACAUACGUUUAGGGCCUGAUAAACAUUUGUUGGACAAAUUCAUGUCAGGCAAUCACCUUUCACAGUGUUUCCAUUGCCCAACUCUCCCUCGACAUCGACAGUUGAUUUACACGUAUUUACACAUUGAGCUAGGUGUCAAGUUCAUUUUGAAGCUCAAAGUCCUUUCACACACAUGUCAUAACAUGGAAAGAGAAGAAGAAUUGCCAACGAUUCUCAGAAGAAAAUUUUCACAGAGUGAACAAAAUUUGUGACACCCAAAGAAAAGAGAACAGAAAGAAUUUGAAAAACCAAAUGAAACAGAAAAAACCAGAGAGUAAAAUGGGAAAAGAAAAAGUUAGGUUUAUUUGUAGAUAUUAGAAUUAAAAUUAAGCUAUAAAUUAGAUUUUAUUAAAGGGUAUAAUAGGAAUAUAAAUAAUUAUUAAAAUUAUAAAUAAAAAAAGAAAGGAUAAAAAUGGGAUGGGAAGGUGGAGGUCCAAAGAGGGGAGGUGCAGGCAUCAACGCCCCAAAAAUUUCACUCACACAAAAAUGGAUAACACCAAUGUCUCGAAAAGUCUAUUUACAAGAAUCAAUUCGUUUGGCCAUUUUUUUUUUUUGAAAAGUGAGUUUAAGAAAACAUUUACUUUAUACACACACAAAUAUAUAUAUAUAUAUAGGGGUUUGCUAACUUGCGUACACCUGUUUUUCAGUUGGUACAUUUUAGCAAUGUAUACCGGGUUUCAGUAGACAAAAAUACUCCUAUAUAUAAUGAAUUCUAAGUUUUAAGGUUAUGGGUAUUUUAAUAAUUUUCAUUCUCAAAAUUAAAAAAAUAAAAAAAGAAACCUCAAAACCCUUACCCAUCUCUCUCAUCCCUCUCAAACAUUUCUCUUUCAUCUCUUUGACUCUAACCUUUUUUCUGUCAUCCCUACUCUAGCUCCAAUUGAAAAAAAAUCAGAAACACUUGUCUUAUUUUAAUAAUUUUCAUUCUCAAAACUAAAAAAAGAAAACCCCAAACCCUUACUCACCUCCUUCAUUCCUCUCAACCCUUUCUCCUUCGUCUCUCUCACUCAAACAUUUUCUCUAUCAUCUCUGCACUAGCCCCAACUAAAAAAACAUUCAUUAUUAAACGAUUUACUUUUGUAAAGAGUUGAGUCAUAUUCACAUUUUGAAAAAAGUUCAUUCAAAAUCUCUUUAAUUUCAUUAUCUUCACUAUAUAUAUUACAGUCGACAGUCACAACUUGCAUCAAAACUUAUGAGCAUCCUUCCUUUACAUUCCUUUACAUUUUGAGACUACUGCGUAACAUUGCUCCGUGGCCAUUUAAUUUUUUUGUUAGAAAUUCAUUAACUUGUUUUCCUUUACUAAAGAAAAAAACAAAUCAAAAUACAAUAAAAUUCUCAAUUAUAAAAUCAAACAAUAAAAAUUCUAAAUCUUGAAAUUUUAUUUAUAAUUAUAUAAAGAAAAAAUUAGGUGCUUUAAUUUUUUUAUCUAUGUAUUUUUUUUCUCUAACCAUUUUAUUUAAUAAUGAGUGUUUUUUUUAGUUAGAGCUAGUGCAGAGAUGACAGAGGAAAUAUGUUGAGUGAGAGAGAUGAAGGAGAAAGGGUUGAGAGGAAUGAAGGAGGUGAAUAAGGGUUUGGGAUUUCUCUCUUUUUUUUAAUUUUGAGAAUAAAAAUUAUUAAAAUAAGACAAGUGAUUUUGAUUUUUUUAAUUAGGACUAGAGUAGGGAUGACAGAGAAAAUGUUAGAGUGAAAGAGAGAGGUGGAUAAGGGAUUGGGGGUUUCUUUUUUUAUUUUUUUAAUUUUGAGAAUGAAAAUUAUUAAAAUACACUUAACCUUAAAACUUAGAAUUCAUGAAAUAAGGGUAUUUUUGUCUACUGAAACCCGGUACACAUUGCUAAAAGAUACCAACUGAAAAACAGACGUACGCAAGUUAGCAAACCCCAUAUAUAUAUAUAUAUAUAUAUAUAUAUGCUUCAAACUUUAACCAUCCAAAGCAUAUUCUAAUCUAAAUAAAACAUUGAUAUAAUUGUCAUCAUAAUUUUUUCCUACAAGUUUCAAAAUCCUAAAUAAGAAAAAAAUUAUAUUUUUACAAGAAAAAAAAUCAUAAAUUCAAACAUUAAUAAUAUUUUAACAUCUUCAUCCAACAAGGAUAAGAAUUAAAAAGAAAAAUAUUACUAUUAAAUAAAAUUACGAUGUUAAAAUAGUAUAAAAAGGAAAAUUUAAUUUAUCAUAAACUAAAAUGUACUAUAUCGUUAAAUGAAAAUAUUGUUAUUUAUUUUUGUAUUAAUUAUAGUGAUAAAAAUACAUCUUGGUAUAUUAGAGAAAUGGUAUAAUGUGAUACUAAAUUAAUUAAUGUUUCAAAUAUAUUUUACCUAGAUAAAUUUAUGAUGUUCAUAAUAUUAAUAAAUUAAAAAGAAAAAUAGUUUAUUAAUGUGAAAUUUUAUAACACUAGUGCAAAAACAUUGUUUAACGUCGGUUAAUUUGGGUUUUUAACGUCACUUUAACAUCCGACGUCUAAAUGGGUGACGUCCAUGAGACGUCGGAAAUCCCAAACCGACGUCCAUAUAAACGUCCGGUAACGAUAUCCACCGACGUUUAUAUAGACGUCGCCUUACACUCACAUCGACGUUUGUUUAGACGUCCACCUGUGACUAAACCGACGUGAACAUGAAUAUAUAGAGAGUUUUAAAAUGACACUGACCGACGUCUAUGUUGUUAUAGACGUCGGACAUGGCUUUAACCGACGUCUAACAACGACUUUGUGUUUUAGUACAGUUUUGAUCCAGGUUUUCGGUAGCAUUGUGUAACAUUCUCCCCUCGCUAGUUUCCUCACAAAAAAAAGCUUGCGUCUUUAGAAUCUUCUAGUUCUUUCAACCGAAAACCGAACCUGGGUCCAUGGCUACUUCCAAUUAUUCAACCGCAACGAAAAAAAAUUACGGUGUCCAGAAGUAGACAAGGACCCAAGUUCCAUUUUGGGUCGGAAGAACUAGAAAACUCAAAAGAUCGCCACUCUUUUAGUGAGGAAACUAGCAAAGGGAGAAUGUUGCACUAUGUUACCCAAAGAGAUGAUCAAAAUUGCACUAAAACACAACACAAAGAAAGCAAAUUUUAAUCAGUUGAACAAGAAGAUAAUCGAUAAAAAACUAAAGAAAGUUUAAACGGUAAGCGUUAAGAAAAACCACGCACCUGGGAUGCAAAAGAGAAAAAGGAGAGGACGAAGACAAUGACGUUAUGACAAACGACAAUGCAAUGCCUCAAGAGAUAAAAAGUAGAGGUAAGCGAGUAAAAGAAGAGGAGAAGCACAGAAAAAGGAGAAUAAAUGAAGAUGCGAUCAGAAACUGAAUGGCGAGAAGACUCCGAUGUGUAUUUAAAAUGAAAUUGGGCGUCGGUUGCUACAGAAACCGACGUCUAGGAAGUUGAAAAGAUUGACGUUUUGGUUUCCUGUCAGGGAAGUUAACGUUAGUGCCCACUAGCAGACGACGUCUACAACCCUCAAAUUUGGUGAAAAUACAGGAAAGUAGACAUCGGUGACACUACGAACCGACGUUUUCAUUGAAGAAUUUUGUCUUCCCGCCUUCCAAACAGGCCUUAGACGUCGGCGUUUAACUAAAUGACGUCUAAUUGCCUAGGGUAUUAGGUGAACAUCAUUAAUUGUAGCCCAACCGACGUUGCUUUUUCACGGAAUUCGACGUCCAUUCGACGUCUAAAGGUGAAAAGAUUGACGUUUUGGUUUCCUGUCAGGGUAGUUAACGUCGGUGCCCCAUAGCAGCCGACGUCUACAUUGAAGAAUUUUGUCUUCCCGCCUCCGAGACAGGACUUAGACGUCGACUUUUGACUACGUGACGUCUAAUUGCCUGGGGUAUUAGGUGAACAACAUUAAAUGUAGCCUAAUCGACGUUGCUUUUUCACGGGAUCCGACGUCUAUUCUACGUCUAAAGCUGAACCGGUUGACGUUUGAUUUCUUGUCAGUGACGUAGACGUCUGUGCCCUUUCUAGCGACGUUGAAGCUCCUGGGAAUUUGAUCUUUAGCAUUAAUUGCAACCUAGUAGACGUUGGUACCCUGAAAAAUCCGACGUCAAUGGACUGUCUUAUCAUAUACCUUAGGCAAUUGGACGUCAGUUUGUGGGAGGUCCGACGUCUAUGAUGUCAUAGACGUUGCCUGACAUCGAAACUAACGUCUUGUUUUCCAAUUUAUUUGCAAUAUUGCCACCGUGCAUUGGUAGACGUCGGGUUUUCACGAAACCGACGUCUAAGGGGUGACGUUAAACAGCAUUUUUGCACUAGUGUAACACCUAAAAAAUAUAAAAAUAUAAAAGUUUAGAAUCAUAUAUGUAUUCUAAAAUCAAGUCCACACACAACAUUUAAUUUCUAUCAGAAACCAAAUUAUAUUGCAUUUAAUUUCCAGUCAAUCUCUAAAACUAUUCGCAUGAAUUCAAAACAUGUUUUACAAAUUUCCAAUUUAACCAUUCCAUACCCAUAUAUCAAAAUUUUAUAUUCUAUAACUUUUAGAUGAUAUUUAACCCUUAAAUAACAAAGACAAAACUUCCUUCCAAAAUUUGAAAUUUAAACAUAAAGUAAAUUAUAGUUUCUUUGAGAUUUCUUAAAAGUUUUAAGUAAAUUAUAGUUUUAUUUGAGAUUGCUUGAAAGAUAAGGAAAAUGAAGAUCAGGGAUGAUGAUUUUAUAGUUUUAAAAAUAUUCUUUUAUGACUUUCAAAGUAAAAUUCAAACAAUCCACCUCAAAAAAACAAUUCUAAGAAAACUUUAAAACUUGUUUUGUGUUUCUACUUGAUCCAAUAAAUAUACUAAAAAGUAUGAUUUAAUAGGGUAUAUUAAGCCUUUUUAUUCUGCAACAGUCUAAGUCUACGUCUAUUAGAAUUAUUAUUGACAAAAUGAAUCAUCCGGUUCGACUCGGCUUGACCCACCACUUAGUCAUUUAGUGAGUCAAUUCAAUACGACUCACUUAUUAGUGAGCUAAAAAUAUUUGAAUCCAAUCCAGUCCAUCACUGGUUCGUGGCUUAAAUGAGUUAACUCGUUGACUUAGAAGUUUUUUUAAAUAAAAAAAAUAACAAUUUUUUUCUAAUUCAAAUCUAAAUAAAAGGAAAUGAUUUUAAAUUAGAUUUAUGUGAAUUAAACAUAAGAUUUCAUUCGUACAAAUAUAUCACAAAAUCUUCUCAACAAAAUUUUUAAUGGCUUCAUAGUGAUUUAAAUCUGUUUCUACAUAAAAACUGAGUUACUAAGUAUAAAUUUUUGGAUUUUUUAUGUUGCCUAACUAUUUCAUACAAAUAAUUUUAUACGAGUCUCUCUUUCAAUAUUUUUAAAAUAAUUAACCCAACAAAAAUUAUUUAGAAAAAUUAGGUGUGUUGGUGAGUCAACUUGGCUCACCACAGGUUCAACCCGAAUGAGUCGGAUUCAAAAUUGGUCCGUAUUGAGAUUUCAAUUAUUUUUUUCAACCCAACUUGUCCCAAACCCAUGGUGCCUGGUUGAAUCAUAGGUUCCAAUCUGUUUUGACAGCACUAAUUGAAACAAUACAUACCAUAACUCAUCUUGAUACUUUGAUAUUGUGGUUAUUAUUUAUGAUGAAGUAUGAGUAUGUUGUUAUUAACUAUUAUUAGGGCUGGGCACAGUUUAAUAAACUGUACUAAAACUAUAGUUAUCUAUACUAUAAUAUACUUAAAAAAUACUAAACUAAUGUAUACUAAAAACUAGUUAAACUACUUUUUAGUUCAGUUAGAAAAACUGAACUUUAUAUCGGUUUAGUGCAGUUAAUUGCAUGAACUGCUUACUAACACUUAUCAGUUAAUAUUUAUAAAAAAAUCACAUGACUGGUAUAACUGUUCUCAUCUUAGUUUGUCUGACAAGUUGUCUUUCUCGUUUGCCUCUGCAUCUUCCAGUGCUAAUUUAUUCAUAUUUCUUCUUCUCAAAGUGGCAGAAUAUGAAAUAAAAAGUUAAGUUUUUGUACUUGGCUUAUGAAGAAAAGCCUUUCUAGAAAGGAGGAGCAUAUCUGAAUCUCCUUAAAAACUCCGAGUUUCAAAAAGAAGCAGAUUUGCAUGUGACUUCCUUCGUUAAAUUAAAAGGUACAUUAUCGUCGGCCAUCCUUUUUUUUUUAAAUUAUUACUAUGAUUGUGAAUAUGGGUUUCUGUGUUCGAAUUAAAUAUGCAUGAGAAAAAAAACUAUAACUUGAUGUGUUCCAACUCCAUGCUCGUGUUUCUAGUUAGUUCCGUUUGCUCUUUCUUCUUUCCUUGCUAUACAAAUUUGGUUAUGCUUUUAGUGUAUAAACAGUCAAAGACAUUACUGGUUUUGUUUGAUAGAUGAAAACAAAAAUCAAUUUGAACUUCGAAACUAUCAAUUCUACAUUUUGAUUCCUUUCUUUACUAUCAGUUUGUCCAGCCAUAACUAUUAUAUUAAUAUAUAGUUGAGACAAAUAUUAUUCUAAUAACAAUAUAGAUUCAUAUUCCGUGUUGAUCUUAUAAAUACUAUUAGUAUUUUUUAAAAAAAUACUCACUUAAUAGCCAUUUGUACUAACUAUUUUAUUGAUAAAAGAUCCAAACUCUCUUACUAUCUUAAACGUUGCAUAAUUUUUUUCUGGUUGAUCUCCCCCUUAUUACUAAAUAUUUACAUAUAAUAUAAAAUGUAAUGUAUGCAAAUACUCUAACGUAUUAUAUAAAUGUAUCUAUCCGCUAUAAUUAGUUCUUAAUAAUUGCAGUAAUUAAUAUUUUCAUCAUAGGAAAUAAGAUACUAAAAAUGCCUUCUUUUUCUUUUCUAUGACAAAAAAAAAUAAAAUAAAACAAUAUAGUUGUAAUGUUACACGAAUUAUAAGCAUAUUUAACCAAUUAUAAACAUAUUUAACCCGAGGACAAAAUGUAAAUUAUUCAUUCACUAAAAUAAAAAAAAUGUGUAAAAUAAUUUAAAUUAUAACUAAACAUAAUUAGUAAAAAGAUAAAUUCAAAUUAUAUAAAUUUUAAUAAUGGUCUUCAAAAAGUAUAUACUAAAGUAUUUUUUUCCUUUCAAGAAAGACUUCAAGACAAACUAAGCAUAAUUUACAUUUCCCGACAAAUACUUCAACGACAAAUCAAAGCAAGCAAUUAGGGGUUAUAAUUAGCAUAUCAAUUAGUAUAUAUGACCGACCAUCUUUGAUUAAAAAACCAUCGGAUUUUAUGGGUAGCUUUCAUGAAUGUCAAAAGGUAUAUAUAUAUAUAUAUAUAUAUAUAUAUAUAUAUAUAUAUAUAUAUAUAUAUAUAUAUAUAUAUAUAUAUAUAUAUAUCCUUCUCUCUCUUCCCUGUAAUUUAUUAAAACUAUUAACAUCUUUAAUAUUUAUUUAUAUUUUAAUUAAAUUUUCAUAAAUAGUUGUAAGAUAAAAAAUGAAACAUAAGUAAUUAAAACUUAAAUAUUUUUAAAAUAAAUAAAAUAUCACCACGUAAACUUUAUAUUUUUACUGCAAAUCUGUCUUUUUAUCAGUAGUUAUUGUGAAGCGUUGUUUUAAUAAUAUGAAUAGGUAUUAUGAAGCUGUCUGGAAAUCAUAUUCUAAGAGGAAUGACAUUCAGGGGAUGGGUAAACCAAUAUAAUAGGACCGUUUUCUUAUAAAAUGCGAAUAAUAUAUAUAGAUUGGUAGGUUAAUUAUUUUAAAAAAUCUAAAAUGAUCGAAAACAACUAGAUCAAUUGAAAAUUCAUGAACUAAUAUGGAUGAACUAAACAAAGUCACUUCAAGAUUGUAGCCCCAUCAUUAGUGUAGUGUAGGAGGAAGAUCGGUCAGAUGACUUAAUAUUGUAGAAUCAAGGAAAAGGAAAGUCAGCAGGAGGAAGAUAAGCGAAUAAGUGCAUGAACCGAUCGACGCGGGUACCUGGCCAGUCGGUAGGAUGAAUUGGGGAUACAGGUAUGUUACGAGUUUUCGAAUGAAUCUAGAGAGCGAGUUUCUCGGUCACGAUUGGCAGUGAUGCUAAUUACAGGGCGAAUUUUGCGGAAUUGACAAAUCAGCCGUUAGUUAAUGCUCAUUUACUAAGUCUAAAGCCUAUAAAUACCUAGAUGAUUAAUCAGGUAUGACUACUUUUUGAUUUAACCCACUUUCACUAUCUCUGGAGCAACUUUGCUGACUUGAGCGUCGGAGUGCUAACGUGCAGGUUGCCCCAGUUCGGUUGAAAGACACAGAAGAUCGGUGAGGAUACGCGGAAGGUCGGUAGGGAAGAAACAGUUUGGAUUGUGUCCCAUCUCAGGUCUCACACCCGAAACAUUUGGCGCCUGAUGAAGGAUUAAAAACAGUGAUUUUCAUAUGUCAAAACAGAUCAAAUUACACCCCUUGAUGCUUAGAAUGAGCUUGAAAUCAUGCAUAUUUCAAUAAAUGUGUCAAGAGAGAGUCAAGAGUCGUUUUUAGAGAUAUUAUGCUUGUUUUGCAUUGUUUUGCAGCUAAUUUGAGAAAAGAGAAGAUUGGAGUUGAAGGCAAAGGUCAAAAGACUCAAGAAAAGUGAAGAAAAUUGAAGAUUAGAAGAGUUGAAGGACUGUCGGGCGUUCAAGCAACGUGGAAUAAUAACAGAAUUGUAACAGACUUGGACGUCGGGCGGUGGACCCUGGACGCCGGGCGGUGGACCCUGGACGCCGGGCGGUGGCGCGGUAGAAAACCCUCACCGUCGGGCGGCGCACUUAGGACACCGGGCGGUGACAUUGGGCCUGGGCCUGAUUUUUUGCGAUUUCCCUUAGUUAUAAAUAGCUUAAGUGCGAAAGCUAAUUCAUUCUUUUGACGAGGAGGGACGACCAGACCUAAUUUGCUCUCUCUGGGGAAGGAUUCUUGGAUGCUUAGGCUUCUUUUCAUCCAACCUAGGGUUUGCUAUUUCAUUCUUCUCCAUCUUUUCUUCUAGAUUCACCAUGCCUAUGGUGAACUAAACUCUUUGUUGCUAGGGAACAAUGUAACCUUUUGAAUCUCUCUUAUAUCGAAACUAUAUUUAAUUAUAUGCUUGCAUAUGUUUGAUUACAAUUAUCGGGUUUUCCUUCUUUGCAUAAUGUUUUUAUCGUUUAACUCAUUCGAUAACUGAUAUUUGUCUUUAUUGAUAUGGGAACGUACAGUCGAGUCAAGAAACGGGGAAAAUGCCUUGAUUUAUGUAUAUCACCUAGGAAUAGGGGGGUUGAACGGUCAAUUGCAAAUAGCUUCUGUUUAUAAUAAUGCGUUAUUGAUUACUAGGGGAGGCUAGGGAUAGCAAGCCAGUAAUCUUUAAUAGGCUAUUUUCGCCGAGAAAUUUGGUUAAGGAUAGGCUAAGAAAGUCGCAUGAUAAUUGCAUAAUCAACGUUUAAAUAAGGGGAGUAGAUAUAAGAGAGGGGAAAAAGGUGAAAUUAUAAACCCUAGCAACACCAUUCAUCCAUUGUUUCUUUCGUCAAUUGAAUAAAAGCAUUGCAUAUUUAAUUUCUUGUUUUUGCAUAAACCUAAUCUCAACUUUUAUCUCCACAAGUCUUAAGAUUGAUAUUCACACAAAAGAUAAGGCAUUGCGAGUCCUUUGUGAAACGAUACUCGGACUUACCGUUUAUUUAUUACUUGAUACGAUUCGGUACACUUGCCGAAGUGUUAACAAGUUUUUGGCGCUGUUGCCGGGGACUCGUGGUUAAACUUAUUGAGUAGUGUGAAUUGAUUGACUUUGACUUGUUUUCUUUUUGUUUUUAUUUUUUUUUUUUUGUUUUUGUUUUCUGUAAAAGUGCUUUUAGGGUUUUUCUCUUGUGCAUGCAGGAGAUUAUACAUACUAGAAGCAGAAAAGACUAGCAACUUCUCUUUGAAGGACUUCCAGACAGGAGAAGGAGAAGACCUAGACGUGAAAGACUUCCUUCUCCUGCAAGACGAUCUUUGGAGCAAACCUUUGCACGAAGUACAAAGGAGAUGGCAGAGCAACCUCCUCCUCCCAGACGUACACUUGGGGACUCUGCCAACAUUGUGGGUCAUUUGCAUUCGAACAGCAUAGUUGUGCCUACAGAUAAUGCAACAAACAUGGUGAUUAGCCCUGCACUGAUCCAGCUUGUACAGAGCAACCAAUUCCAUGGGUUAGCAAAUGAGAAUCCUUAUACUCAUUUGACUGCCUUUGGAGAGAUUUGCAACACCGUGAAGGCUAAUGGAGUUUCAGAAGAAAGGGUCAAACUUAGCCUGUUUCCGUUCUCACUUGGAGGACAUGCUAAAGAAUGGUUGCAUUCGUUUCUGGCAGGCACAUUCAGAGAUUGGGAGGCGGUGGCAAAACAGUUUGUCAUAAGAUUCUUCCCACAGACUAAAAUCAACCAAGGGCGCUUAGAGAUAUCCUCUUUCAAGCAGGGGAUGGAAGAAACACUUGAUCAAGCAUGGGAAAGAUUCAAGGGGCUUCUGAGAAAAACCCCAGUCCAUGGUUUAAACAAGAUGUCCUAUUUGCUUGCAUUCCUUGGUGGCUUGCGUACUCAGUCGAAGAUGAUGCUAGAUGCCUCAGCUGAAGGCAGUAUUAACAGAAAGACUGAGGAUGAAGCUUAUGAUUUGAUUGAAGAGAUGACACUGAAUGAAGUAACCCAAGGAGAAAGAGGCGCACAAAGAGGAGGAAUACUACAUCUUCCUGCUGAAGAAGCUGCAGCUGUGACACUCGGACAUUAACGAGGGCGGGGAGUGAUCGUCGGUGCAAGAAGAAUGGUGCAAGGGGCACGGACAAGGAGCAGAUCCUGACAGGCUUCGAGUGGAAGGGGCACAUGGACGAAUCGAACAUACACCGGAAUGAGAGGGAUCUGGAGAUUGUAUAGGUAUGAGACUAUACAGUUGAAGGAUAGCUUAAAGGAAUUGAUUUGACUACUCAUAUCAACAAAUGCAUUUGCUUUUCGGUAGCCUAACUCAUAAGAACUCCAUGGUUAAGCGUGCUUAGCCUAGAGUAAUUAUGGGAUGGGUGACCUUCCGGGAAGUUUUCUCGGAAAGUGUGUGAGUGAGGACAAAGCACACUGGAAAGCCUCGUGUUGAUGUGUGGGGGCAGUCAACAGUCCCUGUAAAGGUCACCUGUAAGUUGCUGAGGCGUUAUAGCAACUGCUCAAACUCAUAUUCUUUCACAGAAAUUGGACAAGCUAACAAAGGUCUUUGCUGAGUUUCCCAGGGGAGUACGAAAUAUUGCUCAAAAACUCAUCUUCUUUCAUAGAAAUUGGACAAGCUAACAAAGGUCCUUGCUGAGUUUCCCAGGGGAGUACGAAAUAUUGCUCAAGCCCAACAGUUGUGCGAACUAUGUGGUGGUGACCAUAUUAAUGGUCAAUGCGCCUAUCCAAUAGAGAUGGAGCAGGAGGUUAACUAUAUGGGCAAACGAUUUCAAUCAGUACCUUUGUGGCAACAAGUGAAUCAUUUGACAGAAACUGUUAGAAAUUUAACCAACCGAUUUGAUAGCUUCAUGAAAGUCUACGAGUCUGACAAAGCAAAUGAGCAAGCUAGUUUUAAAACAUUAGAGACUCAACUCAGUCAGUUAUCUAAAAGGGUGGAGAUCACUGAGAAAGUUCAGUCCCGAGCUGAUAUUGAAAUAAAACCCAAGGAUGAAUGUCAAGUGGUUCUAACAAGAGGAAAAAGGAAGUUAGAAAGAGAAGUAAUCAUUAUUGAUAGUAGUGAUGACGAAGAUGAUGAGUUGAUGAAUCACAAAGAGCAGACAGAUGUCAAAGAUGGGGUAAAGAAGGAGAAGAGUUACUAGGAGCAGUUUGAGGCGAAUUCAGGAAUACCAUUUGAUGAGCAUAUAAAAACUCCUAUUGCUUAUUCCGAUAGGAGUAAAUACUAUUUAGGAGUACCAUUUGAUUUCACAGAAGAAGAGGAGAUAAAUCUAAUUGAGCCAAGAAAGAAAGAUUAUCCUCAGAAAUUAAAAGAUUUGGGUAAUUUAACUCUCCCUUGGGUAAUUUUGUUAAUUAAGAAUUAAUUGUUAUGAGAAGAGGAACCUUUCACAUGAUGUGAUGAAUGGAAAGGUAGCAUAGAAAUAGGAUGUGUAGUUUGUCAGAAUGCUGCCAUUAAUGGAAUAUAAACAAUCACUUGUUGCAUUGCAUAUAUCUACGUACGCCAAACUUGGAAUUGUGCAUUUUAAAAUUUUGAUAUCCAUUUUACUUAUAAACGGAUGUUGACAUCCGUUUCAUCUUAAACGGAUGUUAACCAUUCGUUAACGGAUAUCUAUAUUCGUUUAAAGAUUUUUAUAUUGUAUACGAGAGUAAGUUUUAACCUUAAAAAUGAAAAGAUAAAUUAGGAAUAGAAAAUAUAGAAUGAGAUGCAGAAUAAGAAGGGGGAGGUGGAGGGAGAAAUUGGAGAGGUGUAGGGAACAACGCCCCUUCUCGAAAUAGGUAAGAAAAUAAUCCAUAAUUCAUACCGUGACAAAUGGCCCAGUCUAAUAUCAUUACCCAAUAGAAGCCGAUUACUGUAUUUAUAUAUAAAUAUUAAACACUCACACAAUGUAUAUAGAACAUUUUUAUAUUUCCUCUAAUAUUUCUAUUUUAACGUUUUCUUUCAACUGUUUUAUUAACUAAUUGAAAUCUUAAUUUUAAAUUUAUUGUUCCGAAUUCAAAGAUGCAGUUAGAAUUUGAAAUUCUGUGAAACAUAAAAAAGUUGAAUGACUCCGAUAUAACUUUUAAAAUAUAUAAUUUUACCCAAUAAAUUAAUUAUAUUCUGUAUGGCCAAAGGUGAUAUUAAUUAUGGUAUCAAAGUAGCAUGAGGUGGCUACUUAUACUUUUCAUAACAUAGCACACAAACGUAGUCACUCACAGUAAUUGCUGUACUUCAAUUUCACACAGCCCACAACUUCUAAGCACGGAAAUGGAGAUGAAGAGGAAGUGGGCUAGACAAUAAUGAAUUUGUACGUUAUACGGCGCCAAUUAAGAGGGUGCCAACUUCUUCGUCAUCCUCUCUUAUAAAACAGUAUGCAUUUGCACUUAUUUUUUCAUCCUUUAUUGACAGAUAAUCCCGUUUGAGUAUAUGUAUCAUAUAUAGUUUACCCUAGAAAGAUGGGUUCAAAGACAAAGAUAGCGUUACUUAUCCCAGGUCUGUUGGCCAUGUUCAUUUCGAUUUCCCCAAAGGUGGCAAUGGCAGCUAGGAAUUUUGAAGAGGGUGAGUUUUAUAUCAUUUUCUUUCCCUUCCCCUCCUAUCACUCUCUUCCCUCAAAAGUGUGUGUAUAUAUAUUUGCGAAAUUCAUUUUUCUGUUUAAUAUGGUUAGUUGACUUAAGUUAGUACUUGCAGAAAAAUCUGUUGAAGAGAGAAAUGAAGCGGGUGAUGGCAGAUUAGUAAAUGAUGUUAAAAUCCCAGACAUAGUUAAUAGAGGUUUUGGUGGCAUUACAGGCACUGGCAUCCCUGGCACUGUUGGGAUAAUCCCAGGCACUGUCGGUAGCAUCCCAGGAAUUGGUGGUAUAUUCCCAGAUAUUAUCGGUAUCAUCCCAGGUAUUAUCAGUGGCAUCUCGGGUAUCAUCCCAGGUAUUAAUGGUUUCCUCCCAGGUAGCGGCGGUGGCAUCCCAGGCAUCGGCAGCGGUGGCAUCCCAGGUUUCGGCAGUGGCAUCUCAGGCACCGGCGGCGGUGGCAUCCCGGGUACCAGUGGUGGCAUCGGAGGCAUCAGAGGUGGUAUCCCAGGCAUCGGUGGUGGCAUCUAUAGUGGUGGCUAUCCAGGUCAAAGAGGAUAUAGAGGAGGAUUUCGUUGCCCUUAUGGCUGUUGUGUUUGGACUGAUGGAUAUUGCACAAGUUGCUGCACGAUCUGAGGAUUUCACCCACAAAUAAGAUAAGACAGUGUAGUUCUAUUUUUUUUUUUUUUCUUUAAUCAGCCAAAUAAAUUUUAUAUAAUGUGCAGUUCUAAGUACUUCAUAUUCUAUGAUUAAAAUUUCUUGUUGUGUGCGAGAGGCAUGAUGGAGAACAAGGAGCCUUGUGUUUUCCUCUAACCUUUCUUAUCAUAUGGAUAUUUCACAAUUAAAAUCAUGUUUAAUAAUUUGUAGUAUUGUUAUAAGUUUUACCUCAGACUGAAAUAUUAUGUAGUUUGUGACUUUACUUCUGUUCAUCUAUAUAUGCUAUUAUAAGUUUGUCUUUUUUUUUACAAAUCUUUAAAAUAUAAAUUUAGAUAAAAAUUAAUUUAUAAGUAUAAUUUAAAUUAAAUUAAUUAAUAAAAUAUCAAAAAUAAAUUUAAUCUUGUUAUAAAGUAAAUUAAAAUGAAUUUUAAUAAAAUAUAAAUUUUAAUAAAUAAUCUCAAUUUCAUGUUUGACUAAAAAAUAGAAAUAUAUAAAAUCAACUUUUUAACAAUUAUUCAUUAAUUAAUAUUUCUUUUAUUAAUAAUUUUAUUUUAAUUAAUUAAAUUUAAAAAAAUAUGUAAAUAAAAUUUAUUAAUAAUUAUUAGUAGAAAGUAAAUAUUCUAGGAUGGGUCAAUAUUAUUAUGAUACCUUUAUCCAUCCAAUUAAGAAAGGGAUAAUGAAGUAUAUGUUAUAGUUGAUAGCCAUGUAUCAAACAUCAAACAAUGAAUGCUACAUCCCAAAAAUAAGAAGAACCGUUGAGUAUGGUAUCAAGAAAUGCUAACUUUUUUGGAGAAACCUAACUUAUUUCAUAGGCUGAAUUGGCAAGUUCGAAAUUCAUUGCAACUAAACAGAAAAAUAAGAAAACAACCUUUCAAGUACUGCAAAUUUGAAAGGAUAACAAAAUACUCAUAAAUUAGGUCGGAAUAAGUGGACAGAGAGUGAGAAAGUUAUGGGUAUUUAGAUAUAAUCGAGCAUGAAAAUCGAGACCAUAAGUGACACGAUAAAUUUAAAUUAUUAUAAACAAAAUAUAAUCGGAAAGUAUAGCAAAAGUGCUUGUAUAUAAAUGCAAAAAUAAAUCUUUCAAGAUUAACUUACUAAUAAAAAUUAAAUAGAAAGUGAAAGAAAGAAAUUAUAAGUUCAACUCUUCCAUUAAUAUUAUAAUAUUAAUUGAUAUUCGUUGAUAAAAAAAAUCUAUAUUAAUGAAUUAUUUUAAGUAAUAAAAAUCUUGAUGAUAAAAAUCAAUUUAAAAUCUAAUUCAUAAUUAAUUAUAAUUUAUUAAUAAUAAUCAUUAUUCAAAUAUUUCCUUAUAAUAUCAUUUUAUCAAUAAGGGACCACUACAAUAAAAAAACUAAAUUACAUACCGACAAAAGCCGUAUAUAAAACCAAAAAUUCGUAUAUAACACUUAAUUACAUAUGGAUAAAAAUCUGUAUAUAAAAUUGUUGUAGCAAAAUUAUAUAUGGAUGUAUCCCUAUAUAAUUUAUAUACGGAUUUUUUCGUAUGUAACUACAUACGAAAAAAUCCGUAUGUAAAAUCCAUAUGUAAUUAUAUAUAAAAAAUUUUGUAUAUAAUUAUAUAUGAAAAAAUUCGUAUGUAACUUUAUGAUUUUAUAAAAAAAAAAGACGAUUUCACAUCUAUACCUAAUAAUUAACAGUUUCAUAUAAAAGUCAAAUAAAAUUGACAAAUUAUAAAAAAUAAUAUCAAAUAUUUGUCGAUUUUUAUUAAAAUGUAACAAUUAGUUACAUGUACAAUUCAUAAUAGUAAAUUAAACUACUUAUAGUUACAGGUGAAAAGUUAUCUAAGAAUUGUUUUACCAGUUUUACCAGUAUUUGAAGCACCAUAAUUAACCGCGGAUAUGGUCAGACAACCGCGGCCUAUUCCCCUGUCAAUUUAUUGCAGGGGCUGACUGAUGGGGAAUGUCAGGAGGUUACAGGGGGAGUAGGCCGCGGUUGGUCAGAGAACCGCGACCUAUUCCCCUGUUAUUAAAUUUUUUUUUCUGACGUGGCGACAAAGGGGUUGGUUGACUGGGGUAUAUGCCGCGGUUAAGUGGGGAACCGCGGCAUAUAAGUUCGAUUUAUUUACAAAACUGCCACCGCGCAGCAUUAUGCUGCGGUUUCGGGUGAACCGUGGCAUAAUGUGCGCUGUAUAAUGCUUUUUAUUACUAGUGUAUGGAGACGAGAGAGAAACAAAUUGGAUAAGUGAGGAAGGUGAAUUAGGGUUAGGCAAGAGUUUCUGAUUUUUUUUUUUUCAAUUGAGGCAACAGUAGGAUGACAGAAAAAAUGUUGGAGUGAGAGAGAUGAAAGAGAGAGGGUUGAGAGGAAUGAGGGAAGUGAGUAAGGGUUUGGGGGUUUCUUUUUUUUUUUAGUUUUGAGAAUGAAAAUUAUUUAAAUAUCCUUGACCUUAAAACUUAGAAUCCAUGAUAAAUGAGGGUAUUUUUGUCUACUAUAAUCCGGUAAGUAUUGUUAAAACGUACCAACUAAAAAACAGACGUAUGCGUGUUAACAAACCCCAUAUAUAUAUAUAUAUAUAUAUAUAUAUAUAUAUAUAUAUAUAUAUAUAUAUAUAUAUAUAUAUAUAUAUAUAUAUAAUUGAAAAUAUAUACAUAAUAAUAUAAUAUAAGUCAGAUAUAUAAUUAUACACAACAUAUACAUAAGAUUUAUUUUAAUAAUAAAUUAAUUCAAUAUAAAAAUUAAUAAUAAAUUAGCGUUAAGUUAAUCUUACCAUAACAUCCGUUUCUAAAAGUCAGUGAUAACUAGGCUUCCAUAAUUUUCCUGUCCCUUGUUUAUUACGUAAGACCCACCAUAAUUUUAAGGAAAAUGAUACUUUGACAACCUCGGUGACAAAUUUUUGACACCAAUAACGUGUCAGCUUCUCAUUGGUUCACCCUUAAAAAAAUAAAAAAAAUUAAAUGACGUGGAAAAUGAAGGACAGUAGCAGAAAUUGGAAGGAAACAUUUUUGCGAAAUUCAAAUUCAUUUUCAAACUCCGAGAACUAAACCUAGAGAGAGAAACUCUCCCUCCCAACGACCAAAGCCCCUUCACGACUUCACCGUCGUUCGCCGUUCAAUGGCCACCGGAGGUCCACCCAGAGGCGGCGCCGCCGAUCAUCUUUGCGUCUCUUCCUCCCAGCGAGAAAAGCUUCGAUCCAUUUCCACCGCCAGUCGCCCUUCAACGGCCACCACCAGUCGCUGUUCAACGGCCACCGUCAGUCGACAGAAGCUUCCACCAUGACGCUCCGAAAACGCUGAUUACUCGCGUCUCUUCUCACUCGUCGCGUCUCUUCCCACUCGUCGCAUCUCUUCGCACCGCCCUUCCUGUUGUCUCCUUCCGCCGGCAUAUCGUGAGUAUCUUAAUGUAUACUAAAUAUUCUCUUUUGACCAUGUUGGUGCGUGCUGCUAGAGAAAGUUAUAUGAGUUAAACUCUCUAUUUUGUGAUAUUGGGCCUAUUGCGUUUUAAAUCUUUGACUAACAUAUAUGAUGAAGUGAAGUGAACAUUUUCCCCUUGCUUACUGUGAGUACCUGUUUGAUUUGUUUCUUUAUGGUGUUUUCGGAUUUUAAUUUUGAAUGUAAUUACCAACUUCAUUGUAAAGUUGUGGAGAUGUGUGAAGCUAAAAAUUGAGCUUAUGUAGUUAGACUAUGUCAUACUCUCAGAAGUUGGUAGAGCAUUAAACAAGUAGUGUUGGGCAUAUACUAAGUAAUUAGUAGUAACAAUUUCAGUGAACCUAGAAUUUAUCCUUUUUUUCUGCUGAAUUGUUAUUAUUUGAAACAAAAGUGCCAACAACUAGAACAGAGGCUUUUAUGCUCUUUUAUGCUCUCUCUUUGUUUCAAUGUAAGGAGAAAUUUUAUCUUAAGUCUGGUACUGCCGCAGUUGAUUUUAUCUUGUUGUCUUUGAAAUUUUUUUGCUUACUCCAAUUCAUAGCUGAUAACUUUAUCAAUUUUAUAUGUUGCUCCUCUGUUCUUCCAAUUUUUUUUUUUACAAUAGGUGUUGCUUAACUGUAGUAUGUAAAUAGAAAAUCUGAAAUCCAAUGUCUGUUUCUUAUAAUGUAAAGGAGAAGGACACUGGUUAUAGGAGUAAAUUCAUACUUGUUUUUAAAUUGCACAAACAAAUGUUACUUAUAUAAACAUAUUUUCUUAAAAAAAUAUAUAUAAUAUAAAGAACGUAUAAAACUUUCCUUCCUUAGUGUGUAAAAUAUUAUUUUACAUUUCGUAUAUAAUCACAAAUUGAAUGGUGCAUCUUUUUGUUUGUAUUUAGGAUUCGAAUGUCCUUUUCUGAUUAAGAUAUUUUGGAGAAAAAUAUCUUAUUAUAUAUGUCCUGUUGAAGGUAAUUUUUUCAAAUUAAUUUUAUAUAUUCUAUAAAUAUUACUAAAUCUUCUAAGGAAUGAAAUUGAAGAAAACCUUUUUCAUCAUUCACUUUUUCACAUAUAUUAUUGCACAAAUUAUUAAAUCCUGUCAAUUACUCUUAAAUUAGGUAUAAUUACCAUCAUAUAGCAAUUUUAUUUUCACUUAAAUUACGACAAAAAUAUGCCACAAUAUUCAGUUUGAAUUCAUAAUGUAUUUGUAUCAGAGAUCUGGAAAAAAAAAUUAUGCAUGUUUAAAUAACAUAAUUAUAGUUUCAUAAAAAACCUAUAGAGUAUAAUAAUUACAAAGAAAGUUAUUUUGAAAUAGGUAGUCAUGUGAUGGAGUGAGAGUUGAUAUUUGGCAGCAUGUUAUGGUAGGAAGGGAGUGAGUUGGAGAUUGAAGAGCCAUUGAAAUUGGAUAAGCUAUGAAGUGUAAGAUAAUAUAAGGUAGAGAUUUCAUGAAACAAAUGCUGCAUCCUCCAAAAAUAUCAUACCAAAACAACGAGGGAAUCAAAGUGGGUUGUUGCAUCCUCUCGCUUUUACAUCUCCUCAAAGUAUUGAUUAGGUUCAAUGAGAACUAAAAUACAAUAGAUGGACUGAACAACCAUAUGCUAGGUUGAGUUAUUGAACUUAAUUUUUAAGUGGUACAUUGAAAUCUUUGUCAGAGCAUCGUCUUCUUUUAAUCAAAGCUGGUAGACUGAUUAUAUGGUUAAUAGUUUGUGUUAAUCAAGGUUAUGGUUAAAUCUGCUUUGUAACAGAGCAGAAGUUGACUGGGAUGCUUCCCAGCUCCUCCUACAAUUAAAGGCCAAGGAACGAACAAAGACAUAUAAGAAGAUUUUUGGAGCAGUAGUGCUUUGGAAAUAAAUCUGAGGGCAUUUGAGUCCCAGAAAAGCAUCUCAUCAAUUAUCAUACCUUCUGAUCCUCAAAGUAGCUCUGGCAUUCAUAUUGAUUCUCCUGAAUAUGUAAAUGAUGGCAAGUAUUUUGUUAUAUUCAACUUAUCUAUAACCUUUAUUGCCUUAUUGGUUAGUCUCAUUAUCUAAUGGUGCUUUUCAUCUUUUAUGACCUUGGUAGUAGCCAUUUAUCUGAUGCAAAGACAAUCUUGGCAGAAGUGUUUAGAGAGUCGCGCCAGACUUAUUUGCUAAUUGUCACAUGCCUUAGUAUUUACAUGGAAUUUUCAUUUUCAAAACCCUCACCCUGUAGGGACAGUUACAAUUCCAAUGUCUUGAAAUAGCUUGAAUUCCACACUUUUAUUCUGGUUCUGCCAUGCAACUUUGACUUUAAGAUUUUGUUUUACUUUUUAUUCUCUUGUUUCUCUCUCUCAGGCAGUGAUUGUCUACUCCUUUAAUUUUGUACCUUUUCUUGUAAAUUUUGUUUUCUUUUAUGUUGAUUUAAUCUCUUUAGUUACAUGUAAUGGCUAUGGGACUUUAAGUUCAAAUCUAGUUUUCUCGAUUUCCCUUUAUCCACGUCGUUUCUGAUUUUAUUUUUAUUUUACAGGAUUUCUUUCAAUCUUGCAUUUUUUUACACUUUCUUACAUAUCUCGAGCUGAUUAUUAUUACAUUAUAUGCAGGUCUUAUUCUCUGGAACCAAAUGAGGCGACACUUGGGUUAGAAAUAAAAGGCCUCAGAAUAAGAAAGAAGUUAGAGAACCACAAAAUAAGGUAAAUAAAUAUACAAACAGUUUUUUAAUUAAGCAUGAUUUCUAACUUUGAUCCCUUGAUUUUGAUGGGCAACUCCUAUUUCCUUAAAUAUUGUUUUGACCAAGAAAUUAGACUGUCCGAAAUUUAACAAGCAUUUGCCACAGCUGAGAAAAGAGCAUUGUUAGAUAUAUAAGCUUUCAUCUUUAUGAUGUUGUUGUCUUGUGUUGUUGUUAGCAUUAUAUGAUGCAUGUAAGAUACAUAAGUUUAAACUUGUGUGGUUGAAAAUUUUCGGCAUUAUGUCCUUAAUAUGUUUGUUCACCUUUUUUGGUGUAGUGUAAUGGAGGAAGUUGGUCAAAAGACUGAAUGUGGGAUUGUAUUACAUUUGUAUAGAUUUGUUGUUGUUAUGUAUUUAUACUAAAAGAAGCUCUUGAAAAAUAUCAUGUGUCAUUGAACCAGCAAAAUAAAGUAGAUAAGGACAAAUUAACUCGCAUUGUACAAGAACAAACGCGGCUUAUUGGGAACAUGAAAAAUAGUGUUGCUAAUUUAAGAGAGUUGGUGGAAGACAAAAAUGAUGAUAAAGGUCAACACUUUGAUGAUAGGCCUUUCAGUGCAACUGAAUAUCCAUUUGGAAGCACACCGAUUCAACAUAAACAACAAACCCCAGGGUGUGAAGGUCAGGAUGAACUCAAGCAAAGCACAAUGUAUGAUCGAGUGAAGGCUGCACCCCGAAGAAGGAUCAAGAGUAAGGCAAAAAGAACUUCAUUUACAUCAGAGGGUAGAAGAAAAAAAUCAGUAGUUGAAUUAGUUGUACUGAUAUUGUUAUGUUAACAACCUUAAUUCGAUGUAGCAGUACAAUAUGAAAUGUGUAUAUUACGUAUGAUGUUGAUGUACAAACAUUUAUUUUUUGGCAUUAAUUACAAGUUAAUUGGAUUGUAUGAAAGUGGUUUAAUUACAUUGAUUUCUAGUUUAUGUUUAUUCUUCUAUUUGUAUUCCAAGCCUGUUUUGUAAAACCGAUUCUGUAGUAACAGAUCUGGAAGCAAAGUGCAAAUAAGUGGGUAGUUCAGGCAAACUUUCAGCACAGGGGUGUCAACUUUGAAACUUGCAUUCUUAUUUAAUUGAACAAACUUUUCUUAACACCUAUUGGAAUUAUUGGAUACAAAAGUACAUGGCCAUUGAUGAUCACGAGUAUAUGGAUGGAUGUACAUGGCGAAGGGAGAACUAUUGUUAGCACUCAAUGUGUAGUAAUAGACGACAAAUAAGUGGGUAAUUUAGGCUAACUUUUAGCACGAGGAUGACAUCUUUGAAUCUUCCACUUCUUUUUAACUCUACAGUUUAUUGUUAACCAAUUAUAUUGAAUAAAAAUCAUUAAUUAUCAUUUAAGAACAAAUUUAUAUUCAAGUUCAUCCCCAAGGAAACGCUUUUCUUUAAAGUAAUGGUGCAAAAAGGAAAAUGGUAGUCAUUGGCUAAUAAGUGGGUAGCUUAGGCUAACGUUUAGCACGAGGAGGACAUCUUUAAAUAUGCUACUUCUUUUUAACUCCACAGUUUAUUGUUAACCAAUUAUAUUGAAUAAAAAUCAUUAAUUAUCAUUUAAGAACAAAUUUAUAUCCAAGUCUAUCCCCAAGGAAACGCUUUUCUUUAAACUAAUGGUGCAGAAAGGAAAGUGGUAGCCAUGGGCAAAUAAGUGGGUAGUUUAAGCUAACUUUUAGCACGAGGAGGGCAUAUUUGAACCUUCCACUUCUUUUGAACUCCACAGUUUAUUGAUAACCAAUUAUUUUGAAUAAAAUUCAACAAUUAUCAUUUAAGAGCACAUUUAUAUCCAAGUUCAUCCCCAAGGAAACGUUUUACUUUAAACUAAUGGUGUAGAAACGAAAGUGGGAGCAAUGUUCAAAUAAGUGGGUAGUUUAGGCUACCUAUUAGCACGAGGAGGGCUUCUUUGAACCUGCCACUUCUUUUGAUUGUUAACCAAUUAUAUUGAAUAAAAUUCAUUAGUUAUCAUUCAAGAAGACAUUUAUAUCCAAGUCCAUCCCCAAGGAAACGUUUUACUUUAAAGUGAUGGUGCAGAAACAAAAGUGGUAGCAAUGUUCAAAUAAGUGGAUAAUUUAGGCUAACUUUUUGCACGAAGAGGACGUCUUUAAUAUGGCACUUCAUUUGAAUUGCAUAUAUUUAGUGAAAAAUUAAUACUCUGUAAAUAGCACCUUAAACACACAUUAGGAAAUACAAAUGUUCGACAUUGCACAACAAAGAUCAUAGACAAAUAAUGCUCAUUGUUGUAUUGAACUGUGUCAAAAUGAUUACCAAUUCUAACACAAUCAUCAUUCUUAUGUUCAAAUUACAUUAGUAAUAAAUGUUAACAAAACAUUUGUUUUCAUCAAUUCUAAUACAUCAACCGUAAAUAUUGGCUUUUCAUUAAAUCAUCAUUCUAAUACAUCAAUUCUAAUACAUCAACCGUAAAUAUGUUCAAAUUACAUUUUUUGCUUCAUAUUAAAGCAUUCGUUGCGCCCAAUCCAUCAAAUGACCAUCUCCUUCAACAAUGGAGUGCAUAAGUCUAUUGGCUUGUCCAUAUUAACACACCACUUGAAUGGAGUUUGUCGAAUCCGAAUCCGAUCAAUUUCUCUUAGUUUAGAAUUAAUUUCCACAAUGACUUUGGUAUCACACCAUGCCCGCAAUCGAACCUGCAUAUUAUUUCCAACAAAUACAAUCAUUAACCUACACUAUUGAAACCAUCAAUUACAUUUCGAAUACAUCAAAUUUACUUACAUUGGUACCACCUUUUUCUUUAUUCAAAUCCAUCACUGUAAAAUGUAAGCACCUAAAAUGAUCAUACCAAAAUCAAUGAUUGAUACUGAAAAAAGGCAUAAUGUAUAUACAUGUUCUGAUUUCUUCAAGCCAAAACAAGAGUUUAUUCAAGACUAGAAAAGAGAAUUUGCAGGAGUUUUACUAUUAGAUGCCUAGGCUUUUACUGCAAUGUAAACCACAUUUACAUAUAUAAACAGUGCUUCCUGAUUCAAAUUGCACAUAAAUACAAACACCAAUCCAAAUCUUAACGCUAAACCAGUAAGGUAUUACAGAAAGCACCAAUUUGAAAUGUUUAAUUGGCACUUAAGAGGCCAAAAACUAAUAUAAGCAAGCAAUAAGGGUACUGAAUCAAGUACGAACUCAAAUGAAUACUAGGGAAAGUGCUAUAUUAGAUUUAGAAAGCAAGAAAAGGUUGCAACAAUAAAAUGCAAAAACUAGUGUUUUAAAUCAAUUUUCACGUGCAAAUUGGACUUUUAUAUUAACUUCUUUUUUUUAAGUUUGGACAUAUUCUACUUUACACACGGUGAAAGAAAGAUAAAAUAGAAAAAAUGUAGGUAAUAACAAGAGAUAUAGAAAAAAAAUAUAUUCAAUGAUGAAUUGUUUAAAAUAAGUUACCAUGCAUAUAAAUCUUUCUUAUCUGGUAAGUACUUAUCUAUUUGUCCCAAGUAAAAAAUCUUUCUUAUCUGGUAAGUAGUUAUCUAUUUGUCCCAAGUAAAAAUAGGGAUAACAUAUUGGUAUGUUAUUCUAAUCACUUUUAAGUACAUAGAAAAUUACACCAAACAUAAUUAUUUAAGGUUACUUCAAAAUUUUAAAAAAGUUGGAAGUAAAGAUAUAUGAACACCUUUGUGCAUUACACAUUCUAUUAUUAAUACCUAUUAUUUUCUCAAAUAUAUAUCUCCCCUUUGUGGAUCUGAAUAUAAAGAAAAAAUAAAUUUAAUUUAAUGACUAUAAAUGUUUAGGAGAAAAAAAAACAUAUAACCCUCUAAACUUUACUCCUUUUACGACUUUAGGGGAAUUAAAUGUUUUUUCCUUUUUUCAGUAAAAUAGCUAAUAAAAACUUCCAAAAACUCUUCUUUACUCCUUUUAAGUCUGGACAUAUUUGCAUCAUGAUAACCAUUCGAGAUUUCAAUUUCUUAUAACAAUUCUGCACUCAAUUAUCUUUUAUACUCUGAUUCUUACUUCAUUCACCUUUUCUUUUUCUUUAUUCUUCUUUAUUGGACCUAACCAUGUUCCUUUUUUUAUGUCUUUUGAAAAGUCAAAGCACUCAAUAUUUUAGUUUAACCAAUUUCAACUAAUGCUAGAUUCUCUGUGCCAUAACAACCAUAAAUUCACCAUCUUUCAAAACAAGGGAUUAAAAAAGUCCUACAACUCUAUUCUUUUUUAUCUGUGUCGAGUAACCUUUUGAAGUUUUACAAGUAUAUUCUUUAACAUCAUAACUUUUCAAAUUCACUUUUGAUGAAAAAUUCACAUUCUAAAACUUCAAAUGAUUCAAAAACAAGUAUUAGUUCCUUCAAAUAGAUUCACAUCCAGCAAAAAAAAAAAAAAAAAGAAGAAGUCCUAAGUCAGAAUAAAAUGAAGUAAACAAUAUUCAGAAUAAAGUUAAUAUAUCUCUGUCAAGUUCUGCAUGAUUAAUGAUAUCCAUUUUGGAUAUGUGUGAAAGGGUGUUUCUUUUUUCAUAGUACAAUACCUAUAAUCUUUUUCUCAUAUUUUCUCACUCUCAGUAAGUAAACAAUACAUUCAAUAUCCGAGAAAUAUAAAAUGUUCUUGACAAUUUCUUUUUCAUUUAAAAGGUAGCAUAAAUGUGUAAAAAUGUGGAAAGAAGAUUGACUUGAACUAUUAUAGUGUUGCCUAAUUCAAAUUGCACACAAAUAUGAGCUCAAAAAGGGUGGUUUGAUUGUAAAAUGCACACAAGCAGUCCUAGCACAAUGUAAACUGUCACAAAGACUUUGUUUGACUAAAAUGAACUUGUUUAGAAAGUAAGAAAAGGUUGCAAAGGUAACAACAAUAAAAUGCAUAAAACUAGUGUUUUAAAUCAAUUCUCACGUGCAAAUUGGCCUUAUAUAUUAGCUAUUUUUUUUUUAUUUUUAAUUUUGGACAUAUUUUCAUCAUAACCAUUUCAGCAAGUUUAGUUAUGCUUGUUAUAAUCAUUCAAAGUCAAUUUUCUAAAUGCAAUAGGCUUUUGCUAAAAAUCACUAGUUUAAUGGUUUGUUUCUGCUUUGCCUUUUUCUGAAUUAGCAACUCAUAUAUCUCAAUUUUGGUUUUAACCAAAACAAAGUAUAACAAGCAUUUAAACCAUUUAGUUUUGCAAUUUAGAAAGUGAGGAAAAGGUUAAAUUGGCAACUCAUAUAUCUCUAAGCAUGAUUAAACAGUACAGUAAUCAUCUAAUACUGAAAUGUUAAAUUGGCACUUAAGAAGCCAAAAACUAAUAUAAGCAAGCAACAAGGGUUCUGAAUCACGUAGGGACUCAAAUGGAUACUAGGCAAAGUGUUAGAUCAGAUUUAGAAAGCAAGAAAAGGUUGCAAAGGUAACAGCAAUAAAAUGCAGAAAACUGGUGUUUAUAGGCCGAGUUACUAAUCAUCUAAACAGUCCAAAACAUAAUUUAAACUCCAAACAAAUGCAUAAUUUUUAAAGACCAAGUGUGAGGACACACAACGAGUUUGGAAGCGGCGUUUUCGAGGCUGACCUCUUUCGAAUCGACGGUAGAGACUUUGGGUGGUCCUCCGGUGGCCGUUGAACGGCGACUGACGGUAGAAAUGGGACGACUAUGAAGAGACGCGAGUAAUCGGCAUUUUCGGGGCGUCACGGUGGAAGCUUAUGUCGACUGACGGUGGCCGUUGAGCGACGACUGAUGGUGGCCGUUGAAGGGCGACUAGCGGUGGAAAUGGGUCGGAGCUUUUCUCGCUGGGAGGGAGAGACGCGAAGAUGAUUGGCGGCGCCGCCUCUGAGUGGACCUCCGGUGGCCAUUGAACGGCGAACGAUGGUGGAGUCUGAAGGGGCUUUGGUCGUUUGGAGGGAGAGUUUCUCUCUCUAGGUUUAGUUCUCGCAGUUUGAAAAUGAAUUUGAAUUUCGAAAAUGUUUCCUUCCAAUUUCUGUUACUGUCCUUCAUUUUCCACCUCAUUCAAAUUUUUUUUAUUUUUUUAAGGGUGAACCAAUGAGAAGCUGACACGUUAUUGGUGUCAAAAAUUUGUCACCCAGAGGUUGUCAAAGUAUCAUUUUCCUAAUUUUAAAUUAUUGUCAGAUUUUUUAUCAACUUUAAUCUAUUAUUUACUUGUAUGGAUUUUGCAAAGCAUAUAGGCAAUAAAUCUAAUUUUUUUAUCAAUAAAAUAAAUAUAUUAAAUAAUUUUUUUUUAAUCCAUAUACAAAAUAAUAUAUAUAUAUAUAUAUAUAUAUAUAUAUAUAUAUAUAUAUAUAUAUAUAUAUAUAUAUAUAUAUAGAUAUACACUACAAAAAAAGUUACAUUGGAGAUUAUAUUGUGAAGGUUAAUAAAACCCUUCUUAGAUAACAUUAUUUACAAUUAUUUCUGAUAAAUUAUCUUAAAGCCAACAAUAGCAGAGGUUUUAAUUUCUUUUUAAAGAGGAAGAUUACCUUAACAUAUUAUAAUAUCCUUUUCACCGUUUCCCUCACUUUUUUUUUAAGCAUUCCCUCCCAAAAUUUUUCUUUUUUUUUCUCCAAAUCUUUAAGUUCUUCUUUUCUAGAAUUAGAACACAAUAAACCCAAAAGACGAAACCCUUCAUGCCUCAGCUUCCUCCUUGACCCUUCACUGUCUCAGUUUCAUCUUCACCCUUCAAUGCCUCAGUUUCUUCUUCAUCCUUCACUACCCUCAAACGCCGACGCCGAUGAGGAUUCUGGUGAGGCUCAUCUAAUGGUAGGGCGAGUAAUUAACGCUCCAUCACCACCACCGUGCGCGUCCUCGGAAUAACUUUCUCCUUGCCCCUUUCUAUCUCGCACUCAACGCAACACCUAAACCCUAAGCUACCAUUUCCGGCAAUCCCACCGUUGUCAGCAUCGUCGGUCCACCACUGCGUGUUCCUCCACUGCCAAAUCCUCAUGAAGCAAUAUACAAGAAGGUACACAUUUCAGUAUAUGAUUCCUUUUCUUCAGUAAGCAUUGCGGUAUGCUUGUUUUCAUCUAUGUAGUUUUUGUAAUAUUUGCCAAUAGGUCACUGAAACUAAUAUCAAGGAGUUUGAAGCAAACAAUAGGGGAUCUGACUCUGAGAAACGAAGCUUUCGAUGAGGUGAGGUGAUGCUUAUAAUGUUUAUUGUUUUCUAUAGUGCUUGUAAUGUUUAUUGGGUGCAGAGCAUGGCCAGAGGCGGUCCUGUUAGGCAUUUUGGAUGGAUCGGUGAUUGGAACUAAUUUGGAGUUGCAAGAGGGUAACUUGAUUGUGCAGAAAUGGAGGUUCAAAAGCUGGAACGAUGGAGUUCAAUCCACAGUAAGUAUUUUUCUUUUUAUGUUAACUAUUAGGAAAAAAAACCAAAUAACUAAAUUUCACACAACUUACAGUAUGAUAAUAGGUGUGUGUUAACUUAUGGAUAGUGAGUUGUGGUCAAUUGUAUUUCAUUUGUUCUUCAUAGUCUACCUUGUUGUGUUUCUUUCUUUCUGCCUAUGUAACUUCUGGAAUUUGUCUGGUCUGCUUAAAUGUAAUGUUGGUGAUUAUUAUCUAGAUUGCAUUUUGUAUCUUAAUCAAAUACUUAUUCUGCUGAGUAAUUUCUAUAGCAGUUCGUCUAAGGCUAUGGCCUAUGGCAUGAUUACAUGCAGUAUUUUUGUCAUCCCUACUUAUUAUAUUAAUAUUUUUGUUGUACGUAGAUACUAGAUCAACCUUAAGAAAUAUAUAUUGAAUUGAUACUUAACAGUUCAUAAACGCAUAUCACCGUCACCCAUUCACUCAGCUCAACGACACUGAAACAAAAGAAAAUAAUAGAAUGUAAAAGGAAGAGAAAGACUACAUAUUAAGGGUUUUUUUUGGAGGAAUCAUAAAUCAGAGAAAUUGGAGGAAAGGAUUCGUUAUUAACUCUCUUUUCUUUCUGUUUUUUAUUUUUUAUUUUUAUAUAAAUUGUAAAGAUAUCAUAUACAUGUGUUUUUCAUCUUCUUAAUUUCUCUGAUGGUUUGUUCUUAUUAUCAAUGACCCGCACCCGUGUGGAAAUGAAUUUAAAAUUUUUUAAAUCAUAGUUGAAUGUUGUCAAUAUUGUGGGACGCUUGGUAUUUUAGUUGGGUUUGUGAGUUUAACAUCAUGGUAGCUGUAUACCAAGUGUUUGAUGAAACGCCAACUUUGGGUGACUGCCUGCGUUGUGAACAUGUUAACUAGCGUGUGUCAGAAAUGAGAGGUACUUAUCUGUUAUGAGUUUGUUACUCUGUUGAGUUGUAGUAGUUUGUUUAAGUAAUUUGGUGUAAGCAUUCCAAUGUUAGAAGAAUUAUUCCAAUGUUGUUUGUGGAUGCGGGAAAAAUUAAAAUGAAAUUAAAACAGUAAAAACGAAAAUUCACGCUGGAACUAGGCAGCUCUGACCUUUGCUCAAUGUUUUAACCAUAACUUUUUCUACAGAGCUCUAAAUGACAUGAAGUUUUUUUUCCUGGAAAGUAGACUCAAUUAUCUUUAAUUUGAUAUAUAAAACGUAGCAUUUGGAGCUCUGGUCUGGUUGCAGUUAUUUUUUUAAAAUCGAGUCCAGAAAGUGAAAAUGCUAAACCCAACACUAGACUAAACAAGUAGCUAAACACAGUUAAAUUAAAUUAAAUACAAAACUAAAUUANNNNNNNNNNNNNNNNNNNNNNNNNNNNNNNNNNNNNNNNNNNNNNNNNNNNNNNNNNNNNNNNNNNNNNNNNNNNNNNNNNNNNNNNNNNNNNNNNNNNNNNNNNNNNNNNNNNNNNNCAAUUUAUAUGACACAUGCACCUACUAAAGAAAUUAAAAUAUUUCUCCAAAAAUCAAAUAACCUAGUUGCUAAUUCCAAAUGAGAACCACCGUUNCUGCAGGUUGCUCCAUAGCAAAAGUAAAAUAAAAGAAAGAAAAUGAAUGCUACCACCGUCCCAUCNCAAUUUGCAAAAGAAAUAUAAUUUUCCGCUGCAUGCGCCGUUCCAGCAAUGAAUCACGUUUCUAAGGAAUUGAAAUAAACCAAAUGCACCAGCUGAAUGAAUCAAGNGCGCUUUCUUUAAAUUGAAAGUAAAUUGAUUAAAAGAAAAGUAAAAAAAAGAAAACUUGUGGAAUCCAAAACGCAACAGCAAGCUUCUAUCUUAAUAAAACAAAAAUAAUGUUUGAUGCAGCAAAUGGCGGCUACAACCUUCUUCAAACUAAUAUUUAGACAAAACUAAAAAACUAUGAGGGUACGGCUGCAGCUAGCUUAAAAGAAAUACACAAUUAGUGUUUGCAAGAAAAAUAAAGUGUGUGCUCUUCAUUCUUCAAAAUAUUUACCCCGUAGCCAUAGCAAUGCUCCAAGGAAGCUCCAUAAGAAAACCUUCAAAGCCCCUUCCCAAUAAUCUCCAGCCGAGAGAAUAUAUCCUAGGUAAAAAAUGACGGCUGUCCAAAUCCUAGGACCUUGAGGUGUGUGCUGAAAAAUUAGGGUGGGGUCCACCCAACCCUAGGUAGGACAUGUGUCACCAAAAUUUGGGCUCCAACAUAUUUUUAAUGGCCCAAUGUGCAAAGGUUUGUCNAAAAAGUUUAAACAAUUNAAAUUACAAUACAACUAAAAUUUAAAAUGUAUAAUUGAGAGUCUUGAAUUUAUUUGGUGUCUCCAAAUGUCCCAAAUUGUGUUUCCAAAAUUUUCCCUGAAAAUAAUAAUGCAAAUAAUUAGCUCAGAAAAUUCAAAUUAAUUAAAAUUAGAAUUUUCGGUCAAAUUAAGCAUAAUUAGGAAAAACGGAAAAAUACCGGACAAUUAAGCACAAUUCCCUGAUUAAUUCUAGCACAAUAAACUAAGUGAAGUCGAGAAAAUAUCGACUCAUCAGUAUCCAUGAAUAAUAUAUGAAAGUUUAUUUUGUCUUUGGCCUCCCUCUAUAGCCUUUUCAUGGUAGAUUGUUAGAAGUAGCGGUACCUUGGUUCUUUGCAUCCUAACAGUUUUUAUUGGUGUUCUCCUUUUUGUGUUGAAGAAUAAAAGAUUAUCUAUCUUCAUUUUUCUUUGAAUACAAGAUUAUCUUUGCAUGAUAUCCUUCGCAUGUUUAUGUCCUAGUUCUUCAUUUCACCCCAGCAACUCAUACAUUACUCGACAUUUAAUUUAGUCCGUGGAUGUUUAGAAUCACUGCCCUUGUCUCUGCCUCAUUAUAGUUGGCCUUGCAUUUAGAUGAGGACUCAAGCAUUUGAAAGCCAACAUAGCAACUUUCAUGGCUCCUUUCAUGGGAAAUUGCCCUUUUAGUCUACAAUCUAUGAUGCUAUAAAGGUUUUUCUGAUCUCUCAGCAAAGGCCUUGCCCAUUUCAUUAAGUUAUUGCCACCAUUCGACCGAGACUUAUCCACUACAAGAUUGAUAAGGAUAUCCACAAGGACUUUAAGAGUUGGAUUAUCAAUAUGGAGGAACUUCAAGAUUGUAGCCCAUCAUUAAUAACAGUAUAUUCACGACCUCUACCUAUGGACUCAAAAUUUUAUCCUAAAGUAAUCACAUCCAAGACAUAUGAAUUGACUAGAAGUAGAAAAUAAAGUAUAUCUCACCACCACUUAAAUAAAUGAAACAAGAAAUUUUACCAUUCCCUUUGGCCGUAAGAUUGUCUUGACCACAUCUCCAACAAAAAAAAACCGUCCGAACAAAAUCAAAUCAUUCAACACACAUAAUUAAAGUAAACCAAAUUUUCCUAAACUCAUAAAAGUAAUAAUGCAUGGAAGCAUAUCCUUUAUUAACUUUCAAGUUUUCAAAAACUAAAAUGAAAAAGGUUAAUUAAUAUACCAUUGGGCUUCUAAAAACAACAUAUGCAAUUGACAUUACCAUAUAAUUCAAAUAAUGCAUCUAACGAGCAACACGUAUAACUCAAUAAGUAUACAAGUCUAAAAUUCAAAUUUUUUGAAUGAAAAAAAAAAUAACAAAAGACAAUAAGAGAAUCAUUAUACUAGAAACAUUGACGGAAAAUAGAGUAGGAUUCGAAAAUUUGUUAAGGGUCAUAUCUGAUAAAAGCAUCUAUGUUGUGCACAUUCCUUUCUUUUCUUUUGUUGCAACUUUCAUCUUAAUCAGAAAAAAGAAAACACCACAGCACGAUGAAAACAAAGCCAUAAAAAAUUAUUCAUCAGCUUUAAUGCUUUUCGGUGAAAUAAUUAGCUGCCACGAAUAAUAAAUUUCAUAUAUGUCAAAUAUUACACAUAUUUUUUCUAACACAAGCAAUUAGUACUUUCUUAACAACUAUUCUUUUGAUUUUUCGCAACACAGGAAAUAGUUCUUUUUGGCUUAUUUCUAUUGUAUAAUUCAUUCACUUUCAGUUAUUCCUUAGUGAAUUGUAACAUAAGUAAACUAAAUUAACUUAUUAACUACCAUUGAAAUGCUAUUUGCAUUUGACCAGAGAGUGUAUAAUAGUUUUCUGCUUAGCAAUCAAAUUCUACAGCUGAAAGAUAGAGAUAAAGAAGGCGUUUAAGGGCAAAUAAAAUAAAAUAAUUAUAGAGACGUUGAGAAAAAGUAGAAAUGCAAAGAAAAAAAACCUUAAUUCGGACUGAGAGUAGCAGAAUGUUUACAUCAAUAUUGGGGUUAACAUCCCGAGAGCAUUACCCAACUACAAUGCAAUAUAGAGCACCAAGCCAAGGAUAAAGAUCCCAACCAAAAACUUAAUUAGGAAAGGCGCAUGCUAAUGAAAUGUUGUCAAGAAAUCUAUGAACUAAAUAUUCCAUGAAUGUAUGCAAACAAAGAUCCAAAAGUUCUAAAAUAAAUAUGGCCUAAUAAUAAACGAUCUCAGGUUCUAAUUCCAUGAAUGGAUGGUUGCACAAAACUUGCUUUUAGGAAAAUGUUUCUUAACUUAAAAGAAGUAGAUGAAGAAAUUUCCCAAACAAACUACUAAAAGAUUAUAAUAUCUGGUACCCACCUUCUCCAACUUGUUUCUUGCUUUUACCACACUUACACUUAUGUUUUUAAACCAUAACAUCACUAGAGUUUUCUCUUCCAUCCUUUUACUCUCACUCGCUCUCACUUCACUGAAAGCUUCGUUUAUCAUAUAAGUACAUCGUAAUUGCUAAUUAUAUGCUUGUAUGAUAUUAUAUUGUGUGAUUGAGCUGUCUGAUGAAAUAUGAUAUGUGAAAUUGAGUUAGGAUUUAAUUUGACUUACAUGAAUUGUAUUUUGAAAUCAGGUAUGUUGUAUAGUUGGUAUUAUAAUUUAGAUUAAUUGAAUCAUUGAAUAGUGUACAAUAUGAUAAUUGAUAUGUUUUGGAAUCUGUAAUUGUUGUUUGAUUAAGUCGCGGGGUUCAAAUGACAUCAAUCUACAAAAUUAUGUUAUGCAGAUUUAUGCAGACUUGUUGGGUGAAGCCAAAGUCAGAAAGUUAAUGACUUAAUUGUUGCUGAGCGAGAAUAUACCCGUUGGACGAAGUCAAAGUUAGAGAGCUACUGACUUUGUGGUUGUUGGACAAGGAUAUACUCGUUGGGCGAAACCAAAAUCAGAGAACUCACUGAUUUGGAAGUAGUUGGGUGAGACAAGUCUAGUUAGGUGAACUAUCUAGUUGUUGGGCGAAACCAAAAUCAAAGAACUCACUGAUUUGACAGUAGUUGGGUGAGACAAGUCUAGUUAGGCGAAUUAUCUAGUUGUUGGGCGAGUGUGCUCUCAGACACUACUCAUUGAGUGAGUAGAUAUGUUCUUGUUAGAGAUAUUAUAUUUAGUUUAUAUUGUGUUUAUGUUAAUUAGGGAAAUAUAGUCCCUAUAUGUUUAUUAGGGAAACAUUGUUCUUAUUUUAUUUUAUUUUAUUCUUACAUAUUCAUUUGUAUUUGGGCUUAGCACAUAUUUCUUCUAUUAUAAAUAGAGAACACUAUGUGUGUAUUUAACACAAGGGAUUAAUUUCAAUAUAUAAUUUUCACUAUAUUUAACAUGGUAUGAGAGUAGGUUUUCUGAUCCUUUUCUACUUUGACUUUGUUGUCGCUGGUGGCGACAGCGGUCCCCCCAUAAAAGUUUCUUUUUCAACUUGUGCCUUUAUACUUCAAUGGACAAUCUCUAGUUUCUGUCUCGCAUUUGUCUGGUGUUGCUGUCCGCCAAUGCCCGUUGCCGAUGGCCAUCGUCACUAGCCGACGACCGACUGUCGUCUCCGGCCACCGUCUCCGGCCACCAUCUUCGGUCGUCGUCUCCGGCCACCGUCUCCGGCAAUCGUAUCCAGCUGUCGCCUCCGGCCACCGUCUUCGGCCACCGCCGCCGACAACGUCUCCGGUCGUCAUCUCCGGCCACCGUCUCCGGCCAUCGUCUCCGGCCACCGUCUCCAGCAACCGUCUCUAGCCGUCAUCUCCGGCCACCACCGUCUCCGACCACCGUCUCUAGCUUCAACCUUCGUCUCCGUCCACCAGCGCCGACACCGUCUCCGGCCACCAUCUCCAGUUGUCGUCAUUGGCCACCGUCUUCGACCACCGUCUCCGACCACCGUCUCCACCACCAUCUCCGACCGUCGUCUCUGCCACUUGUGCCACCGAUGCACCAACACCUAGUCCUACCUCUACUGCUUCCGCUAUCUUCUUCUCUAUUCUGAAAGGUCUUGAAGGACAGUCAGUGGUUAACACCAAGAAAUUUCAACACUAAAAUUAUGGGUUGAAACAAUUUCACCAACCCUUUGUCAGAUUUGUUUUUUUGGGUGCUUUGAUGAAUAAGAGCUCAUUAUGAUCUUCCACUUUCACGAUUUGUCAUCGGUGCGCCGUUAUUUCCGCCGUUCGUCGUGAGGAGGAGUAUGUUUCCAGCCAAGUUUUAGGCUUUCAGACUCAACUCGUCAGUGAUGGCAGUCCCUGCAUACAGGCCCCAUCAGUCAAUGAUGGUAGUUCCUGUAGUUUUGUCGCUUUUAGCCACUACAUGCCCCAUCAGUCAGUGAUGGCAUUCCGUAAAGUUUUGUCGCUACAGGCCCCAUUAGUCAGUGAUGGCAGUCCCUGCAUACAGGCCCUAUCAGUCAGUGAUGGUAGUCCUUAUAGUUUUGUCGCUUUUAGCCACUACAGGCCCCAUCAGACAAUGAUGACAGUCCCUGUAUACAGGCCCCAUCAGUCAGUGAUGGCAAUCCCUAUAGUUUUGUUGCUUUUAGCCACUACAGGCCCUAUCAGUCAGUGAUGGUAGUCCCUGUAGUUUUGUUGCAUUUAGCCACUACAGGCCCCAUCAGUCAGUAAUGGCAUUCCCUAUAGUUUUGUCUCUUUUAGCCACUACAGGCCCCAUCAGUCAGUGAUGGCAAUUGAUAAUGGUAAUUCUUACCAUUAUCUAUGGUGCAUUUUUCAUGCCAAAUCAACAUUCCUGAAGCUUUAAACAUGCUUGAUCCUCUUCUUUAUCCAACUUUGUGAGUAAACUUAGAUUAGGUUAUACACUUGAGUUUUCAUCUCUUUUCCUCAAAAUUUUGUAGGAACUUUGAGUACUUUGGAAAGGCAUUCAAGUUUAAGAGUGGAGAACCAAGGGAGGACCACAAAAGAAGAAGUCCAAGAAGCUAGACUGGCGCUGGGCGCCAACCUUCUCACGCUGGGCGUGAAAACUGGCUGUUUCCAGCAAGAUUUCACGCUGGGCGCAAGUUUGUCACGCUGGGCGCCAGUUUUCACUGUUUGCACACGCUGAGCGCCACUGUCUCACGCUGGGCGUGAAAUUCCAUUGUUUCCAGGGGUAUUUCACGCUGGGCGCCAUUUUAAUGGCGCUGGGCGUGAGAUGUCUGAUGUGGCACCCUACCCUAUAAAAGCCACACAGUUUUCGAGAGCANGGAUCUUCUUGGCGGCUGAGACCUAGGGAAGCGUUNCUGUGCCUCUUGGAGCUAGUUCUGGACAGUGGGAGCUCUCCUCUCCUUCUCCUUGAGUCUCUUCUUCACCAUUUUCAUUCCAUUGUAAGCUCAAGCUCUCCAUUAAUGGANAACUAAGUUCAUUAUUGUUGGAGAGUGAUGUAAACUAGGAACUUCUUGUAAAUGCACUCGUGUUUAAAUGAAAAAUGCUUCAUUCAUUGCUUGUUGGUGUUUUUGUCUUUCUCUUAAUGCUAGUUAUGACUUGAUCAACCAUAGCUUGAUUGUGGGGUUUACUUAAGGUUGGGAAACUUUGGGUAAAAUUGAACUAGACUAAACACCUAAGGGAAAUAGUGUCUAGGGAUAGAACUAGGACCUUUAGUUGUCAUAAACUUCUUUUCUUAAUGCGGGUGAAUUUGGUGGAUUACCAAGGGAUUGGGAUUUAACAAAUGAACCUAGGCUAACUCACCAAGGGAUUGGGUUUUAGUAAAUUAGCUAGUUGGCAAGAACAAGUAAUUAAUGAAGGGUAUUGUAGUGCAUUUGCAUAGCAAGGAAUUAGUUGAAAUCAUUCUCCAACAUAUUCAUUCCACAUAGUCACCAAUCAUUUUCAUAUUCACUAGUUUUGGCCCCAAUUAGUUCAAAUUUUACUUAUGCAUAAAAUUUACUUUCAUUGCACAAUACUAACCAAAAAUUGGAAUCAUUCUUUAGCUUGAAUGAGUUAGUAAUUAUACGAGUGUAGAGUAAUAUCGAAGUCUCUAGGGAAACGAUUUCCGGUCUUACCGGCUUUACUACUUGCACGACUUGGUACACUUGCCAAAAUCUUAACAGUAUACAAGCCCCAAUUCCUUAGAGACAAGUUCUAAACCUUUAUGUGAAAAUAUUAAUCCCUUAGAUAUUCAAACACAAUAUUUACAUUAAGAAAAGAUGUCUAAAAUGACCCAAAGCCUUGGUUUAUGUCUAGAGCCCAGCCUCUUAGUUGUUAUAUCCAUGUCUAGGUUCCAAAGCAUUUUCCAAUGAUUAAAUACUAAUAAAAUAGCACAUAUAUUCCAUCAUGCAAGUGAAUAAAACGGAUAGAACACAAGAAAUACGAAAUAUAUUCUACUACAUAAAAAGAACUACAAAUAGUUUAGGUGUUUUACAUCCAACCCUAACGAAAUGGAGUUUAACUACUCUUAUACAUCUAGAACAUAAGAAUGGAUUGGAAUGAUGAAAAGGAUGAAGAAAGAUGGAUUUCUUCAACCCUAUAACUGCCUCAACCCGUGUCUUGAGCGUCUAGUUCAUUCUCACGUCCAAAAAACUCUCGACACUUUAAAUGUUUCACCAAAAAAUGUUUCCUUGCUGGGCCAUUGAAUCCUCUCGCUGGGUAAGAGGUAACUUUUUAAACACGUGGCUUUUUCCAACUUGUUAGGCUUCUUGACUAGGAUAGUGUUGUCAAGCUCUCGCUAGCCGAGUAGAGAUAAGCGAGUGGCUUUUAGCAGCAUCUCUUUAAUAUUCUUCAAUUCUUCCAAUUUCUUGCAAAAAUAACUCAAAAAUAGAUAAGUAACUAUCUUUAUAACAACUAUAUACAAGUUUCGCAUCUUUUCAUUGAAUUCAACACAAAAUAAAUAACAAAGAGACAAAUAAGAGGUUUAAUAAGUGUGAAUAAUAGGUAAUUAUCACACUUAUCACAAGGCGAGGUUGUAGUGCCCUAUUUUUGCGAUUCUCAAAUAGAGAGAGAAAGAGGGAGGGAAGAAAGAUGUUGUCGAUGUUGAUGAUGUUCUCAUUCACACUUAGGGAUGGCAGAAAAUUUGUACCUGCGGGUACCCGCGUAUAAAAUCCGCUACGGGUAUUUAGUAUCCGUGGGUAGCGGGUAUUUUAAUAUCCGCUUGUUAACGGGUCGAGUUCGUGUAUCAUCCUAUCCGUAUCUGCAGGUACCCGUUACCCGUUUAAAAACCAAAAUUUUAAUUUUACCCCUAACUAUUUUAUGAAAUUAAAAAAUAAAUUAAAAUAUAUGUUUUUAAUUUUGCCACGGUGGUGUGCAGAGGAAGUGAAGUAAAGUUCCCUUCUUCUUUCUUUUUCUCUUUCACACUUCCUUCCCUUCUUCUUUCUUCUUCUUUCUCUUUCCCUCUACACAAAAACAUCAGUGAAAGAUGAGAUUCAAUGCUAACAAAAGCAGGGUCUUGUAGGCAAAGGGUAAUGCCCUGAGUACGACCCUCAAUUUUAUUUUAUUUUUUAAAAUUUUCACCUUUGAUUACAAAAGCCGAAAAGUGAAACCACAAAAAUAGCACUCACCAGAAGCGAUGUCGGAGGUGGCUGAGAAAGGGCCACGUCCACCAGCGGAGGAGGCGGAGGCCGACGGUUCCGACAACCUUACAUCGGUGGUUUUUGGAGAAUCAGCUGCAGGCUUCAUGCCUAGAAAGUGGAGAUCUGAGAUUUUUUUGUGCAAAUCUGAGAUCCUUAAGUGCAGAUAUGAGAUGUUUUGAUGCAGAUCUGAAAUAUUUUGGUGUAGAUCUGAGUUUGAAGUGAAGAUCUAGGGUUUAUAAGUUUUGAAAAAGAAAGAAAAAUAAACUUUGGUUCAGAAUUUGGGUUUGGAUAACAAUACAGACGCUGUUAACGGGUAUCCAAUAGAUAUUCGCUGGCUGGAAAAAAUCCGCGGGUUUUUUUUAUGCGGGUACCCGGUGGGUAGUGGGACGGGUAACGGGUACGCUUUUGUACAUGCGGGUCGGGUUCGGGUAUCAUACUAUCUGACCCGUUGCCAUCCUUAUUCACACUAUUGUACAAAUGUUUGUCUCACACCUCCAGAUGAUGAAAAAGCUUUCCAGAUAAUUAAUUGUUUUUCAAUGUUAGUUUAAAAUAUAAAGGGUUUGUUUAUUUCAACGUGUGUAAUCAUAAGAGUGAUAUGUGCAUUGUGGAAGAUUUAAUACGUGCAAAAUAUUUUGUGGUUUUGAUGUGACAUUUAAAGUCAUAUUCUCUCUUGUUAUGGGGCAAGGUGCUAUUUGAUGGUUGUACAGGAUAUUUCUCCUAUUGAAUCAGAAAAGUUUGGUGGUAUAUGUGGAAACUGAAUUUCUUUUUUUAAAAGAAGGGGUUUUGACCGCGGUUCAAGAAAGAACCACGGUCAUAUCCCCAGGUUUUUACCGUGGUUGGAACUGUGACAAAAGGUUAGACGAAUUUUUUUUUUUUUUAAAAAGGGGUUUAGGUCGCGGUUCAAGAAAGAACCGCGGUCAUAUCUCCAAGUUUUUAUCGCGGUUGGAACCGCGACCUAAAAUCCUAGACUUUUUACCUUGCCUGUAUAUGUCGCGGUAACCGCGACGUAUAGUCAAAAACAAUCACGGUUUUUUUCCUUCCCUACACUAGUAGUCGUACAAAAUCUUAAUAACUCUGAAUUAAAGUCAUGGUACAAAAUCUUAAUAACUUGUAAAUUAAAGCUGUGAAGACAACUUUUAUCAUUAUAUUUGGAAAAGAUAAAAUCGUUUUGAAUCCUAAAUUAAGUUUAGUUAGAAAAAAUAUUUCUUUUAUAAAUAUUUUAAAUUAAGGUUGUUAUGAGACAUAAUAACUCUUAAUUUAGAGGAUAUCGUUUACAGGAGUCGUGACUUUCAAUUAAAUUAAAAUAUUCUUCAAUUAUCACAACUUCACAAACCAAAAUCGUGAUAAGUGAUAAUGAUUUUAAUUAUUUGUUUCUUAUAAAGAAAUAGAGCUUGUGUUGAAAUAUUGAAGUCCAGAAAAUCAUUAAUGUACAUGAGUCUAGGUUAUAGUCAAAAUAGAAUUAAUUUAUAAUAAAGUUUUAAUUAACUAUUAAAUAUUUUUUAAAAUUGUGUAAGUUUUUAUAAUAUUUUAAAUUGCAAAUUGAUUUCAAAAGUUUAAAUUAAUUAUAAAUUGGUUUUUAAUUAAUUUUUAUUAUUUGUAAGUUAAUUGAAAAAUUAUGAUCGAUCUAACAUGGUUGGACUUGACUUACUCAACUCAAAUCCAACCCAAUUUUUUUCUUUAAAUUUAGUUUUCUUUUUCUCAUUUGACAAUUUCUUAAAUUUAAACAUUUUUUAAUUAUAAACUACCAACAAAAUAAAUUAAAUCUAUUUACAAUAAAAUUAUAAAAAUUAUUUAUGUUUACAAUAACGAUAAAAAUUAUUUUUAAUUAUUAUAGAAAAACUGAACACACAUAUAUAUCUUCACUGGUUUAUAUUAAUAUAAAUAUAUAUUAAAACAGUAGUUAAUAAACAAUUAUAUUAAGGAAUUCAAUUUUUUCACAUACACAUUUUAUUCUAAAUUUACUCUUCAAGUAACUAUUAUUUGAAACUAAAAUAACAACAUUUUCAUUUUUACCCUUUAAAUAACUAGUUAAUCUAAAUUUAAUUAUGUUGUAAAUUACUAUUCAUCAUUUUAGUAACUACUUUUCUAAUUUCAAUUAAUUAUUUCUAAUAAAAAACUAUUUAAUAAAAUUUAUUUUGCAAUAUAAUAAAUAUUUAGUAGAAUGAAAAAAAGAAAUGGACCAACAAGCACGUACAUGUCUUUCCACCCAUAAAAGAUAAAGGUAAUAACUUUUAUUAAAAGAUAUCGGAAACUUAUAUGUUUCCGAUAGUGUUAUUAUUAAACUUCUGAAUAAAUUUUUAAUACUAAAAACUAUAAUACAAAAUACAAGGUGUAUCUGGUCUGGUGAAAAGAAAAAUCAGUUUUGACAUCUACAAAUAAAUUUUAAAAAUUAAUUAAAUCUAAAAGUAAUUGUUUUGCUCUGGAUUCAGUCAUGUUUUUUUUUUUUUUAAUUUUUCUUCCAUUGAAGUGUUUUAAUUGUUAUAUAGAAAUCUUUUAUAUACGUAAAAACAAUAUAAUUAUUUUUAUUAUUUUCUGUCAAAAUAUACAUUACGAACUAAUAUUUUUCAAAAUUGAUGGAAGAGAAGUGUAUCCAUGACUCAAUUUCAUAGAUUGGUCUAAAUACUUCUUUAAAUAAAUAAAUGAAAUAAUAAGAAAAAUAAAGAUGAAAGUUAAACUAUAUCUCUUCAAAAUAACUGCACCUCUUCUCAUAGAACAUUGCAUAAUGAAUUUUAAAUAAAAUAUGUUGUCAUUAUUAACUUAUUAUUUUAAUAAGAAAAUAAAAGUAGAAGCUUUGAAUAAACAGUAGUGUCAAAUAAUCACCACUCAAUAUAAAAAUAUUUUAAAAUAGAGGAAUUAUCUAUGAAACAAUUUUACUUUCAUAAUAAGAAGGUUGUCAUGAAUAUCUCUAAACCUGUUCAUCUUGUUUAUAUACAAAGAACAAACAUAUUCAUACCUAUAAAAUAUACAUCAGAUAUCACUUUCAUUGGAAAUAUUUAAAUUACAUAUCAAUUUUGUACACACGUUCAUCCAACAAUAAUACUAUUGAAAAUAUUACAUGAGACUCAUCGAAUUAUGAAAUUAAAUAACUUACAAAUUUACUUAUAACAUUUUUCAUUUUGUGUUUACUUGAAAUCCUAUUUCUUAAUAUAAAUUAAAUACAUAUUAAACCUGAUCAUAUAUAUUAAAUGUUUUCUUUAUUCUAUUUAAACAAAUCUUAGUAGUCUUUAUAAAACACAUGUCAAACACACUCUUGCACAGAAUUCUCGAGCUAAGAAGAUCUUAAUUGUAAUUAAUGACGAUUGACCCUUGUCCAACUAAUUAAGCUUUGUUGUUGAGUUCAACGUGUUUUUUCGAAGGAGAAUGAUAUUUUGACAAUUUCUUUUUUAAUAAUUUUUUUAUAACAAAACGCGUGUUAUUAUUUUAUUGGUUUGUUUGAAUUUAUGUUUAAAAAAAUAUUUAAAACGAAUCAAUCAUAUAUUACCACCUAUGCGUUAUAAAAAAAUUGUUAAAGAGAUUUUUUUUUUAAUUCGAAUUAACUAUAUUAUAUAAUAAUGGCAGAAGUAAAACUCAGGAUAUUUGGAACAAAUUAGAAUUUGCAGAACAUACAUAAUAUUCAUCUCUUUAAUUUGCUCUUAAACCCAUAAGAAAAGUCACUGGAACAUUCCAUGACUAUAGACACGACGUUUUAUUCAUAAAAUAUCUUAAGUACUACGUUGUUGACGUGAGUUGUCUCAGUUAUGAGUCUCAUCCUGAGUUUGUGCAACAACAGCUUCACCAGCGUAAGAGCAGCACCUUAUGCAACGUCCGUUGAAAAACCGGCAACAGCCGAAACGACAGCCCACAUCACGUGCAGGGUAGCCACCACCAUGACCGUCACCACCAUGACCAGGAUAGCCACCGCCAUUACCAGGAUAGCCGCCGCCAUAGCCUCCACCAGGAUAUUUGGCUUCACCAACUCCAUUUGUCACUUUAACAACCCCAAACUGGUUAGUGAACACAACAAAUAUUUUUGUACAUCAUUAAGUAAAAACUUAUUACAUAGUUAGAAAACUACGCAUUGAAGUUAAGAAUGUAUUAAAAAACAAGAUGAAUAUUGUAACAUACCCUCUUUUGCAUUGGUGGAUUUCACCUCUGAGGAGGCUAAAAGGAGCAUAGCGAACAUGGCUAGGAUCAGUAUUGCCAUCUUCAAACCCAUCUUUCAGUAUUAAGGAGAUAUGUUUGGUAAAGAAG
rnacentral:lncRNA from 1 species